rnacentral:lncRNA from 1 species
CCUUUGGACAAAGGCUUUCCACACAAUCCUAAGUUGCCGUCGAAAGAAGUGUUGUCAAAUGUAGCAAAUUGCUUUCCUUGUGGUAUAGGCCCUGUAAGGUAAUUGUCCGAGACAUUGAAGAAUGCGAGAAAUGUGAGGUCAACCAGUUGUUGAGGAAUCCGUCCUGAAAACUUGUUAUUUGAGAGAUCCAAUGAUUCCAAAUUUGUUAGAUUGCCCAAACAUGACGGAAUAUGGCCUUGGAGAUUAUUGUACUGGAGGUUUAGAACUUGAAGUCCCUUUAAAUUCGCAAUCGAUGCUGGAAUCGCCCCAUCAAAUCUAUUGUUUGAGAGAAUAAUGCCCGCGAGGAUAUCCGGAAUCUUGUUAUAUGUCAUCAUUCGCCCUUUGCUAUUCAUUGUCAUUGAGUAGUCAUAAGUGCUAAGUACAUUAUUGGUCACUUGUCCAUACGAAGAAAGCACAUCUUGCAGAUAUCUUAGCUCACUUGUAUUGACAAUUUUCAUGGCAUUCCAACACAGGAAACUCUUUGAUGGAAGCUUUCCAGUAAAUCUGUUGUCAGAUAGGUCAAUAAUGCGGAGUUUCGAAAAUCCACAACCAGUUCUGGGUUCUUCUAUAAUGCCAUAAAAUGUGUUGGAUCGUAGGAUGAGAACAUUCAAUUUUGGAAGAGUUCCUAACCAAGACGGAAAAGUGUCACUAAUCUGGUUGUUCCCAAGACCAAGAAAUUCCAACUUUGAACAGUUGAUCAAUGAUCUUGGAAUUCUUCCUUGAAACAGAUUAUGGCUUAAAUCAAUCACGCCUAAUCUACUUUCUUUAAUGAAAGUAUUUGGGAUGGUCCCAAAGAAGUUGUUAGCCUCCAAGUCGAGCACUGAAAGUUCAUCGCUGAAAUUGCCUAAACACUGAGGAAGCAAGCCACUUAAGUUAUUGUGAGACAAAACAAGGCUUUCAAGAAUAUUCAAAUUGCAUAUCCACGAUGGAAUUUCCCCUGUUAACCUAUUGUUUGAAGCUAGAUAGUUAACGGUUCCGGGGGGUGGAACUGGGAGUGGUCCUUGUAAAUUAUUAGAGCUAAGAUCAAAAGUCACCGCAUCACUUUUAUNNNNNNNNNNNNNNNNNNNNNNNNNNNNNNNNNNNNNNNNNNNNNNNNNNNNNNNNNNNNNNNNNNNNNNNNNNNNNNNNNNNNNNNNNNNNNNNNNNNNNNNNNNNNNNNNNNNNNNNNNNNNNNNNNNNNNNNNNNNNNNNNNNNNNNNNNNNNNNNNNNNNNNNNNNNNNNNNNNNNNNNNNNNNNNNNNNNNNNNNNNNNNNNNNNNNNNNNNNNNNNNNNNNNNNNNNNNNNNNNNNNNNNNNNNNNNNNNNNNNNNNNNNNNNNNNNNNNNNNNNNNNNNNNNNNNNNNNNNNNNNNNNNNNNNNNNNNNNNNNNNNNNNNNNNNNNNNNNNNNNNNNNNNNNNNNNNNNNNNNNNNNNNNNNNNNNNNNNNNNNNNNNNNNNNNNNNNNNNNNNNNNNNNNNNNNNNNNNNNNNNNNNNNNNNNNNNNNNNNNNNNNNNNNNNNNNNNNNNNNNNNNNNNNNNNNNNNNNNNNNNNNNNNNNNNNNNNNNNNNNNNNNNNNNNNNNNNNNNNNNNNNNNNNNNNNNNNNNNNNNNNNNNNNNNNNNNNNNNNNNNNNNNNNNNNNNNNNNNNNNNNNNNNNNNNNNNNNNNNNNNNNNNNNNNNNNNNNNNNNNNNNNNNNNNNNNNNNNNNNNNNNNNNNNNNNNNNNNNNNNNNNNNNNNNNNNNNNNNNNNNNNNNNNNNNNNNNNNNNNNNNNNNNNNNNNNNNNNNNNNNNNNNNNNNNNNNNNNNNNNNNNNNNNNNNNNNNNNNNNNNNNNNNNNNNNNNNNNNNNNNNNNNNNNNNNNNNNNNNNNNNNNNNNNNNNNNNNNNNNNNNNNNNNNNNNNNNNNNNNNNNNNNNNNNNNNNNNNNNNNNNNNNNNNNNNNNNNNNNNNNNNNNNNNNNNNNNNNNNNNNNNNNNNNNNNNNNNNNNNNNNNNNNNNNNNNNNNNNNNNNNNNNNNNNNNNNNNNNNNNNNNNNNNNNNNNNNNNNNNNNNNNNNNNNNNNNNNNNNNNNNNNNNNNNNNNNNNNNNNNNNNNNNNNNNNNNNNNNNNNNNNNNNNNNNNNNNNNNNNNNNNNNNNNNNNNNNNNNNNNNNNNNNNNNNNNNNNNNNNNNNNNNNNNNNNNNNNNNNNNNNNNNNNNNNNNNNNNNNNNNNNNNNNNNNNNNNNNNNNNNNNNNNNNNNNNNNNNNNNNNNNNNNNNNNNNNNNNNNNNNNNNNNNNNNNNNNNNNNNNNNNNNNNNNNNNNNNNNNNNNNNNNNNNNNNNNNNNNNNNNNNNNNNNNNNNNNNNNNNNNNNNNNNNNNNNNNNNNNNNNNNNNNNNNNNNNNNNNNNNNNNNNNNNNNNNNNNNNNNNNNNNNNNNNNNNNNNNNNNNNNNNNNNNNNNNNNNNNNNNNNNNNNNNNNNNNNNNNNNNNNNNNNNNNNNNNNNNNNNNNNNNNNNNNNNNNNNNNNNNNNNNNNNNNNNNNNNNNNNNNNNNNNNNNNNNNNNNNNNNNNNNNNNNNNNNNNNNNNNNNNNNNNNNNNNNNNNNNNNNNNNNNNNNNNNNNNNNNNNNNNNNNNNNNNNNNNNNNNNNNNNNNNNNNNNNNNNNNNNNNNNNNNNNNNNNNNNNNNNNNNNNNNNNNNNNNNNNNNNNNNNNNNNNNNNNNNNNNNNNNNNNNNNNNNNNNNNNNNNNNNNNNNNNNNNNNNNNNNNNNNNNNNNNNNNNNNNNNNNNNNNNNNNNNNNNUGACACCUAUUUAUGAGAGACAUAAAAAUUCCAAAUUUUUCCAGCUAGUAAGUAAAUCAUCUAACUCUAUCGUUCCGCUAUAAGAAUUUCGAGCCAUGUCAAGGACCAUAAGUUGGGUAAGAUUCCUAAGUGAAGAUGUAAUUUGACCUGAAAAAUUACACUUAGUGAUAUGUAUUACUUCCAAUGACCUAAGAUUUCCAAUGGAACCAAGUAAGUCACCCGAAAAACUAUUCAAUCCAAGAUACAAAAAUUGUAGCCGGGUGAAAUUACCAAUCGAAUGUGAAACUUUGCCCCAAAAACUACAUGACCUCAGAUCUAAUAACUUCAAAGAACUAAAAUUCCCCGUCGACCAUGGAAACUCACCCGAAAAUUUAUUGAAUGAAAGGUCAAGUUUUUCCAAAGAAAAAAGAUUUCGAAUGGAAGUAGGAAUCUCACCAAAAUAUCCAUUUUGUGAAAGGUCAAGUUCUUUCAAAGAACCAAGAUUUCCCAUGGAAAUAGGCAAUUCACCAAAAAAUCUAUUUUGUGAAAGGUCAAGUUCUUUCAAAGAACUAAGAUUUCCAAUGGAAAUAGGCCACUCACUCGACAAAAAAUUUGCAGAGAGAUCAAGUUCUUCCAAUGAACAAAGAUUACCAACGGAAACAGGCAGCUCACCCUGUAAUUCAUUUAGUGAAAGGUCUAAAUGAAGGAGCUUGGAUAGAUUACCGAGUGAGGAUGGAAUUCUUCCUGAAAUUUGUUAAAAAAGAAAAAAGAACACAUUGCUUAAGUAGAAAAUUAAAAAUAAUAAUAGUUUUUACUAAUGAAUUUAACAUUGCAUGUAUAUUAAUUAAGGAGAAAAUAUAUAAAAUUGAAUUACCUUGCAAUUCACAGUUUUGAAGAGAAACAAACAUCGAAGAAGAUAGAUUUGUGAUGUUAUGAGGUAUCGUUGACUGAAUAGAAACAUCACCAAGGUCAAGUGUUUUUAGAUUGCUUAACUUCUCCACUAAAUUUACGAGACUGGGCUUCUGGAGUUCAAGUCUACCACCAGGAACAUCAUUUAGUGAUAAAUCAAGGGACACCAAGUUGGAGAGCUUUAGAAUUUCUGAUGGUAUUUGGCCAGAUAAAGAAGUUCCAGAGAGGUUCAAGUAUGAUAACCUGGAAAGGUUGAUGAUUUCUGGUGGGAUUUCGGAGGAAUUGAAGUCAUUCAAAGCAAGAUUAAGCCACUCGAGAUGGACAAGCUUGAAAAGGCUGCUGCUAGAGUUGAUAGAACCAAAAAGACAGCUAUGGGAGAGGUCAAGCUUGAUGACAUGACCAGUGUUCUUAUUGCAAUGAACGCCGUCCCAAGAGCAGCAAUCAACGUUACCUUCUUCUGGCUUCCAUGAUGCCAUUGUAGGACGACAGUCAAAUUUCCAAGCAUAAAAAUCACCACUGAUGCGGCUUUCUUUGAAUUGCAACAAAGCAGAGCGCUCAUCAUCAUGGCAGAGUGGCAGCAUAGAAGAAGUAGUGACGUUAGCAAUUGUUAAAUUAAAGAAAAUGAAGGGAAAAACUAACCGUAUGAAUAUUGUGAAUAAACAUAUAAAGGAUAAAGCCAUAGUUUUCUCAAAAAUAAAAUUUGUUUAACUUUGUAGAUGUGAAGAAAUUUAAGGAUCUUGGUUUGCUUUUAUAGGCAAAUUGCAGCAAUUCAAACAUUGAAGUCAUUGGACUCUUUUUUGUUUUUUUAAAGUCAACCAAAGUUAGUCUUAAUAAUAUUUAUUUUUUAUAUUUGAUGUGAUGUCAUAAACUUUUACCAUUUCGUCACCACCGAAAAUACGUUUAUAACAAACGUGAGGAUUAAUUUAUUAGUAGAACUCGCAUUAAAUAGGGUUCAUUGACUUUAACCCAUUUGUGUGGAAAUUGAUUAAAUUCCGAAAAUUGCUUUUCAAAAUCGUCCAUUCAUCGCUACCGCCGCUAUUUGAGGGUCUUUGCAUUUAUAUUUGCGGUGUGGAAAUAUGAAGAGACAUCGAUAUUAAUAAACCCGUAGGGCAAGGCAACAUACGAUAAGAUGUUGAUACUUUGAAUAAUAUUUUUGACGCAGUAACGUUGAAAAUUUAAAAUAAAAUAAGUGUUGAAAAAUUAUUAGUGUUUCGUUGACCCAUGACUCGGCUGUUUGAAUCUGAGAUCUUACAACUUGCAAUAUGUUAGGUAUAUUUUUAUUUACUGAAGAUUGUACGUAAGUUUCCAUACUAAUUAAUUCACAUUAAAACUCAAAUCUCAAGCUAAAAAUGGGUCUAAGUAAUGAACCUUGUAAAUGUUCAUGUGAAUUUCCAUUUGUAGUUUGAAGCAAUAACAAUUUUUCGUCUUCAUUUAGUUAAUGAAUUUGCUUAUGGCUCAUCUUGAUAUUCAAAAUAUUCAAUAAUGUAUCAUCCACAGAAUGUGUACUACUCUAAUCGCAUUGGUAGGUACAAGUGUAGUGUUUCUAAGAAGCAUAAUUGCAUCCACAAUUAAUCUCCCUUUAAUUCUUGUCAAAAUUAUAAGUUUACCAUUAAAGGAAAAAAAAAAGAAUGAAUGAAUACAUCAAGACGCUAUUUGGUAUAACGCUCAUUUUCUAACUUAAAGAUAUAUUAUCUAUGCUAUUAUAAAAAAUUGGUGUAAACGAUAAAAUUUGAGUGCAAAAACCAAAAAAAAGAAUUUCCCAAGGAAGAGUGGGCACAUUUUCUCAUUCUUCGUACCAAAGUUGCAUAUGUAUUAAAGCGUUCUAAACUCAUUUAAAAACAAGAAAACGAACGUGGCAGACUUUGAUGACGAAAUCCAACGGCCUCGGUGUAAAGGUUGAUUUUCGUAAUCAAGUCAGCACACGCGUCGCUAUAUGAUUGGUUGGAAUAGUCGUGUGUUAAUAAGGGCCGAUCAAGAUCGCCGACCUUUUUUUUUCCUCCCAGUGGGUUCCGCCAAAUUGAUGAGCCAAGUUUGGCUCUUGGUACUUCUGAAAUCUUUUACACCACAAAACGCAAGAGCAUUUAUUCACUUGAAAAGCCAUACACGCCAUUUUAUUGUCAUUUUUUCCAAAGCACGAAUGGAUGGUCCCUUCGUUGUGCGAUUGAAAGGACAUUGAUACCAAAGAGGAAAAGGAAAAAUUAGUAAACUUAUGCAAUUUAAUUUAUGAAAUUAAUUACAUGAUUUAUUUUAAUGAUUGAUGUUAUUAUGUUAUGAUAUUUCUGGAGAUUGAUUUCAUCUUGUUAAAUAUAUGAAUUGGACAACACAUCGCAUUUAACCACUACCAAAUAAUCUUAGAUGCAAUCGAGCCUUAGUUGUAGAAAAUAGGUGAAAUAUAAAUAUAUGCAUUUUCAGUCCUUGUCACCAUUGUUAUACGAUAUAUGACACUUUAAUUUUGCCUAAAGAUUCAAAAUGUUUUAAAAAAACAUUGGAGUGCUAAAAAUCAAUAGAAGGACUAAAAUACAACAUUUUCACCCUCACGAAAAACCACAAAUUUUUAUAAUUUUAUUUCAAUCCUCAAAAUAAUGAUCCUCAUAAAUCAACUCAUAUGGGUAAUACAUCAAUUUUAUUUUUGUUUGAAAAAAUGAAAACAUAAUUCCAAAGUGGUCCAGACCAUUUGAAAAAAAAAAUGAUAAAUAUUAUUUGGAUAUGAUAUCAACUCAAAAUUCAAACAAAUCUUACAAACAACUGGCGAAAAAUGGUGAAUUCCAUUCCUUGACCGGGGUUUAUUAAAUUAAAGUGCUGUCAUCGUUUACCAAAACCUCUAACUAGCAAUACCCACUAAUAAUAUCCUAAAUAAUUUAGCCCACAUACAUUUAACAUUUAUUUUUAAAAACAAAUCUAACAAUCCAGCAUUUCAUGGACCGCAAGACUAUAUAUAUAUAUAUAUAUAUAUAUACACGCAACUAAACAUUCCUUGCUCCACAUGACCAAACUUGCACCCAUAUGGUACCAUUUCUUUCAAACAUAAAAAAACAAUUGAAAAAGGGGGCCUCACUUUUCAGCUCAAUAAAAUACACUAGAAAGUAUUAUCAGUUACCAAAUCUAACUCACAAUCAUUAAAAAAAGAAAAAUGAUAAACGAACAAAAAGGAGUGAGAAGGACGAUGGAAACGGCAGCACGAGCUGCCGUUUCACGCGUCCUUCUUACUCUUACCAUUUGGCGUUUAAAAUAUUAAAAUAACACUUUAAAAAGGAAAAUGGUAUUGACAUGAAGGACUAAAGGAGAGCACAAAAAUUUGGGUCUAAAAGCCACCUGUUCGUACGUGCAAACACCACACGCACGGACGCAAAAAUCCAGCAAAAAACUCACGCGUCUCCCUCACCAAGCAGCAAGAUUCUCGAUCUCUCUCUCCCAACAUUCUCCAUGUCUCUCUCCCGUUUCAACACUAGGUCGGUCUCAGCUUCGUUCUCCCUCACCACGCAGCAGCACAAAACCGGUCAUUUUCAACAAUUUCUUAAAAAAAAAAAUGAAACAAAAGCCACAACCUUGCAGUCAAUAGUGCUGCCGUUGAUGUGGUUCUGAUAGUUAAAUAGGUUCUGAUAUAUAGUUAAAGAAGAUUUUCUGGACAUGUCUAGUAGAUGCCCUGCUGUUGACAUAAAUAGUUACAGGACGAUAUUGUAUCAGCAAAUUUUUAUUCAUUCAUCAAGUCAUAGUGCAAGUUGUAGCAAUUAGGGAGAGAACCGAUGAGGAUGGAAAAAGAUCCGAGUGUCUUAUUGUCAGUGUUGUAGAUUUUUGUUCUCUCAAAUGGAGUCCAAAUGCUGAAUUCCGCAGCUGCAAAGAAACCCGAACAAUUUCCAUUCCAUGCCUUCUCAAUGGUCAAUGGCCAAUUUGUGCCACUUAUAUGUAUCAACUGCAAAGCUGCCUCUGUUGACGUGGUGGUUGUCGGCACCAAACUCAAAUCUCGACGGCACCGAAUGCAGAUUUCUCAUCUUUUAAAUAGCAAGCCAAUGAUUUUAUUUUAUUUGGCUAUCGAAGUCGAAGUUCUGCCGCUUGGAGAAAGGAAAUGGCCGCAUUAUUUUUAAAGCUGUAGAACAACUGCAGGAGUAGAUCACAGGCCUCCAUUUCUAAACUUUAUUGCGGGCCAUUGCUUAUUUCAUUGACCAUUAUUUUUGCGCCAUUUUUUAACCAUUAUUUUAAUGUAUUUGUGGACCAUGGGGAAGAGUGAGAAGGACGCGUGAAUCGGCAGCAAAUUCUGCCUUUUCUGUCGUCCCUCUUUCUUCCUUAUGGCUAAAUAGCAUAACUCAAAAAGAAACGUCAACACCAUUGGACCUCAGUUUUGGAUCCAUCCCAAUAAAAAACACUAGUCAAUGAAAAGUGAUAUAUCAUCAAGCAAAAUCAGUUCACACACAUGCAAGCUCUGACUAAAAAAUUACAAAAUAUAACAAAAUUCAGGCAAACCAUUGCCAGCAAGCAUUGUUUAAACAUUGAAUGGAAAGGCAAGUAAAGAAUUGAACAAACCUGAUGCUAGAAAUCGAAUUUGAAAGGGAACAAAGCAGUGAAAUCCCGCAAUUCAGAAAAAAAUAAAAAAAAGGACAUAUUAAAUUAAAUGAUUGAGCAAUUUCAAGAUUUAAUAAAAGGACAAAGUAUAAGCUUCUUGAAUUAAAAAAAUAAAAAAAUAACAACUGAAACAAACAAGAAUUAAAAAAAUAAAUAAUAAAGAUAAACCAUUCAUGAUAGAAAUCCCAAAAACAGGGCAUAAAGUAUGAAGAAAUAAGGGAGAUAACAACAAAACUGAAAAUUAAUUUUAUAAAGCUCAACUAAUUUAUUCAAAAUAAAAAAUAAAAAAGCUAAUUGACAAUAAACCUAAGGAUUCAGCAAUUACAAGAAUGGCUUCUCCACCGCCAAUUAAACAAUGCAAAGAAAUAGCGACAACGACGGCUUCAAUAGCGAACGUGUUGUUCGAAGGCGCAACAAUGAGCAUAUAUGGUGAUUUUGUGCUUAAAAUUUUAUAAUGAAGUGGUUGCUUCAAUAGCAUAUACGAUGAUUUUGGUUUCCAUGCAAUGGAUUUCAAAACCAAUUUGUAGAUUAAAGUAGGCACUACUAAAAAAACGCGUUUUUAUGAUAGAAAAUUUAUGAUACAUAUCGAAUUGUCACGAAAGUAUCAUCAAAGAAUGAUAUUUUCGUGACUAAUAUCUUUUUGUCAAACUGUUAUGACAUAUUCGUGACUCAUUUAUUUAUGUCAUUUAUUAUUGAUAAAAACAUGUCAUGUUCUGUUUUUAUUUUUUUAAUCAUUUAUAAAACUUGAUAGGCAUCAAUCACGGGUUCAAACGACAUCGUAUUUAAAUUGAUUUAUUUUACCAAAAUGCCAUUAACAAAAAAUUUUUACUUUAUAAUUAUUAAAAAAAAAGGUUAAACGAUGUCGUUUAAGCGUUAUAGUUUAAAAGAUCCAAACUUUCAACACUCAGAAAAAUUAAGUGUUUCGUAUGUUUUCUUUUCACACGAAUAAACAGCCCUAACCCUUACUAACAACACAGCCCUAACUCAGUUUCAGCCAAAGAAAACGAAACAUUCACAGCCGCCAUCACCUCAGCCUCUCACUCAACUCAUAUCACUCAACUCAUAUCACUCAACCUCCCACUUAAAUCAGCUGUCAUUAUUCGAUUGGAAAAACCUCAGGCCAUGCGAAGACCCAUGGAAGCGGUGGUAGAGCCAACGCGUGGCGGGAUGCCGCGAAUUGAGAUCCAUGACCCGUACAAACUCGAUGGCUGGUCGCAGCAACUCCCGCGACUUCUGGGCAGUGGUGGCGGUCGGAUUUUGAAGGGGUUGUUGUGAGGAGUAAAACUGAGGUGGUGGUUGAGAGAGGUCUGGUGCAACCGUGGGAAGGGUGACUGGGGAGCUUGAAGUGGGUGGUCAAUUUACUCCAUUUCCUUCUUCACCUCCAAGUUACAUUGGUGUUAAUGGGUUGUGCCCUCUUGCAUACUCUUUAUUGGCCCAGGUAACAAAUCUUUAUUUUGCAUUUGUGUUCUUUUAUUGUUGAUUCUAUCUUGCUUUUUGCAUAAAAAAGGGAAAAGUUCUCUAAUUAAUCACAAUGACAAGAAACUCCCGAAUUAUUUUGAAGUUUUCUAGAAGGUAAUGUUGAAACUUGGCUAUUUAAUUUCCCAAAAUCGUUUUAGUUUUGAAGAAAUCCACCGCUCAUCGUUGCUCUGGUGAAGAAGGUAAAGACGAAAAUAACUUCUUUUUUUUUUUUUUUGGAAACUGAAAAUACACUACUUUAUAUAUGAUUGUCUAGGAUUAACAAGGGAAAUUUCAGCAAGAAACUAACAGAAGUAGAUCAGCCAUGGCUUAACACACUACAUGCACAAUCUUGCAGUGACACAGAAAGUCACUAGAAAAACAUUUACUCUUUAACACUUAUUGCUGGUCAACUUAAGCUAACAUAAAAUUUCAACAGAUGCUAAUACUUAUAACUUAGGGGCACUUGGGUUUAUUGCCCCGAGUAGUCAUAUCAGUGUAGCACUUGCCACACUUCUCUCUGUUGCCAUAAGUUCCUGGCCAACAGAAGCAGAGCAGCUCUGAAAGCCAUUGGAAGACAGAACCCAGCCGAAAGAAACGAAGAAGAAAGUUUGAGAAGCUAGGCACUCCCUGCUUGGUGCUCAAGACGAAAAUAACUUGUUUGAUUUUGAAAAUUAAAUCCGUUGCUCCUUAUUAUUCCUUGAUUUAUUGGCUUUUUCUAUUUAUUAUGCAUAGUUAAAAAUGGAAAUUGAUCUCUCAAUGCCUUGGGUUUUGACCUAACUAAAAUUUGGGUUCUUUGAAAUCGAAGUUGGAGGUUAAUUUGGCUGAUUUUGAAUGAUGAAUUUAUCACUGACAAUUCAAAUUGAUUGAGUUCUCUUUGGUAAAUAAUAAUUGGUUAAUUUGACUGAUUUUGGAUGAUGAAUCUUCUUUGCAAUGUUAGUCAUUGCAAUAACAUUGUUUUGAGUUCAUGUGUAUUCUCUACUAUGCAUUUUUCUUCCCAAAAUUUCCAAUAGCGUAGUGCUUGUACUCAAAGAUUGCUUCGCAGGGAUCAAAAUUGCUUCAAUUCAUCUUGCAGCAACUGGAACUUAAACAUAAGCAUGCCAAUACGAUCGGCAGUUUGUUGGACUUUGCUUGGUCGAUGUUGAAGACAUGAAGAUUCAUUUAAAAGUGGGAAUAUUUUCUGACAUUGGGUUUGGUGUUUAUUUUUUAUGGGAAAGAUUGUAUACCAAAUUGUACAAAUGUUUGUUUACUUGAAUUGUUUGGUUGUAAUGAUUAAAUUAUAGAUGCUGAUUUGGAUGUCAAUUAUAGAAUUAUUUUUGGAUUAUUUAUUUAUUUUUUAGAAUUAAUUGAUAUAUUAUUGAAAUGUGCCAAAAUGAUUUUAAAAUAAUUUUUAAUAAUUCCCGCCCAAAUAUUUUGAAAAAUUAAAAAUAAUUGCGCCAAAUUAAAUAUUUAUCACUUUAAAUAUUUUAAUAUUUAUUUAAAAUUUCAGUUAUUCCUUUUAGAUUUAAUAAAAAUAAUUUUAUUAUUCCAAUUAAAUAUGUCAUGUUUAUGCGAUAGACAAAAGUCAUGAAUGGGAAAUGUUUAUGAUAGAUAUUAGUCAUGGGUGAAAAUUUCUCAUCAAGAUACCCAAUGACAGAAUCGUGAUAGAUAAUAUGUCAUGCUAAACAUGACACAUAAAAAUAGUCAAGGAUUUUUCUUGACACCGGAAUCAAUGACGGUCGCUCAAUUGUCAUGCCAUAGGGUGGAUGACGGGUAAUAACCGUUAUAAAGGACUUUUUUUCUAGUAGUGAGGGCUUGUUAAUUAUGGAUUUUGAGGGGUUUCAAUGCUUAGGUUUCUCAGCCCCGAUGGAGUGAUGAAGUCAAAGGAACUGAAGUGUUUAUUAAAAAUUAGAAUUUUCUUGUAGUUUAAAGUCUAUAGUAAACGACAGUGUUUAGAAGUUAAAAAAUAUUUUUAUUUUUAAAAUUUUUUAAAUUAUGAAAAAUCAACACACAGUGCCGUUUCAUGCCCAAAUUGAUCAAUCCUAAACUCACCGUUUCAUUAAAUAUUAAUAUGCUAUCAUAUUUAUAUGAUGUAUAAAAACUAUCACAAAUUUGUCAUGCCUUUAUGAUGUAUGAAAAUUAUGUCACGUGUCUAGCAUAUUCUUAUGAUAAAUGACUAAUUUUCUAAUAUCUAUCACAAAAAUUCUGUCAUGUUAGCCCAUUAUUCUAGUAGUGAGAUAUUUAUCCAACUAGACUACAAAGUAAUUGAAAUUAAUUGUAACACCUAUGGCCAAAACUUGGACCCAGUGUUAUUCUAUAAUCAAAAUUGAAACCUAUAAUUACAGUCAACUUGAAUCUGAAUCAAAUGGGCAAAUGCGGGCAAAUGCCAUCUCUAGGCUCUAACCAUGAAACAAUAAUCAAAUCGUCAGACUUCUAAAAUAAGCCAAUGAAACAUUACUCACAAACCCAUCUAUUAACAUCUUUAAAGCUUUGGCACUGAAACUUAAAAGAGAGUUUUGUGUUAAAUAGUAUUGAAAGUAAACACAACAACAAUUAUAUAUAGCAAAGAUUAGUGGGAAAACAGAUGUAUUAAAAUUGUUCUUGACUCCCAAUUCUGCCAAAAUAAAAUAAAUGAGCGUAACAAGCAACCGGACCACAGAGAAAGAUAUCUCCAACACCAUAAGCGGUCGCUUCUGAAAAUGCAUUCUGGUUGCAGCUCUACUUCUUGUCACGGUACAAGUAUGUGUGUUGAGUAAUGAAAAGUACCAGCUCAACUAUCUCCUCAUCCCUCACCCCGGAACGAAUCUCCCCAGCUGAAUGGCACGAGCAGUGUCUUGGUAAUAUAUCCUGUACGGAGCAUAUGCCAACUAGAGACGAGUACUGACCAGAGGUACAUACCGACCAGAUAAUCAUCACCCAAAGAAAGAGGACACGAUCUCAAGAACUCACGACAGUUUCUCCAUACCCCAAACCGCUGGGGAGAACAUGACAUUCCACGUUUACCCACGAUUCGGCGGUUGGAGACCCAUGAAGGUCUGUCAUCACCCGAAAAUGAGGGGCAUGAAGAAUACUCAGAAAACGUGGGAUGAUUGCCUAUAAAAGCAUAUGUGUUUAUUUAAUUGUAAUAAACAUUUUUUCUGAUUAAUAAAAUUAAUGAGGUAUUUUAUUCAAAUAUCUUAAUUGCAUUAAUAUUUUGAUCAAAGUCCAUUUAAUCAUAUUAUAUGUAUUUAUGUGAUCACCAUGUGGAUUCACAAAAGACAUAAAUAUAAGUUAUCUUAUGAUUAAAUAAAAUUAGUUCGCAGUUGAUAAAUAAAGUUGGGCACUUUAUUUAGGUAUAGACUGUAAUGAAUUCAUUGAAUGAUUUGUCUUAAUCAUGUAUGAAUUUAUUAAUGUAGUACGACUACAUUGAACAAGAUCACAUAUGAGAUUUAUUUAACCUUGAAAUGACUGUCAGACUUAUUAAAUCUCAUAGGCAUUGAUUUUACUGUAAUCUUAAUCUUGAGUUAAUUAUGAUUUCAUGAUUGUAAUUGUUAUUCCAUUUGAGUUACCAAUCGGCACGACACAUUCUUGUGGUCAAGAUUACCCGGUAUCUUGGUGGGAGCAAUUAUGAGUAUUGGAGUUAUGGAUUAACAAUAUAGAAUUUGUACAACACAUCUCUUGAUGGGUUUUCGACACUUGAUCAUAUAAUUCUCUGGCUAGAGUGUGUCAACAUAUUUAGUAUGUUGAAAAUUAUCAUUAGAGAAAACCAGUAAGUAUCAAGGACCAAGAUGUUAUUAAAUUGAUUGGACAGUUGAGAUAUCAAUUUAAUUAACGAUGUGGUACAAAUGAUUGUGCAGUAAAGAAAUCAAUGUGGCUUGGGACGAAUUAUUAUUCGAGCAUACAAUUAUGGAAGUCAGUUCCAAUCUUUUAGUGGAGUAGAUUUGGAAUUAAAUAAUUGGGCUAGUUUAAUUAUAGGCCUAAUUAUUGUAGCCAUUAGUGUAUGUUCCCAAAUGAUCCCCGGGUUAGCUCAUUUAAUUGACUGCACCACUACUGGAUUAAUAAGCAAGAUAACUAGCUAUUUGGGUCAAAAGCCUAAAUAUAUCAUUUAGUGGGAGGCUCCAUUUAAUUAGCUUGUGUGUAAGGGGCCUUAUGUUAUUUUACAAGGUGGGUCCCCUAUAGAAAAAGCAAGUAACGUGAGUUUUGAUUUUGAUAAUUUGGAGCCUAGGGUUUUCACAAAAGGGAGAUAUAAAAAGACUUAUUUUCUCUAAAGAAAGAGAGAGCAGCCACUUUAUACAGAUGAGAGAAAAAGAUUUUUCUCUCUAUUGUUGAGAGAAAAAUUUUCUCGUGCUAGUUGUUUUAGUAGUGAUAAAGGCGCCCACACGUCAAGUGCAGAUCAAACCUGAGUCAUAACCUGGAAGAUCAUUGGUGACAGUUCGUGAUCUAACAAGCGUGGUGGUGAUGGAUUGUGAUCUAAUAGGCGUGGUGGUGACGGAUCGUGAUCUGGGAGCCUAAAUCACUUCAGCGGAAAAAUCUAAAUCGGAUUUUCAAGGUACGAUUUCUAGAUUACAAAUUCUUAUAUAUUAUAUGAGAGCGAUCUUAAAAGGUUUUAUAAAAAAUUAAAAAACUGAAUUUUCCCCAACAGCAUGUUCUAUGCAUAUGUCGUGUCAGAAAAUUAUUUCUUAGUUUCAUAGACAAGAAUGAUGAAGGAGAGAUGUAAAUAUGAACGCCGUUCUAAGCCAACUAAAGUUGAAUUCGCCAUAUCAUUAUAAUGGAUGUUAAUAUUGCUAAUUUGGAGUCAAAGUCAUGCGUUGAUUGCAUUUGUAUUGUCUGUAUGACUAGGUCGUGGCAAAGGCUCAUGGAAUAAAUCUGCUUCUUUUUACUCUUUUCCCCACUACCACCAGUUCACUUAACUUUUCCUUCACGGCAUGCUGAAUGAGAUCUUCUACUCCAUCAGUGCAUUUAGGAUUAGAUUUCUAAUUUGUCCGAUGUCUCUGCAUUUUCUUGAACUCUCUACUCUUCCUCGUGUAAUUAAGGAGGAUUAAAGUAAAAGAAAAGGGUAGAACCAGUUAUCCCUAUUUGUUGCACUAGCUAUUAGAUUUCCAUAUUAGAGUAAUUAUUGGCCAAAAACAUAAUUUUUUAUUUAAAUUGUCAAAAAGACUUGAAUGUUCUCAUCCUAAAAUAAGUUCCAUUAAAAUGAUCAUAAUAUUUAUGGAAUGUUUAUAACUAAGAAUGAGUGCAAGCAUAUCAUAUUUAUUUCUAUUUAGGUUUAUAAGAAUUAUAAGAGGAAAGAAACUCUUUUUUGGAAAGAAUCCUAGUCUUUUAACUACAAUCUUAAUAAUUUUUUUCACAUCAGCCACAUACUUAUCAAACAACAUAUCAUAUUUAAGGCAAGAUUUAUCCAUUUUUUGUUUAGCACAUGACAUAUAAUCGAGACAAAUUUCAACAUAUUGUAGUAAUGGGCAGCAAUGAUAAACGGUUUCCAUUAUCAAUAAAUUAAGCAACAAAACAAUAUUAAUAUUCAGUUUAUAAAUUAAUGAAAUAAAUAAAUUAAAAACAAAAGCUUGUCAUCAUGUGCAACAAAUAUAACUUCACCAACGUGUUGUCAUCGUUUGCCAAAACCUGUAACUAACAAUACCCAGCUAAUAAUAUCGUAAAUAAUUUAGCCCACAUAUAUCUAACAUUUAUUUUUAAAAAAAAUCUAACAAUCCAGUAUUUCAUGGACCACCAGACUAUAUAUAUAUACAUAUAUAUAUAUAAGCAACUAAACAUUGCUUGGUCCACAUGACCAAACUUGCCCCCACAUGGUACCAUUUCUUUCAAACAUUAAAAAGACAAUUGAAAAAGGGGGCCUCACUUUUCAACUCAAUAAAAUACACUAGAAAGUAUUAUCAAUUACCAAGUCUAAAUCACAAUCAUUAAAAUAUAUGUCAACACCAUUGGACCUCAGUUUCGGAUCCUUCCCAAUAAAAAACACCAGCCAAUGAAAAGUGCUAUAUCAUCAAGCAAAAUCAGUUCACACACAUGCAAGCUUUGACUGAAAAAUUACAAAAUAUAACAACCUUCAGACAAACCAUUGCCAGCAAGCAUUUUUUAAACAUUGAAUGGAAAGGCAAGUAAAGAAUUGAACAAACCUGAUGUUAGAAAUCGAAUUUGAAAGGAAACAAAGCAGUGAAAUCCUGCAAUUCAGAAAAAAAAAAAUUUUUAAAAGAGGGCAUACUAAAUUAAAUGAUUGAGCAAUUUCUAGGUUUAAUAAAAGGACAAAGUAUAAGCUUCUUGAAUUAAAAAAAAAAAUUAAAAAAUAACAAAAGAAACAAACAAGAAUUAAAAAAAUUAAUAAUAAAGGUAAACCAUUCAUUAUAGAAAUCCCCAAAAAAGAGGCAUAAAUUAUGAACAAAUAAGGGAGAUAACAAUAAAACUGACAAUUAAUUUUAUAAUGCCCAACUAAUUUAUUCAAAAUAAAAAAAUAAAAAAGCUAAUUGACAAUAAAGCUAAGGAUUCAGCAAUUACAAGGAUGGCUUCUCCACCGCCAAUUAAACAAUGCAAAGAAAUAGUGACAACGACGGCUUCAAAAGGGAACGUGUUGUUCGAAGGCGCAACAAUGAGCAUAUAUGGUGAUCUUGUGCCUAAAAAUUUAUAAUGAAGUGGUUGCUUCAAUAGCACGUACAAUGAUUUUGGUUUCUAUACAAUGGAUUUCAAAACCAAUUUGUAGAUUAAAGUAGGGCUUGUUAAUUCUGGAUUUUGAGGGGUUUCAAUGCUUAGGUUUUUCAGCCCUUGCUGAUGGAGUGAUGAAGUCAAAGGAGCUGAAGUGUUUAUUAACACUUAGAAUUUUCUUGUAGUUUAUAGUAAACGACAACGUUAAGAAGUUAAAUAAAUACUUUUGUUUUUCAAAUUUUUUUAAUUAUGAAAAAUCAAUCCUCGGUGCCGUUUCAUGCCCAAAUUGAUCUGUACUAAACUCACCAUUUUAUUAAAUAUUAAUAUGCUAUCAUAUUUAUAUGAUAUAUAAAAACUCUAUCACAAAUCUGUCAUGCCUUUACGAUAUAUGAAAAUUCUGUCACGUGUCUAUCAUAUUCUUGUGAUAAAUGACUAAUUUUCUAAUAUCUUUCACAAAAAUUCUGUCAUGUUGGCCCAUUAUUCUAGUAGUGAGAUAUUUAUCCAACUGGACUACAAAGUAAUUGCAAUUAAUUGUAACACCUAUGGCCAAAACUAGGACCCAGUGUUAAUUUAUAAUCAAAAUUGAAACCUAUAAUUACAGUAAACUUGAAUCUGAAUCAAAUGAGCAAAUGGGGGCAAAUGCCUUCUCUAAGCUCUAACCAUGAAACAAUAAUCAAAUCGUCAGAUUUCUAAAAUAAGCCAAUGAAACAUUACUCACAAACCCAUAUAUUAACAUCUUUAAAGCUUUGGCACUGAAACUUAAAAGAGAGUUUUGUGUUAAAUAGUAUUGAAAGUAAACACAUCAGCAAUUAUAUACAGCAAAGAUUAGUGGGAAAACAGAUGUAUUAAAAUUGUUCUUGAGAUAGGAAUGACGAAGGACAGAUGCAGGGGCACCAUUUUAAGUCAACCAAAGUUAAAAGAUGAUUCGAACCCAUAGUUGUUGCAUAAAAACCUUUGUUACCUUUACUUUUGUUGUCAAAAUUAUUAUUAAUAUAAUUUUUUUAAUGGUAGAAGUAGAACCUAAUCCCUCACAAUUAUCAUUUAAUAAUAUGUUAAUUACCAAACACUAUUAUUUUUUUAUUCAUACCUAGUAGUGAUUUAAAUUUGAAAAGCGACAAAUCCAGAAACCAGUUUUUAAUAUAUAAUAACCAGCUUAUAUUUUUAUUUUUUGAGGAGAAAUGUAAGGAUCCUAUAAAAAAAAAAACCGCCAACAUUACAAUGACAGAAUUAGAAACGAAAAUCACAAUAACAUUAUAAUUGCAUUCAGUUUCUACGUCUCCUCCUCCUCCUUGUUGCCUUUUGCUGCGUUCCCAACUUCUCCAGAAUCCAUCCGAUAAUUCCUGUGCUAAAGUUGAACCCGACAACCAAUCCUGCCACAAGUCCGCCCGCGUAGCCAAUCAGAAUGAUUUUCCAAUCAGAUGUGCCCGAAAAUAGAGACUCCUCUGAGCCCUUAGUAUGAUCUUCAUUUGCUGGAGCUACAUCACUCUCACAUCCUUUGGACAAAGGCCUUCCACACAAUCCUGAGUUGCUGUCGAAAGAAGUAUUGUCAAAUGUAGCAAAUUGCUUUCCUGGUGGUAUCAGUCCUGUAAGGUGAUUGUCCGAGACAUUGAAGAAUUCGAGAAAUGUGAGCUCAACUAGUUGUUGAGGAAUCUGUCCUGAAAACUUAUUGUUUGAGAGAUCCAAUGAUUCCAAAUUUGGUAGAUUGCCCAAACAUGACGGAAUAUGGCCUUGGAGACUAUUGUUCUGGAGAUUUAGAACUUGAAGUCCCUUUAAAUUCGCAAUCGAUGCUGGAAUCACCGAAUCAAAACUAUUGUUUGAGAGAAUAAUGCCCGCUAGGAUAUCCGGAAUCUUGUUAUAUGUCAUCAUUCGCCCUUUUGAUGUUCAUUGUCAUUAAGUAGUCGUAAGUGCUAAGUAUAUCAUUGGCCGUUUGUCCAUACGGAGAAAGCACAUCUUGCAGAUAUCUUAGCUCACUUGUUGAUGAAGAGUAGGAAUCCAUAUUAUACUAGGAUUAGUUUCCUUAUUAACUAAAGUUUAAGACUUUUAAAUUCCUUUCUAAUUUAGAAUUUUGUUUCCCUUUCAAUUUAGGAUUUUGUUUUUACUUCAUGAAUUAGGAUAAUUACUACUACUAUAAAUAGCUCCCUCUUGUAGUCUUUGAUGGUAGAAUUUUGAGUUUAAUAAUAUUUCAAUUUUCAAAUCUCUUUGUGAGUAUUUGAACAGUUAAUUCUCGGUAUUCUGCAGAAUCAACGAGUCUUAACCCCUAAAUUCGCGGUAUUCUUUUGAAUCAACGUGAAUUUAGUUGUUCUUUUGUUCCGGUAUUCUCUAGAAUCAACAGAAUAUUUUGAACAUUAAAAUUCCGCUGCAUCACUUGUAUUGACAAUUUUCAUGGCAUUCCAACACAAGAAACUCUUUAAUGGAAGCGUUCCAAUAAAUAUGUUGUUAGAUAGGUCAAUGAUGCGGAGUUUAGAAAAUCCACAAUCAGUUCUGGGUUCUUUUAUAAUGCCAUAAAAUAUGUUAGAUCGUAGGAUGAGAACAUUCAAGUUUGGAAGAGUUCCUAACCAAGAGGGAAAAGUGUCACUAAUCUGGUUGUUCCCAAGACCAAGAAAUUCCAACUUUGAACAGUUGAUCAAUGAUCUUGGAAUUCUUCCUUAAAAUAUAUUAUGGCUUAAAUCAAUCACGCCUAAUCUACUUUCUUUAAUGAAAGUAUUUGGGAUGGUCCCAAAGAAGUUGUUCCCCUGCAAGUCGAGCACUGAAAGUUCAUCACUAGAAUUGCCUAAACACUGAGGAAGCAAUCCACUUAAGUUAUUGUGAGACAAAACAAGGCUUUCAAGAAUAUUCAAAUUGCAUAUCCACGAUGGAAUUUCCCCAGUUAAGCUAUUGUUUGAAGCUAGAUAGUGAAUGGUUCCGGGGGGUGGAACUGGGAGUGGUCCUUGUAAAUUAUUAGAGCUAAGAUCAAAAGUCAGCAAAUCACCUUUAUUCGCUGGAAGAACAACAAGAUGCUGAUCAAACCCAGUUAAAAAGUUAUGCGAAAUGUUCAAGGCAUUGAGAUUCUGCAUAUUGGGGUCUAACAACCAUUUAGGUACUUUUCCUUGAAUUCUAUUGUCAGAAAGGUCCAGGACCAGCAAAUGAUAUUGGUUUUGCAAGAAAUUUGGAAAUUUAGUAAGAUUGCAAGAACGCAGUCCUAUAUACUUAAGUUUCUGUGAAGUGGUAUUAGAAGUGGCUUUGGUGAGCACUGACAACCUAUUUAAUGAGAGAGCUAAAAAUUCCAAAUUUUUCCAGCUAGUAAGUAAAACAUCUAACUUUAUCGUUCCUCUAUAAGAAUUUUUAGCAAGGUCAAGGAAGAAAAGUUGGGAAAGAUUCCUAAGUGAAGAUGUAAUUUGACCUGAAACAUUACACUUAGCGAUAUGUAUUGCUUCCAAUGAUCUAAGAUUUCCAAUGGAACCAAGUAAGUCACCCGAAAAAUUAUUCAAUCGAAGAUACAAAAAUUGUAGCUGGGUGAAAUUACCAAUCGAAUGUGGAACUUUGCCCCAAAAACUACAUGACCUCAGAUCCAAUAACUUCAAAGAACUAAAAUUUUCAGUGGACCAUGGAAACUCAACCGAAAAAUUAUUGAAUGAAAGGUCAAGUUUUUCCAAAGAAAAAAGAUUUCGAAUGGAAGUAGGCAACUCACCAAAAUAUCCAUUUUGUGAAAGGUCAGGUUCUUUCAAAGAACCAAGAUUUCCCAUGGAAAUAGGCAAUUCACCAAAAUAUCUAUUUUGUGAAAGUCAAGUUCUUUCAAAGAACUAAGAUUUCCAAUGGAAAUAGGCCACUCACUCGACAAAAAAUUUGCAGAGAGAUCAAGUUCUUCCAAUGAACGAAGAUUACCAACGGAAACAGGCAGCUCACCCUGUAAUUCAUUUAGUGAAAGGUCUAAAUGAAGGAGCUUGGAUAGAUUACCGAGUGAGGAUGAAAUUCUUCCUGAAAUUUGUUAAAAAAGAAAAAAGAACACAUUGCUUAAGUAGAAAAUUAAAAAUAAUAAUAGUUUUUACUAAUGAAUUUAACAUUGCAUGUAUAUUAAUUAAGGAGAAAAUAUAUAAAAUUUAAUUACCUUGCAAUUCACAGUUUCGGAGAGAAAUAAUCGUCGAAGAAGAUAGAUUUGCGAUGUUAUGAGGUAUCGUUGACUGAAUAGAAACAUCACCAAGGUCAAGUGUUUUUAGAUUGCCUAACUUCUCCACUAAAUUUACGAAACUAGGCUUCUGGAGUUCAAGUCUACCACCAGGAACAUCAUUUAGUGAUAAAUCAAGGGACACCAAAUUGGAGAGCUUUAGAAUUUCUGAUGGUAUUUGGCCAGAUAAAGAAGUUCCAGAGAGGUUCAAGUAUGAUAACCUGGAAAGGUUGAUGAUUUCUGGUGGGGUUUCGGAGGAAUUGAAGUCAUUCAAAGCAAGAUUAAGCCACUCAAGAUGGACAAGCUUGAAAAGGCUGCUGCUAGAGUUGAUAGAACCAAAAAGGCAGCUAUGGGAGAGGUCAAGCUUGAUGACAUGACCAGUGUUCUUAUUGCAAUGAACUCCGUCCCAAGAGCAGCAAUCAACCUUACCUUCUUCUGGCUUCCAUGAUGCCAUUGUAGGACGACAGUCAAAUUUCCAAGCAUAAAAAUCACCACUGAUGCGGCUUUCUUUGAAUUGCAACAAAGCAGAGCGCUCAUCAUCAUGGCAGAGUGGCGGCAUAGAAGAAGCAGUGAAGUUAGCAAUUGUAAAAUUAAAGAAAAAGAAGGGAAAAACUAACCGUAUGAAUAUUGUGAAUAAACAUAUGGAGGAUAAACCCAUAGUUUUCUUAAAAAUAAAAUUUGUUUAACUUUGUAGAUGUGAAGAAAUUUAAGGAUCUUGGUUUGCUUUUUUAGGGAAAUUGCAGCAAUUCAAACAUUUUAGUCAUUGGACUCUUUUUUUAUUUUUUUAAGUCAACAAAAGUUAGUCUUAAUAAUAUUUAUUUUUUAUUAUUUGAUGUGAUGCCCCACAAAAAAAAAUUGAUUUAAUGUGUUAUUAACAAUCUAUCCAGAAAAAACAAUUCUUUAAUAGGAUCUAUCGAACUUGACCUGUGUUUAUAUUUCCUUUCAUUUUCUAUAAUUUCAUUUUCUGAAUUAAUUUGCUUCUUUUUUUUUUCUCCUUUCCCCUCUUGUAUUUCCCUUCACGGCCAGUUGAGUAUUCUGCAUACUCGAGUAUAUGUCAUUGGCUGAUGACUUUUCACUACAACUCAAAAAUUUUCCUCCCCACGGCAUGUUGAUAUUAUCUCCAAACUAGCAACAUUAUCACUGUCACUCUUCUUUGUAAACUACGCACUCGUUGGUUGAGUGAUGAGCACAUGUACCUUGUGAUUAAAAAAUCACGCCAAGAAUUCGAGUUUUACUCCUUUAGAUUUCUUAGCCGAUCUGCCAAUGCGCCAAUUUGUAAUGAGCUUUAGCUGAUGGUUUCUGAGAUGGGCUCUAAUUAGUGCACCUAAAAUGUAACAAAUAUCUCACGUUAACAACCCAAAAUUCCAUAAUUUCAUGCAAAAUCAUUCUAGAAGUUAAAAUUAGGUGUUAAUCAGACACAAACACCAGAAAAAUUAAUGAAAUUUGGAUUCACUAAAAUUGGCGUGAUUUUUUAAUUUAGAUCAAUUAAAAAUACUUCAUUUUAUAGUGUCGGAUUCCCUAUAAGUCGUCAUAAAUCAUUAUCCAGACGAUCAAGGCCGGCGGAUAAAGACUCAAGACUAGAAUUAGAAGUCUUCGAGUAUCAAUCAUAUGUCGUGUCAGAAAAUUCUUUCUUAGUUCUAAGCCAACUAAAGUUGAAUUCGCCAUAUCAUGAUAAUGGAUGUUAAUAUUUGCUAACUUGGAGUCAAAGUCAUGCGUUGAUUGCAUUUGUAUUGCCUGUAUGACUAGGACGUGGCAAAUGCUCAUGGAAUAGAUCUGCUUCUUUUUUCUUCUUUCCCCACUACCACCAGUUCACUUAACUUUUCCUUCACGGCAUGCUGAAUGAGAUCUUCUACUCCAUCAGUGCAUUUAGGAUUAGAUUUCUAAUUUGUCCGAUGUCUCUGCAUUUUCUUGAACUCUCUACUCUUCCUCGAGUAAUUAAGGAGGAUUAAAGUAAAAGAAAAGGGUAGAACGAGUUAUCCCUAUUUGUUGCACUAGCUAUCAGAUUUCCAUAUUAUAGUAAUUAUUGGCCAAAAACAUAAUUUUUUAUUUAAAUUGUCAAAAAGACUUGAAUGUUCUCAUCCUAAAAUAAGUUCCAUUAAAACAAUCAUAAUAUUUAUGGAAUGUUUAUAACUAGAAUGAGUGCUCCUACUUGAACUAGUAAAAUCUCUUGAACUAAUUUAAAGGUUCAAUCCUGCUCACAUGAGUAAGGAGAGGAGAGGGGAUUUGUUUAAAUUUUAUUGUAUUGAAUUUCGUAAUUUCAAUACUUCCACGUAGUUAUUACGAUUUCAUCAAGUUUACGAUGCUAAUGAUCAAACAGUACAGUUUCUAAACUAACUAAAAUAGUACCUAGUUAGCUAAUUAGAUAACGGAUUGAUGGAAUAGAUGUGGAUGUCUAAUUUUAGAGUUUGAAUUUUUUUUAAAUUAAUCAAAGAAAACAUAUUUUCAAUUUUGAGUUAUUGUACUAUUAAUUAAUAAUUUAAUUAAAAAUUUAUUUAUUUGCUAUCAUUCUAGUUGUUGAAAAUGCCUUUAAUAGGGGUUGGUUCAAUAUUUGGUUGGAGUCUCUGAUUUCAUGCUGGCGGUCCAACUCCUUCUCUUCAUCCCUCUUUGACCAUUUGCAAUGUACUUGCAUUGCAAAUUUCUGUAGUCAAACUUGGGUCUUCAAUGUAGUCACAUCCCUUGGUAGGAUUUCUCUCCUUCAAAGAUUAACGCUCUUUCUUCUCGAGAUGCAAAUGGCUUUUCAAAUUGUCAUUUUUGUUAAUGUAGGUCCUGCAUUCACUAUUAGAAAAAUGGGCUAACAUGACAGAAUUUUUGUGAUACAUAUUAGAAAAUUAGUCAUUAAUCACAAGAAUGUGAUAGACACAUGAAAGAAUUUUCAUACAUCAUAAAGCCAUGACAGAUUUGUGAUAGAGUUUUUAUAUAUUAGAUAAACAUGAUAGCAUAUUAAUAUUUAAUCAAACCGUGAGUUUCAGAUGGAAUUAAUUUGGGCAUGAAAGACACCGUUUAACAGAUUUAAAAAAAUUUUAAAACAAAAAUAUUUAUUUAACAUUUAAAUGCUAUCAUUUAACUAUAUUGACUAAACCACAAAAAAAUUAAGUGUUGGCACCUUUGACUUAUCACUUCAUCGGCAAGGGCUGAGAAACCAAAGCACUGAAACCCCUCAAAAUCUAAAAUUAACCUAUUUUAAUCUACAAAUUGGUUUUAAAACCCAUUGCAUGGAAACCAAAAUCAUAGUAUAUGCUAUUGAACGAGCCUUCGCGUCCUUAUUUUGAACCCCCAUUAUUUUGAACCCAUUGGUUUUAGGCACAAAAUCACCACAUACGCUCAUUGUUGCGCCUUCGCGUCCAUUAUUGAAGCCAUCGGUGUCACUACUGAAAUACUAACUAGGCAACCCAAGAGGGGGGGUGAAUUGGGUUUUUAUAAAUUAAGCUAAGCAAACACACAACAAUCCAAUCUAAUGCCUUAAUAAAUUUGAAAACAAUAAAUUCAAUGAAAGCACAAUAAUAAAUGAGCAAGGGAAGAGAAAGCAAACUCAAGGAUUUUUACGUGGUUCGGCAAUCCCCGCAUACGUCAACGCCUCCAAGCACACCGGGCUUGAGGAUUUCACUAUCCGAGCCUUUCCAAGGCUUCAAUAGUUUACAAUUGACUUCAAGAUGUCAAUGAACCUUUACAACAAGAGAUUAUCUCUCCAAUCUCUUCACCCCAAGUGUUUCUCACACUUGUACACUCACAAUUUGAUGAGAAAUGAAAAUUACAUCAAUGAAACUCUCUUUAAGAGUGGAUAUACAAAUUGAAGAACAAAGGUGAUUUAAUAAAUGAUGAUUUACGAAAUUGAAGCUCAAUAUAUGUUGUGUGCACUUGUUUUUGCUUGCCAAGAUUACCAAAAAUGAAUUGGUUUUGAGUUUAUAUAGUUUGAGCUAAAAAACUAGCCGUUAUGCACAUUUUGGUCAUAACCGGCUUACCGUUUAUGGACAUCCGAUUAGCCGCUUAAUGUUACCGUUAUAGCCACAAUUUUGAAUUUCUGAACAUCCGGUAUGCCGCUUGUGAAAUCCGGUUAGCCAUUUAAGCUCCAGAAGCUUACUGCCCAACAACCGGAUUACCGUUUGUCAGGAUCCGGUUAGCCGCUUUCAAUUCGGAUAGAUUCUGCCCAACAUCCGGUUUGUCCUCAAAACUUUAUAAAACUAUAUUAUGGCCCAAAACGUUAUGAAAGCUUUCAAAUAGGUCCAAUUUCAGAAUUUUUAAAGAAUGCUUUGUCAAUCCCAAAACUUUCUGAAAUUAUGAUUUCACCCAAACUAUGUGAAAUUAUAGAAUGACCCAAAAUAUUUAAAUAAUUUCAAAUAGGUCCAAAUCCGAAAUUUUAAAAACAAUAUCAAAGGUUUUAAAAUACUUUCAUUUUAGUCCAAAACACUUUAAUUCCAUAACAUCAUUUUUCCAUUAAAUAUGAAACCUUUAUAAUUUGAAAAUAAUGAUUUAUUUAAAAAAUAAUAAUUUGAGCUUAAAAGAUUAAUCAUUCUUAAUCUUGUUUGUUAGCAUCAAAAUCAACAUUAUGGAAACAUAUAUGUUAACAAUCUCCCCCUUUUUGAUGAUGACAAACAUUUCAUGUAUUUAAAGAAUGAUUCCACAAAUUGCUCCCCCUAAAUAUAAUAUUCUCUUACAAUUUGCCAAUUAGCUAAAUUAACAUAUUUAAAUACAUAGAUUUUUCUCCCCCUUCAUCAUAAAAAAGAAAACUUAAUUGGCAAAGAAAAAGAGUAGUAAAUUUUUAUAAAUUUAAAAAUAUGUCUUCUUCUCCCCCUUCAUCAUCAAAAAGAAAACUUAAAGGAAAAGAAUAAGAGUAGCAAAUUCAUUACUCAUGUUUGUCCGAGUAGAAAUUUCAACACAUUCUCCCCCUAACAACAAGCAUUACCUCAAAUACAAGUUUAGUAAUAUUACUCCCAAAUUAUUAUAAAUCAUGAUACAAGCCAACUCCAUACACAAAUCAUCACACCAAAAUAUCAUGAACCAUUAUUCUAUUAAUUACCAAAUCAACAACUCAUAACAUAAAAUUAUCAUAUAAAACAACUCAUAACAUUAUUCUUUUUGGGUGAAAUUCUAUAAUACAAUAGAGGUAUCAUAUCAAUUCCCAACAAACAAAUAAUUUGAUGACAUAUGUGCUUUUAUUUUAGAAAAUCUCCAUGUAAGCGUGAUUAAAUUAAUUUAAUUAAACAUAUCAUGCAUGCAUUAACUAAUUUUGUUAUUUCUAAUGUAUUCUAGAAUUUGUCGUUAGCUUUUUUAGAAAACAACAUAAUAAUAAGGUUACGUAAAGAUUCAUAUGUGGCUGCAUAUGAUCAUUACAAAAAUAUACUAUUUGGUGUAGAGAAUAUUGUCUUCCUCUCACAAUAAAUCAAACAAAUUAGGUUUGAAUAUGAUUUAUUCAAAUUUUAGAGUUUUCUUUUUAUUAUUAACAAAAUAGGUUAUCUAGUGGUGGAGAUGGUGUUGGCCUAGCCCAUCAAUGAAAGGCCCAUCCAUACUCAUACUCGUACCUUACCAUGCCCACCCUGUAUUUCAUGCCGUCCUAGGUCGUGCCUUUUUUUUUUUUUUACUUAGACCCAGCCCAACACACAUACCGUAUCAUAAGUCGUUUUGUGUCAUGCUUAAGAAAAAAAGCACGAUAAGCUUUUUUUUUUUUUAAGAGGACAUACCAAAUUGUUGGCCUACUUUUUUCUAACCUUUAUACUUUUUUAUGUUCAUGUGCCUUUUCUCAAAUUCAAUAGAAUAAAAAAUUCAAAACUUAAUUUCAUAUUCAAUAAUAAUAAAUUAUUAAUAUUAAGAGAAUAUAAUAUUAGUUUUUAAGUGAGACCUUACGGUAUUAAAAUUCUUUUUAACUACUUAACAACAACAACAACAAUAAUAAUUUUUUUAAGGGUUAACUUAAUUGUUAAACUAGAUUUACAUAGAGUUAUAAAUCAUAGUCGAUAAUAACAUUAAUACAUAUUUAUAAAAUCAUAAUAUUUAUAAUUUUAUUUAUUAAAAUUAAUGAUAUCAAUUAUUUAUUCAAUAAAUUAUAAAUAUAAAUUAAUUAAAAGAUUCUUUUGAAACUAAGAACUAAAUAAUUUAAAAAACUUACACUAAUAAAAUAUAUUAAAAUAUUCAAUUUUAAGUUAUUGAAUUAAUAGUAUAUGACCGCAACACCUUCAAACUGGCCAACAACAUAUUAAAUAUUAAAACAUUAUCUCCCUCGUCAUUGAUCGAGACAUUCAAUUGCAUGCAUUUACUUUACCUUAGAUGGUAUUUUCUGAGACGAAAAUAUAAGUGGUUGUGCAAGGAUUGAAUAGCGAAUUGCCUUUAUUUCACUCGGCAAUUAAAUAAAUAAUUUAAUAAAAAACCUCUUCUUCUUAAUUCUAACAGGGGUGUCUUCAAUUUUGGUUUUAUAUAGCGUGGUGUCUCAAUUUUUCAGCCACUGCAAGCUAGCUCCAUGGCGCUCCCUAUUCCUCUAUCUUUAUUAUUUAUUAAUAAACUAAUCAUCGAUCUCAGGGAGCUUCUCUUAGUGCUUGCUUUAAACAAAAAUAAAAAGAAAAAAGAAGUUGCGUGUUGGAAGCAAAGUGUUCGUGCAAAUCUUUGACAUUACAAAAGUAGCUGGCUUUGGCUAUUAUUAAUUUAUUAGGCAUCAAGUACAACCAUUUACAGCAUUAGUUAUAAUGAGGCACCGCCAGUUAGUUGACUUCACAGUAGUAACUUAAAAAUGGUGACAACUCACCAUGUACGUAAUGUGUUCUACCAGAGCUGUGUUCCGCAAGCCAUAGUUCUGAAUGAAAAUCGAACCUAUAACAUUUGUGCUAAAGUAUUGGUCAAAUGUAGGCUUGGCAUGAACCAAGAAUUGAGCUAGCAAACUCUAGAAGCAUCACAACCUUUGCUGUCAUCUUUACUACUCUUCUAAAAUUUUUCUGCAACUUAAACCUAAUUCUCUGUCACUGAAAUUAAAUUUGAGAUAACAAUCCACUUCCAGUUUUAGAAUUGUGGUCCCUUAUACUUAAUUUAUCUACUUGUGUCUGAUUUAUUUUUUCAUUUGUUCGUCAUCCCCACUACAAGAAAAAUAGGAUAUAACAACAAGAAUGUAGCCGCUGUUAAAAAGUAUUAGAAGUAUAGAUUUUACAACAUGAAAUCAAAAAGUAAUGGGUAUGAUUCGUGAUCUAUGAUUGAGUUGGUGGGUUGAGUAAAUAUAUAGCUUCUAAACUUUUAUCUUUGUUGGGUUCUAGUUUAAUAGCAAGAUUUGUCAUUAAAUUUGGGACUUAUUUCAAGCAAUAAUUUAUAGUUAAUACUUUUAGUAUUAAAAGUAUAGAUUUUCUUGACCUCCUAUAAAUCUUUAUCUUUCUAAUUGUGAGUUUUUAUUUCAUACACGCAUGCAAAUGAACACGAUAACUAAUUAUUUAUAAUGGUCGUUAAAAAUGUUUUGAUAUUAAUUCCUUUCCUCUGCUAAAAAAUUUCAACUUCAAUUCAAUUUUCGCUCAAUUUUCAGAAAUUGAUGAUUCAAGAGACUGAGAGAGAGAUAAAUCAUAGAAUAAAAGAACUUUUUGUUAUUUUUGUUUUUUAAUAAUGAUAAAUUCAGAAAUAAAGGAGAUUAAUUGAAAAUUAAGGACCACUGAAAUAAAUACAUGGGGUCAAAUAUCACUACUCUCACAAAACUGUUUUGGCAUGAGAAGUCAAAAUACACGACACACAUAGAAUUUACUACUCAUUACACAACGAGUUAAUUUUAUUUAGCCAUGAGCCCAGUUAUAAUCAUUGGGUCUAAUAAGCGGAAUAAAAAUAACAAGUUGGAUCUUUGUGUAGAUAUCUUGGAUCUUUGUGUAAAUAUCUUUUUUUUUUAAUUUAAAAUUAGAUAUAUCAUCAAGCUUAUUCAUCGGGGCUUUAUUACAUUUCCUUUUAUUUUCAAUAAUUAAUUUGUCAUCUAAUUGGUCAAUAAAUUUGCUUCUUGUUUGUCCACAGUCCAGUACACUAACAUAGAUGCUGUUCAUUAGAAGCAGAAACAGAGCUGUAACAGAGAAGAAAAUAGCUGUAAAAUUAUUUCUUAGGUUUUGAGAUAGGAAUGACGAACCAAAGUUAAAUUGGCCAUAUCAUUCAAGUGUCACCAUUAGCUUGGAUGCUUGUAAAGAUGAUUUGGACCCAUAGUUUUUGCAUAAAAACCUUUGUUAUCUUUACUUUUGUUGUCAAAAUUAUUAUUACAAUUUUCUUAAUGGUAGAAAUAGAACCUAAUCCCUCACAAUUAUAAUUUAAUAAUAUGUUAAUUACCAAACACUAUUAUUUUUCUAUUCAUACCUAGUAGUGAUUUAAAUUUGAAAAGCGACAAAACCAGCAACCAAUUUUCAAUACAUAAUAGACCAAUCUAUAUUUUUAUUUUUUAAGGAGAAAUGUAAGGAUCCAUAAAAAAAAAAAACCACCAACAUUACAAUGACAGAAUUAGAAACGAAAAUCACAACAACAUUAUAAUUGCAUUCAGUUUCUACGUCUCCUCCUCCUCCUUGUUGCCUUUUGCUGCGUUCCCAACUUCUCCAGAAUCCAUCCGAUAAUUCCAGUGCUGAAGUUGCACCCGAGAACCAAUCCUGCCACAAGCCCGCCCGCAUAGCCAGUCAGAAUGAUUUUCCAAUCAGAUGCGCUUGAAAACAGAGACUCCUCCGAGCCUUCAUUAUGAUCUUCAUUUGUUGGAGCUUCAUCACUCUCACAUCCUUUGGACAAAGGCCUUCCGCACAAUCCUGAGUUGCCGUCGAAAGAAGUGUUGUCAAAUGUAGCAAAUUGCUUUCCUUGUGGUAUGGGUCCUGUAAGGUAAUUGUCCGAGACAUUGAAGAAUUCGAGAAAUGUGAGCUCAACCAGUUGUUGAGGAAUCCGUCCUGAAAACUUGUUAUCUGAGAGAUCCAAUGAUUCCAAAUUUGUUAGAUUGCCCAAACAUGACGGAAUAUGGCCUUGGAGAUUAUUGUUGUGGAGGUUUAAAACUUGAAGUCCCUUUAAAUUCGCAAUCGAUGCUGGAAUAGCCCCAUCGAAUCUAUUGUUUGAAAGAAUAAUGCCCGCGAGGAUAUCAGGAAUCUUCUUAUAUGUCAUCAUUCGCCCUUUGCUGUUCAUUGUCAUUGAGUAGUCGUAAGUGCUAACUACAUUAUUGGACACUUGUCCAUACGGAAAAAGCACAUCUUGCAGAUAUCUUAGCUCACUUGUAUUGACAAUUUUCAUGGCAUUCCAACACAGGAAGCUCUUUGAUGGAAGCGUUCCAGUAAAUCUGUUGUUAGAUAGGUCAAUAAUGCGGAGUUUAGAAAAUCCACAAUCAGUUCUGGGUUCUUCUAUAAUGCCGUAAAAUAUGUUGGAUCGUAGGAUGAGAACAUUCAAGUUUGGAAGAGUUCCUAACCAAGAGGGAAAAGUGUCACUAAUCUGGUUGUUCCCAAGACCAAGAAAUUCCAACUUUGAACAGUUGAUCAAUGAUCUUGGAAUUCUUCCCUGGAACAGAUUAUGGCUUAAAUCAAUCACGCUUAAUCUACUUUCUUUAAUGAAAGUAUUUGGGAUGGUCCCAAAGAAGUUGUUCCCCCGCAAGUCGAGCACCGAAAGUUCAUCACUGAAAUUGCUUAAACACUGAGGAAGCAAGCCACUUAAGUUAUUGUGAGACAAAACAAGGCUUUUAAGAAAAUUCAAAUUGCAUAUCCACGAUGGAAUUUCCCCUGUUAAGCUAUUGUUUGACGCUAGAUAGUUAAUGGUUCCAGGGGGUGGAACGGGGAGUGGUCCUUGUAAAUUAUUAGAGCUAAGAUCAAAAGUUACCAAACCACCUUUAUUCCCUGGAAGAAAAACAGGAUGCUGAUCAAACCCGGUUAACAAGUUAUGCGAAAGGUUCAAGCCAAUGAGAUUCUGCAUAUUGGGGUCUAACAACCAUUUAGGUACUUUUCCCCGAAUUCUAUUGUCAGAAAGGUCCAAGACCACCAAAUGAUGUUGGCUUUCCAAGAAAUUUGGAAAUUUAGUAAGAUUGCAUGAACGCAAUUUUAUAUACUGAUGUUUCUUUGAAGUGGUAUUAGAAGUGGCUUUGGUGAGCACUGACAACCUAUUAGAUGAGAGACUUAAAUGUUCCAAAUUUUUCCAGCUAGUAAGUAAAACAUCUAACUCUAUCAUUCCGCUAUAAGAAUUUCGAGCCAUGUCAAGGACGAUAAGUUGGGUAAGAUUCCUAAGUGAAGAUGUAAUUUGACCUGAAAAAUUACACUUAGGGAUAUGUAUUACUUCCAAUGACCUAAGAUUUCCAAUGGAACCAAGUAAGUCACCCGAAAAACUAUUCAAUCCAGGAUACAAAAAUUGUAGCCGGGUGAAAUUACCAAUCGAAUGUGGAACUUUGCCCCAAAAACUACAUGACCUCAGAUCUAAUAACUUCAAAGAACUAAAAUUUCCAGUCGACCAUGGAAACUCACCCGAAAAUUUAUUGAAUGAAAGGUCAAGUUUUUCCAAAGAAAAAAGAUUUCGAAUGGAAGUAGGCAACUCACCAAAAAAUGCAUUGUGUGAAAGGUCAAGUUCUUUCAAAGAACCAAGAUUUCCCAUGGAAAUAGGCAACUCACCAAAAAAUCUAUUUUGUGAAAGAUCAAGUUCUUUCAAAGAACUAAGAUUUCCAAUGGAAAUAGGCCACUCACUCGACAAAAAAUUUGCAGAGAGAUCUAGUUCUUUCAAUGAAUGAAGAUUACCAACGGAAACAGGCAGCUCACCCUGUAAUUCAUUUAGUGAAAGGUCUAAAUGAAGGAGCUUCGAUAGAUUACCGAGUGAAGAUGGAAUUCUUCCUGAAAUUUGUAUUAAAAAAAAAAGAACACAUUGCUUAAGUAGAAAAUUAAAAAUAAUAAUAAUUUUUUCAAAUGAAUUUAACAUCGCAAUUGGCAAUUUUCGAGUAAAAUAUAUAUAUUUAACAAUAACAUGCAUGUAUAUUAAUUAAGGAGAAAAUAUAUAAAAUUUAAUUACCUUGCAAUUCACAGUUUCGAAGAGAAACAAAUGUCAAAGAAGAUAGAUUUCCGAUGUUAUGAGGUAUUGUUGAAUCAAUAGAAACAUCACCAAGGUCAAGUGUUUUUAGAUUGGUUAAUUUCUCGACUAAAUUUGUGAAACUGGGCUUCUGGAGUUCAAGUCUACCACCAGGAACAUCAUUUAGUGAUAAAUCAAGGGACACCAAGUUGGAGAGCUUUAGAAUUUCUGAUGGUAUUUGACCAGAUAAAGAAGUUCCAGAGAGGUUCAAGUAUGAUAACCUGGAAAGGUUGAUGAUUUCUGGUGGGAUUUCGGAGGAAUUGAAGUCAUUCAAAGCAAGAUUAAGCCACUCGAGAUGGACAAGCUUGAAAAGGCUGCUGCUAGAGUCGAUAGAACCAAAAAGGCAGCUAUGGGAGAGGUCAAGCUUGAUGACAUGACCAGUGUUCUUAUUGCAAUGAACGCCGUCCCAAGAGCAGCAAUCAACGCUACCUUCUUCUGGCUUCCAUGAUGCCAUUGUAGGACGACAGUCAAAUUUCCAAGCAUAAAAAUCACCACUGAUGCGGCUUUCUUUGAAUUGCAACAAAGCGGAGCGCUCAUCAUCAUGGCAGAGUGGCAGCAUAGAAGAAGCAGUGACGUUAGCAAUUGUGAAAUUCAAGAAAAAGAAGGGAAAAACUAACAGUAUGAACAUUGUGAAUAAACAUAUGGAGGAUAAACCCAUAGUUUUCUCAAAAAUAAAAUUUGUUUAACUUUGUCGAUGUGAAGAAAUUUGAGGAUCUUGGUUUGCUUUUAUAGGCAAAUUGCAGCAAUUCAAACAUUAUAGUCAUUGGACUCUUUUUUUAUUUUCUUAAGUCAACAAAAGUGUUAGGAAAUUGAGCUUCCUCCCAAGAUCUCUCCAAGCAAUUUAUCAAGCAACAAAUUAAUAAGAAAAAUUAAAUGGAGAAUACACCAAUCACACAACACAAGAUUUACGUGGAAAACUCCAAAUCCGGAGAAAAACCACGGCCGUUGUCACAAGACAACCAGAGAAAAAUAUUCACUAUGUGGAAAAUUAUUAUAACCACUUUCAGAAAUAAUUUUUCUCUCACCCAAGCCCCAAAUACAUAAUCCCGAGAAAUAUCCCUUAACAAAGCAAACCCGUAAUACCCAUAUUGAGGAGCCAACUUCUCCUUCAAUAUAACUACAUGCUUAAGAACAUUUCUCUCUCUCAAUUUCUCACCAAAACUUGGAUUCCUUCUCUGGGAUUUGGGAUACAAACAAUAAGGAGGAGCACUCCUCUAUUUAUAGCCACCAGUGACUACUGUUCAUCUUGCGGCUACUGUUCAUCUUGCGGCUACUGUUCAUCUUACGGCUACUGUUCAUUUUGCGGCUACUGUUCAUUUUGCGGUUUUGCUUUUCUUCAUUCUCCCAUUGGAGACUUGAUUUUUCAACUCUUUUUUUUUAAUCAAUUUUCAACAAAAAGUUAGUCUUAAUAAUAUUUAUUUUUUAUUAUUUGAUGUGAUGUCGUAAACUUUUACCAUUCCGUCACCACCGAAAAUACGUUUAUAGCAAACGUGAGGAUUAAUUCAUGAGUAAAUGAGUAAUACAUUCAUUUUUAUUUUUGUUUGAAAAAAUGAAAAACAUAAUUCCGAAGUGGUCCAGACCACUUGAAAUUUAAAAAAAAAUUGAUAAAUAUUAUUUGGAUAUGAUAUCAGCUCAAAAUUCAAACAAAUCUUACAAACAACUGGCGAUAAAUGGUGAAUUCCAUUCCUUAACCGAGGUUUAUUAAAUUAAAAAAAAAAGUGAAAAAAGAUGAUAAUUAAAUUAAUUUUAAUGCAAACAAAGUCAUAAUAGUAGAAGUGACAAUUUCGGCACGAUUAACUAAUUAAUCAGACACAAACACAAGAUAAAUUAAUGAAUUUGGAUUUACUAAAAUUGACAUGAUUUUCAGAGACUCGAGACUAGUAAUUAGAAGUCUUUGCACGCUCUGUACAUAUGCCGUGUCAGAAAAUUAUUUCUUAGUUUUUAACAUAAGAAUGACGAAAGAGUGAUGUAUUUUUGGACACUGUUCUAAGUCAGCUAAAAUUAAAAUUGGCCAUUUAUCAUUAUAAUGGAUGUUAAGAUAAUUUGAACUCAUAGUUGUUGAUAAAAAAAAUUGUUAAAAUUAGGUGUUAAUCCGACACAAACCCCUGAAAAAUUAAUGAAAUUUGGAUUUACUAAAAUUAAAAAUAUUUCAUUUUAUAGUGUCGGCUUCACUAUAAGUCGUCAUAAAUCAUUAUCAACAGACGAUCAAGGCUCGAUGAAGACUCAAGACUAGAAUUAGAAGUCUUCGAGAAUCAAUCAAUCUUAGGUGAUGGCAAGCUCGAUUUCAGUCAAGUGGUUUAGGUCUUUGCAUGUUCUAUGCAUAUGCCGUGUCAGAAAAUUAUUUUUUAGUUUCUUAGACAGGAAUGAGGAAGGAGAGAUGUAAAUAUGAACGCCGUUCUAAGACAACUAAAGUUGAAUUCCCCAUAUCAUUAUAAUGGAUGGAUGUUAAUAUUGCUAAUUUGGAGUCAAAAACAUGCGUGUAUUGCAUGUGUAUUGUCUGUAUGACUAGGACGUGGCAAAGGCUCAUGGAAUAAAUCUGCUUCUUUUUUCUCCUUUCCCCACCACCACCAGUUCACUUAACUUUUCUUUCACGGCAUGCUGAAUGAGAUCUUCUACUCCGUCAGUGCAUUUUGUUAGUAAUAUGCCCUAAAGGCCAAUCGAAUGGUGUUUGUUUGUUUAAGGAAUUAUUGUAUUUGAAUAACAUUUUGAUAUUUAUAAAAUGGCAAAGUUAUCAACAUUCAUAAAUUAAUUUAAUGAAUAUAGUUCAAGAAGUAAAAUAGUUAAGGAACACAUUCUCGAGUUUGUCGAGAAUAUGAAACGUGCAUCCUUUGUACUAUACUUCCAAAAUAGUUCCUAGUGGUGGAUUUAUGAUUGGACAUUAUAAAUUCCUAUAAACACUAGUAUGUGUUAUGACUCCUUAUGGUAUGUGAUACUAAAAUGGAUGGUGAGUUUCAUAUCAUUGACAUGAGAUGUCAAGUCAAACACAUAGGUACUUGUUGAGAGAACGAGUUUACUGAACUUGACCAAAUAUAGUAAGCCAUAUGGUUUUGAGUGUUAAUGGCUUAUUAUACAUUGUGAUAGACACUAUGUUUAGUAAUGGUCUUUAGACCUGAGACAUAAUAGAUGUCUUAUACAUAGAUAUCUCUGAUAUGUGAAAGCAUAAUGAUUGAUUCCUAAUCAAGGAAGAGAUCUAGCAAUAACUGUCAUGGUUGGCUAUGUAUGGAGACAAGUGUAUGGCCAAUAUGGAAUUCAUCACUUUGUAAUAUACAAAAAGGAUGUCCCUGUGAGAUAAUAUGAAUUGGCAUGAGAAAUCCUUGGCCAAGGUGAAAUAUGUUUGAAGGAGUUCAAAUUAUAUUUUCAUGCCAAGUUCAUUUAGAUUUAUUUUGAGAUAAAGCAUAACUGCUUAACAUAAUAAACUGUAAGGCGUGCUUUUCUCUGGACAUGGAUGAUGAAGAGACCAAGAGAGACCAAGACAUAGGGAUACAAUGGAAAAGGUUCUAUAGAUCCAACAAUUCUUGUUAUUUGGAUGGUUGUGAAAUACUGCUAGGUGUCACUCAUGACUUGUAGAAACCUUAAGAUUAAUAUUGGUAAAGCGUAUUAGCAAUGCAUCUUAAGGUCAUUAGAAAAGUUCUAUUUGAUGACUAAAGGGUUUAGCAUCAUUUAAUGCAUAAAGAGUUAUCAGUAAAAUAGUUCUACUACCUUAUAACAAAGAACCUAAAAAGUCACACACCAAAUAGAAAUGAAAAAAGGAGUUACUAGAAAAUGAGAAGUUAAAUUUCCUAAUUUUAGGAAAAUCGAUAUUUAUAUUAUAAUUCAUUAAGAAUGAAUAUAUAUAUAUAUAUAAAUAUAUCUUAAAUAUGAUUUAAGAUAGAAAUUUAGAUGUUCCGUAAAUAGUUUAAGGAACAAAAUAAAUUUCAUAAAUCCUCAAUUAAACAUUAUGUAUAAUAUCAAGCACGUAAAAUGACCAUUUUGGACAUGUUCCGAUUCAUAUAUGAUUAUGGACUUCUAGACCAAUUUUGGGUUUAGAAUUUUGGGCUUUUAUUGGACCUAAUAUGGAUUAAGAGAAAGCAUUAAAACAUGUCACAAAAGAAGCCCACAUUUAACCAUUUGAUUUGAUCAAAAUGGGAUUAAUUAAUUAAAGAUAAACUUAAUUAAUUUAGUUAUUUAUUUAUUUGAUUAAAUAAAUUAUUGAAGUGAUAAGAUCACAUUCAAUAAAUAAUGGCUUAGUGGGUGGGUCUAGCACAUGAUAAUGUUUGGUGCCAUUAUUAAAGAUAGUGGUGGCUUUAUUUGGUGGAAUGAAUCAUCAUGAACUAGCAUUCAUGUUCCUCAUUAUCACUCUCAUUUCUAAACGAAAUUUCGUGAUUCCCAAAUCCUAUGAACUCCUAGAACAUUUCUAAGUGUGGACUAACUAGAGGCAUCACAAUUGGGGUGCUUUAAGGAUCUCAAAUCGUGGCAAAACAGAAGCUGUUCGUUCAGAGGUUUAUUUUCUGGACAGUGUUCGUAGCUUGCUGUUGUCAGUCAUUUUCUCCUACUUCACGAAGUCUUUUUUGAAACUACAAGUGAGGUAAUUAAACUUCAAUCUUUCCUCUUGAUUUUCGUUUUUGAAUGAAGCCGAUCCGAGGUUUCUAGAGCUUCCGCCAUCCGUUUUAAUUUCACUGCACAAAAGUUGCGUUUUAAGGAACCUCAUGGACAAAUGUUGUCCUACACAUUUAGGAUUAGAUUUCUAAUUUGUCCGAUGUCUCUGCAUUUUCUUGAACUCUCUGACUCUCCUCGUGUAAUUAAGGAGGAUUAAAGUAAAAGAAAAGGGUAGAACCAGUUAUCCCUAAUUGUUGCACUAGCUAUCAGAUUUCCAUAUUAUAGUAAUUAUUGGCCAAAAACAUAAUUUUUUAUUUAAAUUGUCAAAAAGACUUGAAUGUUCUCAUCCUAAAAUAAGUUCCAUUAAAACAAUCAUAAUAUUUAUGGAAUGUUUAUAACUAGAAUGAGUGCUCCUACUUAAACCAGUAAAAUCUCUUGAACUAAUUUAAAGGUUCAAUCCUGCUCACAUAGUCACAUGAGUAAGAAAAAGGUAUUUGUUUUAAAUUUUAUUGUAUUGAAUUUCUCACUUUCAAUACUUCUACGUAAUUAUUACGAUUUCAUCAAGUUUACGAUGUUAAUGAUCAAACAGUACAGUUUCUAAACUAACUAAAAUAGUACCUAACUAGCUAAUUAGAUAACGGAUUAAUGGAAUAGAUGUGGAUGUCUAGUUUUACAGUUUGAAUUUUUUUUUUAAAAUUAAUCAAAGAAAACAUAUUUUUAAUUUUGGGUUAUUGUACUAUUAAUUAAUAAUUUAAUUAAAAAAUUUAUUUAUUUGCUUUCAUUCUAGUUGUUGAAAAUGCCUUUAAUAGGGGUUGGCUCAAUAUUUGGUUAGAGUCGCUCAUUUAUAGUGUGUUUACUUCAAGGAAUGGGAAUGGGCUGUAAUAGGAAUAUGUUGGAAUGUCAUUAAUGUGUUUACUUGGCAAAAUAAAUGCGAAUGAAAAAAGGGAAUGAGAAUCAAUUUACCAAAAUACCCAUAGUAUUAAUAAUUAAUAAAAAUAAUUAAUUUAUCAUUAUUAACAAUAUUAUCAUUAUUGUUGUUGUUGUUGUUGUUGUUGUUGUUGUUGUUGUUGUUGUUGUUGUUGUUGUUGUUGUUGUUGCUAUUAUUAUUAUUAUUAUUAUUAUUAUUAUUAUUAUUAUUAUUAUUAUUAUUAUUAUUAUUAAAAAUAAUAUUAACAAUAAUUAAUAACAACUAAAAUAUUAUUAUUAUUAUUAAAUUUUAUUAACUUUAUUAUUUUAGUUAUUAUUAAUUAUUGUUAAUAUUAUUUUUAUUAAUAUUAUCAUUAUUAACAUUUAUUAUUAUUAUUAUUAAAUUUUAUUAACUUUAUUAUUUUAGUUACUAUUAAUUAUUGUUAAUAUUAUAUUUAUUAAUAUUAUCAUUAUUAAAAUUUAUUAUUAUUAUUUAAUUAAUAUCACUUUUAUAUCUAGAUAAUGAAAAUUACAUUAUUAUUAUUAUUAAAUUUUAUUAACUUUAUUAUUUUAGUUAUUAUUAAUUAUUGUUAUUAUUAUUUUUAAUAAUAAUACUAAUAACAACAACAACAAUAAUGAUAAUGUUGUUAAUAAUGAUAAAUUAAUUAUUAUUUUUAUCAUAAUUUUUAUUGUUAAUAAUGAUAAUAUUAAUAUUAAUAAAAAUAACAAUAAAAAUAAUUAAUAAUAACUAAAAUAAUAAAGUUAAUAAAAUUUAAUAAUAAUAAUUAUUAUUAAUGGCAUUUAAAAUAAUAAAAUUAAUUGUGAUUUGAAUGAGGGUAAUUUGGAAAAUAUGAAAAAAUUAGAGGGAUACAAAAGUAAACAUAUAUUCCAUUCUCAUUCUUUCAUUUUCAUUCACAACCCCCCAUGGGAAUGUGAUUCCCAUUCCUUAUUCUCAAAUUGUGUGGGACCCACACAUUUUAUUCUCAUUCCCAAAUUACAUUUUACCAAGUAAACAUAUGUUUCAUUCUUAUUCCCCAUUCUAUGAAGUAAACACACCAUUAAUGCUGGCGGUCCAACUCCUUCUCUUCAUCCCACUUUGAUCAUUUGCAAGUAUCUGUAGUCAAACUUGGGUCUUCAAUGUACUCAUCCCUUGGUAGGAUUUCUCUCCUUCAAAGAUUAACGCUCUUUCUUCUCGAGAUGCAAAUGGCUUUUCAAAUUAUCAUUUUUGUUAUUGUAGGUCCUACAUCAUGGUUUCUUAAGAUUUUACAUCAUCUUAGCUUUAUGCAUUUAAUGAGUAAGAUUUUAUAUCAUCUUAGCUUUAUGCAUUUAAUGAGGGAUAAGUUUUACAAUAUCCCAUAAUUAAUUGUGUUAAGUUUAUUAUUUAUAGAGUUGACAUCUUAUGGCAAGUCUAGUGGCAAGUCUAGUAAAUUGAAAUUUUAUUUACUGAAUAUCAUGUAAUAGGGUUUAAGUUAUUAAAUUCCUAGCUAAUUUAGUGAAAUUCCAAUUGAUUAGGAAUAUUGUGUCCUAGUUUAAUUAGAUGUCUAAUUUAGCAAGUCAAUUAGUGACAUGAUUUUAUAAUUGGUGAGUAGGAUUUAUUUAGCGGAAGAAGUUAGUUUAAACAGAAAGUUCAUUAAAUGUCUAGAUAUUUCUUAGGAGACAAGCAAGGUAAGCAUAUCAUAUUUAUUACUAUUCAGAUUUAUAGGAAUUAUAAUAAGAAAGAAACUCUUAUUUGGAAAGAAUCAUAGUCCUUCAACUACAGUCUUAAUAAAUUGUUUCACAUCAGCCUCAUACUCAUCAAACAAUAUAUCAUAUUUAAGCCAAGAUUUAUCCAUUUUUUGUUUAGUAGCUGACAUAUAGUUGAGACAAAUUUCAACAUAAUGUACUAAUGGGCAGCAAUGAUAAACGGUUUCCAUUAUCAAUAAAUUAAGCAACAAAACAUUAUUAAUAUUCAGUUUAUAAAUUUAAUGAAAUAAAUGAAUUUAAAACAAAAACUUGUUAUCAUGUGCAACAAAUAUAACUUCACCAACCUGCUGUCAUCGUUUACCAAAACCUCUAACUAACAAUACCCACUAAUAAUAUCCUUAAUAAUUUAGCCCACAUACAUUUAACAUUUAUUUUAAAAAAAUUCUAACAAUCCAGCAUUUCAUGGGCCACAAGGCUAUAUAUAUAUAAGCAACUAGACAUUCCUUGGUCCACAUGACCAAACUUGCCGCUUCUGAAAAUGCAUUCUGGUAGCAGCUCUAGUUCUUCUCACGGUACAAGUAUGCGUACUCAUGGUAACAGCAAAUCCAAAUGCUGACAAUAGAAAUGCAGCAAGAAGGAUGCUCCUCUUCCCAAUCAACGAAAAAGUAUUGUCAUUCAUUAUGUGAAAAAUUUUACGAUCAGAAAUUGGAGGCCAAUUGUAUGCGAAACUCUGAUAUUUUACCUCGAUCUAUCCAAAUCCAAACAGGAAAAUGAAUACUUGAGCAAUAUUCAAAUGUCGAAAGAGCAUAUUUUCAAAAUUAAGUGAGGAAAAAAAAUUUCUGCAUCAAUUAUCAUCAACGGGUUCUUGAUGUUGAGCAAUAUGCUGAGUCAUCAACCACGUCAGCAGUCAGUUAUGGAGGCUGUUGCAAUAUGUUGAGCACAUUGAAUCACAAUCAAGCAAUAGCCCAAAGUCCAAACCUACCAUGGCUAAUGGUGUUGUUCAGUAAUACACAUUCUCACGUUUAAGAAUCGAACUUAGUAUAUAUAUGAACUCCCACUAUUAAUUAGCCAGCAUAUACAUAGAAUUCGAUUCAGCCAUAGAUAUCGAUUGAAUGAGACACAACUGUAUUUCACAUUAACAUUCACGAAUUAAGACUUUGUAAGAGACGUAAGUACGUACGCUAUUAUUCUUUGUCACUUUCAUGAAAUUUCACAUGCCUUUCUAUUUUAUAUUUACCCAAAAGUCCCAAAAAAAAAAAGUGUAUUUGAUGAUACAUACACGUCACAUGCUUAUGUGAAUUAAAUUUCAAAUAUGCCUUGUGUUAUGUUAUCUUACUCUUUCAGGCAUUGACAACAUUAUAGAACGAGGAAAGAAAUAAACUGCUGCCUGUGCUUCUUCUUGUUGAUUAAUUGUAGUGUAGCCAUCUCGUGAAGUGUGUCCCAUUCCUCCUAUUUUUGGGUGAAAUUCUAUAAUACAAUAGAGGUAUGAUAUCAAUUCCCAACAAACAAAUAAUUUGAUGACAUGUGUGUUUUUAUUUUAAAAAAUCUCCAUGUAAGUGUGAUUAAAUUAAUUUAAUUACACGCAUGCAUUAACUAAUUUUGUUAUUUCUAAUGUAUUCUAGAAUUUGUCGUUAGAUUUUUUAAAAAGCAACAUAAUAAUAAGGUUACAUAAAGAUUCAUAUGUGGCUGCAUAUGGUCAUUACAAAAAUAUACUAUUUGGUGUAGAGAAUAUUGUCUUCCUUGACAAUAAAUCAAACAAAUUAGGUUUGAAUAUGAUUUAUUCAAAUUUUAGAUUUUUCUUUUUAUUAUUAACAAAAUAGGCUAUCUAGUGGUGGAGAUGGUGUUGGCCUAGCCCAUCAAUGAAAGGCUUAUGCAUACUCAUACUCGUACCUUGCCGUGCCCACCCUGUGUUUCAUGCCGUCCUAGGUCGUGCUUUUUUUUUCUUUUUUACUUAGGCCCAGCACACGUACCGUAUCAUAAGUCGCGUUGUGUCGUGCUUAAGAAAAAAAACACGAUAAGUUUUUUUUUUUAAAGAGGGCAUACCAAAUUGUUGGCGUACUUUUUUCUAACCUUUGUACCUUUUUAUGUUCAUGUGCCUUUUGUCAAAUUCAAUAGAAUAAAAAAUUCAAAACUUAAUUUCAUAUUCAGUAAUAAUAAACUAUUAAUAUUAAGAGAAUAUAAUAUUAGUUUUUAAGUGAGACCUUACGGUAUUAGAAUUCUUUUUUACUACUUAACAACAACAACAACAAUAAUUUUUUUAAGGGUUAACUUAAUUGUUAAACUGGACUUACAUAUAGUUAUAAAUCAUAGUCGAUAAUAACAUUAAUACAUAAUUAUAAAAUCAUGAUAUUUAUAAUUUUAUUUAUUAAAAUUAAUGAUAUCAAUUAUUUAUUCAAUAAAUUAUAAAUGUAAAUCAAUUAAAAGAUUCUUUUGAAACUAAAAAUUAAAUAAUUUACAAAACUUACACUAAUAAAAUAUAUUAAAAGAUUCCAUUUUAAAUUAUUGAAUUAAUAGUAUAUGACCGCAACACCUUCAAACUCGCCAACAACAUAUUAAAUCUUAAAACAUUAUCUCCCUCGUCAUUGAUCGAGACAUUCAAUUGCAUGCAUUUACUUCAGCUUAGAUGGUAUUUUCUGAGACGAAAAUAUAAGUGGUAGUGCAAGGAUUGAAUAGCGAAUUGCCUUUAUUUCACUCGGCAAUUAAAUAAAUAAUUUAAUAAAAAAACCUCUUCUUCUUAAUUCUAACAGGGGUGUCUUCAAUUUUGGUUUUAUAUAGCGUGGUGUCUCAAUUUUUCAGCCACUGCAAGCUAGCUCCAUGGCGCUCCCUAUUCCUCUAUCUUUAUUAUUUAUUAAUAAACUAAUCAUCGAUCUCAAGGAGCUUCUCUUAGUGCUUGCUUUAAACAAAAAUAAAAAGAAAAAGAAGUUGCUUGUUGGAAGCAAAGUGUUCGUGCAAAUCUUUGACAUUACAAAAGUAGCUAGCUUUGGCUAUUAUUAAUUUAUUAGGCAUCAAAUACAACCAUUUACAGCAUUAGUUAUAAUGAGGCACCGCCAGUUAGUUGACUUCACAGUAGUAACUUAAAAAUGGUGACAACUCACAAUGUACGUAAUGUGUUCUACCAGAGCUGUGUUCUGCAGGCCAUGGUUCUGAAUGAAAAUCGAACCUAUAACAUUUGUGCUAAAGUAUUGGUCAAAUGUAGGCUUGGCAUGAACCAAGAAUUGAGCUAGCAAACUCUAGAAGCAUCACAACCUUUGCUGUCUAUCUUCACUACUCUUCUAAAACUUUUCUGCAACUUAACCUAAUUCUCUGUCACUGAAUUUAAAUUUGAGAUAACAAUCCACUUCCAGUUUUAGAAUUGUGGUCCCUUAUACUUAAUUUAUCUACUUGUGUCUGAUUUAUUUUUUCAUUUGUUCGUCAUCCCCACUACAAGAAAAAUAGGAUAUAACAACAAGAAUGUAGCCACGUUCACCAGAUGAUUGUUGUGAAAUCUACUUUUUGGCAACGUGCUUAAUUCACGCGCUGUUAAAAAGUAUUAGAAGUAUAGAUUUUACAACAUGAAAUCAAAAAGUAAUGGGUAUGAUUCGUGAUCUAUGAUUGAGUUGGUGGGUUGAGUAAAUGUAUAGCUUCUAAACUUUUAUCUUUGUUGGGUUCUAGUUUAAUAGCAAGAUUUGUCAUUAAAUUUGGGACUUAUUUCAAGCAAUAAUUUAUAGUUAAUACUUUUAGUAUUAAAAGUAUAGAUUUUCUUGACCUCCUAUAAAUCUUUAUCUUUCUAAUUGUGAGUUUUUAUUUCAUACACGCAUGCAAAUGAACACGAUAACUAAUUAUUUAUAAUGGUCGUUAAAAAUGUUUUGAUAUUAAUUCCUUUCCUCUGCUAAAAAAUUUCAACUUCAAUUCAAUUUUCGCUCAAUUUUCAGAAAUUGAUGAUUCAAGAGACUGAGAGAGAGAUAAAUCAUAGAAUAAAAUAACUUUUUGUUAUUUUUUUUUAAUAAUGAUAAAUUCAGAAAUAAAGGAGAUUAAUUGAAAAUUAAGGACCACUGAAAUAAAUACAUGGGGUCAAAUAUCACUACUCUCACAAAACUGUUUUGGCAUGAGAAGUCAAAAUACACGACACACAUAGAAUUUACUACUCAUUACACAACGAGUCAUAAAAUUCAUGUAUCAACCUAAUUUAAUUGAGGGUAUUUUAGUAAUUAUAUACGUUAAGCAUUUGUAUAUAAUUUCAAACUAUCGUGGCACGUGGAGAUAAUUAAAUAAUCAGUCACACUAGAAGGCCAAAAUCAAGGGAUUCGUCUCCUAUGGUCAAUGAUCAUAUUCGAGAGGAAAUAAUCCCUAUCUUGGAGGGCAAAGUUUUGUGCUAUAUUUAGCUCCUUAAGGAAUUUUAAAGUAACUCUUAAGAUUUCACAUUAAUUAUACAAUAAAUAAAUGAUAUUAGAACAUGUGAACAUUUAUUUUUAAGAAUAUACCUCCUCCUGAAGCCAUAAGAAUUAGAGUUGUGCCCUUUCAGAAGUCCAAGUCUAUUAAGAAAACAAUCUCAGCAGAUCCUCAAAAACCAUCAAUCGUUUAUCCCCUAGCCUCAGGAACAUGAUUCCACCAUUUUAUAUUUUAUUAUGAGUUUCUGAAAUUUAAAUCUCUUUUUUAUUUGCUUUUAUUUGGUGUUUAUAUGAUAAUUGUACGUCAGGUAAGAACAUUGUUCAUCAGCAGCUGAGAUUUUCUUAUUUUCUUUGUAUAAUCUUUCGCUUUUCUUUUUUUAAAAGAUUUGGCAUGUAAUGUAAUGAUUUAUAUAAUGGAAACUUAUGAUUUUUUUUUCUUUUUGGUAUCAGAUUGCUAGAAAAUUGAGUUGGAGCAGAAGGCGUGCUGACAAAGUCACUAAAAUUUAGUCAAUGUAUGGGUGCAAAUUUCUUAGUUUUAUAAACAGUUUGUAAAUGUUCAUUUUAAGAAUUUAAAAUGUACAUGGGUUUGCAGGCAGUAAGUGUAUAUAUGUAUAUACGUGUGUGUGUCUGUAUUCAUGUCACUUGAGAAAAGCACAUAAUUAAUUGUUGCGCAAAUUUUAAUAUAGUUGUAAAUGCAUGAGUCUACUAAAGUAUAGAAUAGGAAUAACAAGGUCGUACAUAUAAGAACCGUCAAUUUUUGGGAAAAUAAAAUUUAAUCUAAGUUAAUUAUAAUUUUACCUAGAUGGAAAGAAGAUAUUUUGUUUAAGAAAAUUAGAACUAAAUAGGCAAGAAAAUUAAGAAUUCAAGAGAUUAAUGCUACCAGUAUCUACGAAUCUAACAUAGUUCAACUUAAUCAAUUAAUUUCAAAUUUUAGAACGACAACUCAAAAUCAAUAUAUGUCUAUUGAUAAAUAUAACAAUUAAGUCAAGUGAUUUAAUUUUAUUUAGCCAUGAGCCCAGUUAUAAUCAUUGGGUCUAAUAAGCGGAAUAAAAAUAACAAGUUGGAUCUUUGUGUAGAUAUCUUGGAUCUUUGUGUAAAUAUCUUUUUUUUUUUAAUUUAAAAUUAGAUAUAUCAUCAAGCUUAUUCAUCGGGGCUUUAUUACAUUUCCUUUUAUUUUCAAUAAUUAAUUUGUCAUCUAAUUGGUCAAUAAAUUUGCUUCUUGUUUGUCCAGUACACUAACAUAGAUGCUGUUCAUUAGAAGCAGAAACAGAGCUGUAACAGAGAAGAAAAUAGCUGUAAAAUUAUUUCUUAGGUUUUGAGAUAGGAAUGACGAACCAAAGUUAAAUUGGCCAUAUCAUUCAAGUGUCACCAUUAGCUUGGAUGCUUGUAAAGAUGAUUUGGACCCAUAGUUUUUGCAUAAAAACCUUUGUUAUCUUUACUUUUGUUGUCAAAAUUAUUAGUACAAGUUUCUUAAUGGUAGAAAUAGAACCUAAUCCCUCACAAUUAUAAUUUAAUAAUAUGUUAAUUACCAAACACUAUUAUUUUUCUAUUCAUACCUAGUAGUGAUUUAAAUUUGAAAAGCGACAAAACCAGCAACCAAUUUUCAAUACAUAAUAGACCAAUCUAUAUUUUUAUUUUUUAAGGAGAAAUGUAAGGAUCCAUAAAAAAAAAAAAACCAACAACAUUACAAUGACAGAAUUAGAAUCGAAAAUCACAACAACAUUAUAAUUGCAUUCAGUUUCUACGUCUCCUCCUCCUCCUUGUUGCCUUUUGCUGCGUUCCCAACUUCUCCAGAAUCCAUCCGAUAAUUCCAGUGCUGAAGUUGCACCCGAGAACCAAUCCUGCCACAAGCCCGCCCCCAUAGCCAGUCAGAAUGAUUUUCCAAUCAGAUGCGCUUGAAAACAGAGACUCCUCCGAGCCUUCAUUAUGAUCUUCAUUUGUUGGAGCUUCAUCACUCUCACAUCCUUUGGACAAAGGCCUUCCGCACAAUCCUGAGUUGCCGUCGAAAGAAGUGUUGUCAAAUGUAGCAAAUUGCUUUCCUUGUGGUAUGGGUCCUGUAAGGUAAUUGUCCGAGACAUUGAAGAAUGCCAGAAAUGUGAGCUCAACCAGUUGUUGAGGAAUCCGUCCUGAAAUCUUGUUAUCUGAGAGAUCCAAUGAUUCCAAAUUUGUUAGAUUGCCCAAACAUGACGGAAUAUGGCCUUGGAGAUUAUUGUACUGGAGGUUUAGAACUUGAAGUCCCUUUAAAUUCGCAAUCGAGGCUGGAAUCGCCCCAUCAAAUGUAUUGUUUGAGAGAAUAAUGCCCGCGAGGAUAUCAGGAAUCUUCUUAUAUGUCAUCAUUCGCCCUUUGCUGUUCAUUGUCAUUGAGUAGUCGUAAGUGCUAACUACAUAAUUGGACACUUGUCCAUACGGAAAAAGCACAUCUUGCAGAUAUCUUAGCUCACUUGUAUUGACAAUUUUCAUGGCAUUCCAACACAGGAAAUUCUUUGAUGGAAGCUUUCCAGUAAAUCUGUUGUUAGAUAGGUCAAUAAUGCGGAGUUUAGAAAAUCCACAACCAGUUCUGGGUUCUUCUAUAAUGCCAUAAAAUAUGUUAGAUCGUAGGAUGAGAACAUUCAAGUUUGGAAGAGUUCCUAACCAAGAGGGAAAAGUGUCACUAAUCUGGUUGUUCCCAAGACCAAGAAAUUCCAACUUUGAACAGUUGAUCAAUGAUCUUGGAAUUCUUCCCUGGAGUAGAUUAUGGCUUAAAUCAAUCACACCUAAUCUACUUUCUUUAAUGAAAGUAUUCGGGAUAGUCCCAAAGAAGUUGUUCCCCUGCAAGUCGAGCACUGAAAGUACAUUGCUGAAAUUGCCUAAACACUGAGGAAGCAAGCCACUUAAGUUAUUGUGAGACAAAACAAGGCUUUCAAGAAAAUUCAAAUUGCAUAUCCACGAUGGAAUUUCCCCUGUUAAGCUAUUGUUUGACGCUAGAUAGUUAAUGGUUCCAGGGGGUGGAACGGGGAGUGGUCCUUGUAAAUUAUUAGAGCUAAGAUCAAAAGUUACCAAACCACCUUUAUUCCCUGGAAGAAAAACAGGAUGCUGAUCAAACCCGGUUAACAAGUUAUGCGAAAGGUUCAAGGUAUUGAGAUUCUGCAUAUUGGGGUCUAACAACCAUUUAGGGACUUUUCCCUGAAUUCUAUUGUCAGAAAGGUCCAAGCCCACCAAAUGAUGUUGGUUUUCCAAGAAAUUUGGAAAUUUAGUGAGCUUGCAUGAACUCAAUCCUAUAUAUUGAUGUUUCCGUGAAGUGGUAUUGGAAGUGGCUUUGGUGAGCACCGACAACCUAUUUAAUGAGAGAGCUAAAACUUCUAAAUUUUUCCAGCAAGUAAGUAAAACAUCCAACUCUAUUGUUCCGCUAUAAGAAUUUCGAGCCAUGUCAAGGACGAUAAGUUGGGUAAGAUUCCUAAGUGAAGAUGUAAUUUGACCUGAAAAAUUACAAUUUGAGAUUUGUAUUACUUCCAAUGACCUAAGAUUUCCAAUGGAACCAAGUAAGUCACCCGAAAAAUUAUUAUAUCCAAGAUACAAAAAUUGUAGCCGGGUGAAAUUACCAAUCGAAUGUGGAACUUUGCCCCAAAAACCACAUAACCUCAGAUCUAAUAGCUUCAAAGAACUGAAAUUUCCAGUCGACCAUGGAAACUCACCGGAUAAUUUAUUGACUGAAAGGUCAAGUUUUUCCAAAGAAAAAAGAUUUCGAAUGGAAGUAGUCAACUCACCAAAAAAUCCAUUCUGUGAAAGGUCAAGUUCUUUCAAAGAACCAAGAUUUCCUAUGGAAAUAGGCAACUCACCAAAAAAUCUAUUUUGUGAAAGGUCAAGUUCUUUCAAAGAACUAAGAUUUCCAAUGGAAAUAGGCCACUCACUCGACAAAAAAUUUGCAGAGAGAUCCAGUUCUUCCAAUGAAUGAAGAUUACCAACGGAAACAGGCAGCUCACCUUGUAAUUCAUUUAGUGAAAGGUCUAAAUGAAGGAGCUUGGAUAGAUUACCGAGUGAUGAUGGAAUUCUUCCUGAAAUUUGUAUAUAUAAAAAAAAAGAACACAUUGCUUAAGUAGAAAAUUAAAAAUAAUAGUAAUUUUUACUAAUGAAUUUAACAUCGCAAUUGGCAUUUUUCGAGUAAAAUAUAUGUAUUCAACAAUAACAUGCACGUAUAUUAAUUAAGAAGAAAUUAUAUAAAAUUUAAUUACCUUGCAAUUCACAGUUUCGAAGAGAAACAAACGUCAAAGAAGAUAGAUUUAUGAUGUUAUGAGGUAUUGUUGACUGAAUACAAACAUCACCAAGGUCAAGUGUUUUUAGAUUGCUUAACUUCUCUACUAAAUUUACGAAACUGGGCUUCUGAAGUUCAAGUCUACCGCCAGGAACAUCAUUUAGUGAUAAAUCAAGGGACACCAAGUUGGAGAGCUUUAGAAUUUCUGAUGGUAUUUGGCCAGAUAAAGAAGUUCCAGAGAGGUUCAAGUAUGAUAACUUCGAAAGGUUGAUGAUUUCUGGUGGGAUUUCGGAGGAAUUAAAGUCAUUCAAAGCAAGAUUAAGCCACUCGAGAUGGACAAGCUUGAAAAGGCUGCUGCUAGAGUUGAUAGAACCAAAAAGGCAGCUAUGGGAGAGGUCAAGCUUGACGACAUGACCAGUGUUCUUAUUGCAAUGAACGCCGUCCCAAGAGCAGCAAUCAAAGUUACCUUCUUCUGGCUUCCAUGAUGCCAUUGUAGGAUGACAGUCAAAUUUCCAAGCAUAAAAAUCACUACUGAUGCGGCUUUCUUUGAAUUGCAACAAAGCAGAGCGCUCAUCAUCAUGGCAGAGUGGCAGCAUAGAAGAAGCAGUGAAGUUAGCAAUUGUAAAAUUAAAGAAAAAGAAGGGAAAAACUAAUCGUAUGAAUAUUGUGAAUAAACAUAUAGAGGAUAAACCCAUAGUUUUCUCAAAAAUAAAAUUUGUUUAACUUUGUAGAUGUGAAGAAAUUUAAGGAUCUUGGUUACCUUUUAUAGGCAAAUUGCAGCAAUUCAAACAUUAUAGUCAUUGGACUCUUUUUUGUUUUUUUUUUUAAGUCAACAAAAGUUAGUCUUAAUAAUAUUUAUUUUUUAUUAUUUGAUGUGAUGUCGUAAACUUUCACCAUUCCUUUGCCACCGAAAAUAAGUUUAUAGCAAACGUGAGGAUUAAUUAAUUAGCACAGGGAAAAAAUGAAAAUGAGUAAAUGAGUAGUACAUUCAUUUUUAUUUUUGUUUGAAAAAAAUGAAAAACAUAAUUCCGAAGUGGUCCAGACCACUUGAAAUUUAAGAAAAAAAAUGAUUAAUAUUAUUUGGAUAUGAUAUCAACUCAAAAUUCAAACAAAUCUUACAAACAACUGGCGAAAAAUGGUGAAUUCCAUUCCUUAACCGAGGUUUAUUAAAUUAAAAAAAUAAUGAAAAAUAGAUGAUAAUUAAAUUAAUUUUAAUGGAAACAAAGUCACAAUAGUAGAAGUGACAAUUUCGGCACGAUUAACUAAUUAAUCAGACACAAACACAAGACAAAUUAAUGAAUUUGGAUUUACAAAAUUUGACAUGAUUUUCAACUUAGAUCAAUUAAAAACCUUUCAUUUCGUAUCAUCGGACCCACUAUUAAUCAUCAUAAAUUAUAGUGAACAGACGAUCAAUUUCAGAGACUCAAGACUAGUAAUAAGAAGUCUUUGCAUGCUCUGUACAUAUGUCGUGUCAGAAAAUUAUUUCUUAGUUUUUAGCAUAAGAAUGACGAAAGAGUGAUGUAUUUUUGGACACUAUUCUUAGUCAACUAAAAUUAAAAUUGGUUCCUAAAAUAUAACCAAAAAAAAUUUGAACCCAAAAAAAGAAAAUAAUUUUUUAAAAUAUAACACAGAUAAUAAUGGUGAGAGUAAUUUAGGUCAAUUCAAAAUCGCUAAUUUGGAGUCGGAUUCAUGUAUUAAUUGUAUCAUAAGUUACUGAAAAUUGCAUGAAUGGCGUGGAUGCAAAAGUAAUCGCUAAUUUGGAGUCAAAGUCAUGCGUUGAUUGUAUUUGUAUUGUCUGUAUGACUAGGGCGUGGCAAAGGCUCAUGGAAUAAAUCUGCUUCUUUUUUCUCCUUUCCCCACUACCACCAGUUCACUUAACUUUUCCUUCAUGGCGUGCCGAAUGAGAUCUUCUACUCCACCAGUGCUUGUGUGUUUGUGUUUCAUUUAGUCAAAGUCAUGCGUUGACUGACAACUCGAAGAGCCUGUUUGGGAGUGUGGUGAGGUAGUUGGGCAACACUUAUAGCUAGGCUUUGGCAACUCAACAAUUUUUUUUUCAGCUGUAAAUUAAAUUACUAAAUUAGCCUUACAUAUUAUUCAAUUUCAAUUUCAUCCUCCUCAUUUUUUAACUUCAUUUCAAAUCAAUUUUUUUUUUUUGUGAAACAAACCCUAAACGCCCAUUCUCAUCUGCACGAUUCCGACUGUGGCAGUUCUAAUUGAUGCAAUUCCGACACCGGCCACUCUCAUACGCCUCUGUCAGUGGUGCGUUUUUCUUCACCCGUUGUUCAUUUUUUAGUGCUCCUUUAUUCUAUUACAUGCAAUUUUUCAUUUUCUUCCUCUUUGUUCAUAAUAUGUUGGGGCUUUUGUUUAGAAUAAAUUGAUGGGUGAUGGGUCAUGCGUGAUUUAUUUGCUGCUUGUAACCACUGUUUUUAUUGUAGAUUUUAUUUUUGUAGUUGCUUUUUGUAGACAUGCACAGCCCCUGUUUAAUGAAAUUCCCCUAAUAAAAAUCCAUCUCAAACUUCUUUGAGCAGAGUUCAUGCCCUGAUAUUUUAACAAGUUUCAAUUUUUUUUAUAUUUACCUGUGGAAUUUGUAAUAUAUAUUAUGCACUUAUGAGUGGUAUCGGUUGUUUUCUUAAAGUUUGUGUUUAUGAUAGCUAUUAUCUGGGUUGUGUUCAUUUGCCUCAAAUUCUGUAAUUUUGAUUUGAGUUUCCUGUUCUUUGUAUAAUGGCAAAACUCAGACUUUAGAUGUAUUUCUUGGUUAUGAUGAUUGUUUAGUUGAAUUUCUUUGUUUCCUUGUCUGGUUUGUCUUUUGUUGCUUUAUUGAAUUGCUUGUAAUUGUUUCUGUUCGUGGGCUAUGAUCAUUAUUGUUUGCUGGAAAAGUAUUUCAAGUAAACUAAGUGUUUGAUUAAAAGUAUUUCAAGUGAAGUAAGUAACAAUGUAUUAUAUUUACAAUGUAUAUGAAUUAUUGCUAUUGAUUUAUUUGUGCAAAUUUAAUUAAUUAUGCAAAUUUUUCUGAAAGAUAUUCUUGAUUAUAAUAUACAUCCAUUGUUCUUACCAUGAGGCUUAUUUAUGGAAAAUUUUCUGGACUAUUUGCUUGAGGAAAAAUAAAAGCUUCUUCUUUCACACACACACACAUAAUUCUUUUAGUAUCCAUAUAAUAGCAUUGAAAUGAUUAUUAAUAUAUCUUCGAAAAUUAUGUCUUAACUUUCCAGCAAGCUCUGGCUUUUGGCGUAUAAUCUGCUUCACAAAAUCCACAUGCCCAAGCAUACAUAAUUAAUUACAUUUUAAUUUUAUUAUGCUUUGUUGUAUGAUCUUUAUUAGAUAACCAUAUCAUGUACAAACCGAAGCAAAACUUUCAAAAUAGGAUCUUUAUUGAAUGGAUAGAUAAAACACACUAAAAAAUAUGAUAUUAUCUAGAGUUUUGUGGGGGAAAAAUAAUAAAUAAUAAAUAAAAAUAUUCUACUGGGAUAAUUUUCAAAAUUACAAUAAAAAAACAUUAGUUAAUAAAAAGUGCUAUAUCAUCAAAGCAAAAUCAGUUCACACACAUGCAAGUUUUGACUGAAAAAUUACAAAAUAUAACAACAUUCAGACAAACCAUUGCCAGCAAGCAUUUUUUAAACAUUGAAUAAACCUGAUGUUAGAAAUCGAAUUCGAAAGGGAACAAAGCAGUGAAAUCCUGCAAUUCAGAAAAAAAUUAUAAAAAAAAAAGCGGACAUACUAAAUUAAAUAAUUGAGCAAUUUGGCUCACUAUUUUUCAAUCAAAACUUUUAAUAUUUUCUCUUCACUUUCUAGGCAAACAAACACAGCAACAUCUUUUUUAACUCUUGAAAUCUUCCAGCUCCGGUGCAAGCCUCAGUCACAAUGUAGUCACUUGAUGGCACAUCUUCACCCAGACUUUUCAAUAAAGUGAAUUAAAGCUUUUAGAACGACACAUAAAACUUUAAAUUGUUCCUGUAACACACAGACAGUCUUUAGUUCGGUAUCAUAAAUUCACUUUCUUAUAAUCUCAUUAAUAUACUUUUUGAACUUUAUUGUGAUCUUCAUUAGGCGUUAAUUUUUAUUUUUCCUUUUUUAUAAAAAAAAAAAAAAAGCUCUUCCGGAGUCAUUGUAAGAUUCAUGACAAAUACCUGUUUCCGCUGGUAAUCAUGUACAUUGGAACAACUUGCAGACUCUUCUUAGAAAAAUUUCAGCUGACAUCAGCGGUUAAGUCCCAAUGUACAGGAUCCAAACACAAAUUUAACACAUCAGUAAACCAUUAAAAUAUAAAUAAAUAAAAAUAAAACUUGAAGACUCUUCUUAGAAAAAUUUCAGCUGACAUCAGCGGUUAAGUCCCAAUGUACAGGAUCCAAACACAAAUUUAACACAUCAUAACUUGUUAACCGGGUUUGAUCAGCAUCCUGUUUUAGGUCUUUGCGUGUUCUAUGCAUAUGUCGUGUCAGAAAAUUAUUUUCUUAGACAGGAAUGACGAAGGAGAGAUGUAAAUAUGAACUCCGUUCUAUGUCAGUCAACGUUAAAUUCGCCAUUCAUUAUAAUGGAUGUUUAUAUCGCUAAUUUGGAGUCAAAGUCGUGCAUCAAUUUAGGUAUUAGUCUUUAGUAAAUCUGCUUCAUUUUUCUCCUUUCCCCACUACUACCAGUUCAAUUAACUUUUCCUUCACGGCAUGUUGAGUAUUCCGUAUCCUACAGCAGUGCCUUGAAUGAGAUCUUUUACUCCAUCAAUGCUUGUAUGUUGUGUUUCAUUUGAGGAUUAGAUUUCCCAGUACGUAGACAGAGAACUCUGGCUCUGUUGUCCGAUGUCUCUGCAUUUUCUUGAACUCUCUACUCUUCCUCGUGUAAUUAAAGAGGAUUAAAGUAAAAGAAAAGGGUAGAACCAGUUCUCCCUAUUUGUUGCACUAGCUAUCAGAUUUCCAUAUUAUACUAAUUAUUGGCCAAAAACAUAUUUUUUUUAUUUAAAUUGUCAAAAAGACUUUAAUGUUCUCAUCCUAAAAUAAGUUCCAUUAAAGCAAUUAUAAUAGUUAUGGAAUGUUUAUAACUAGAAUGAGUGCUCCUACUUAAACUAGUAAAAUCUCUUGAACUAAUUUAUAGGUUCAAUCCUGCGCACAUGAGUAAGGAGAGGAGAGGGCAUUUGUUUAAAUUUUAUUGUAUUGAAUUUCGCACUUUCAAUACUUCUACGUAGUUAUUACGAUUUCAUCAAGUUUACGAUGCCGAAGAGCCAACCAUGCUUGAUCAAACAAAAUUAGACCUCACUAAAUCUGAUAAUGUAAAUGCUAUAAUUUCAUUAACUUUCAAACGGCAGCUAACAGUUUAGUGAUCUGCAGAUAGCUUUUGUCAAUUUAGGAUGGACAAUUUUACACCCUCAAAAUGUUGUAGUAUUUUUUAUAAUAUAGCAAAAAUAGGGUAUAAGAAUGAUAACUUCCCAAUUUUUAAAAAAAGUUACUGUUAAAUUCAAAUUGUAAUUGUAAUUGAAUUUAAUAAUUUUAAAUCCAAUAAAAUUUGCCACAUAUUGAUUUAAAUUUAUAUUAUCAUUACUUAACGUCAUAUUAAUUUUCAAUUGUUGAGUAUACUAUUAAAUACAAUUUGUUGAAAUUUAGAUUGUUAAUUUUAUAAAGAAGUUUAGAAGGAUUAUUCGUGUUGGAGAUAAAAAUAUGGUUGGACAAAUAGAAGCUUGAGAUAAUUUAAUUACAAUUUAAGUACCCCUAUCUAAGGAAGAAAGUGACCAAUUAGGUUGUGCCACGUAUCCAAAAGAUUAAAGAUGCCUUGAUGCAAAAGGUCGGAUCCAACUCACAUUCAUCUUUUUCCUUGAGAUGGGGUUACUUUCUUCACAAUAUUGACUUGAUUAUCGAAAUACCAUCACUGACCACUACCAGCAAUCGCCCUCUAAUAGCCUUGUAAAUAAGAAAUUAAAAUUUCAACAUAAAUAGAGAUACACAAAAUAUAUUAAUUUGACACAAAAUAUUUCUGCUAUUAGUAAAUUAUCAUCAUUAAUAUCAAUACCUUACUUUAUCUUUUAAUCAACAUACAAGUGUUAUCAACAAUGUUAACAAGUAAAUUAUGUAAAAUUAUCGUUAACAAUUAAUUAAACAAAUAAAAAUUCAACUUUAGUAAGAAAUCAUUAGGUUCAAGUGACUAAAGUAAAACAAACAAAAUCUAUCAAUUAAAAUAAGAUAUCAGUAAUAUUAAGUUUAAAAAUUAUAAAACUUUUAGUUAUUAAAAGCUUAUUUUAUGUGUGUGUGUGUGUAUGCUGCGCUGAGAUAAGUUAGGUUUAGAAAUUAAGAACUUUAGCUGACAUUCAUUUAUGAUUAAAUUUUUUAAUGUAAGUUUUAUGAUUAAAAUUAAAAAUAUAAAUAAUUAAAAUAAAGAAUGUAGGCGUGAGUAUCCAGUAGAUUUUUUCUCAAUACCAAAUCAACUCGCAUCCUGCAGCGGAUUUCAAUUUAAAAUACUAAACCCACUCACAACCCAGAAAAUUAUUCACAGCAGGUAAGGUUUUAUAGACGAAUUUGGACUGCUUUGUGGGAUGAUGAAUAAUUUUGCCAUCCUUGAACUCAAGGUUCAUCGUUUGCAAGGUCCCUCAUAAAUCAAGCACCCUCUUUGGUGGCUCUAUUCUUCAAAGCUGAACUUUCCCGCCAGUUAUCAAAGUUCACCCUCAAGAUAGCCUGAAAGCUACUUCCUUAAAUAUUUUAGUUCAUCUGAGGCUUGACAAAAAAUGAGCUAAAAUAACUAGUGUCUUUUAUGCCUUAAAAUAUUAAAUUUGAAAAAUCAAAAAGAGUUAUUAGGAAAAUAUAAGGUGCAUUUAGUAUAGUUUUUGUUUUGUAGUUUUUCAUUUUCCUAGAAUGAAAACUAUAAAAAAAUUUUUUUAGGUCUAUUUUUUAAUAGUAAAUGUAUCAACUGAAAAAAAGUUGUUCUUGUUUCUCAACUUCACAAAAGAGAGUGCAGAACAGAAAUUGGCAUUCUCUACUAUACAAACACACACACUACUUGCCUCACUUUUGUAGCUUGGAACCAUUGCCAAUAUUUAUUAAGCUUUUAACCCUCUAUUUCUUCCUUUUUUUUUAUAAUAUCAACACAAUAUUUUACUAUUUACUCAUAAAUUUACGGUUUCUUGUCAGAUAAGAUUUAUUUUUGCUCCAACAUUUUGCAAUUUUAUAGAUAUUCUUAAAUUAUUUUUUAUCUCAUUUUUUAAAAAUAAAAUUUAAAAUAGUCAAAUAAAAUUUAAAUUGUAUAAAUUAUGAUAAAAUAAAUGAACAUUUUUAGUUCAUUAAAGAUUAGACAAUUAGAAAAAUAAUUACAUUUAUCAUUAUCAAUUUAAAACAUGAUAAUUUCUAAAAUUUUAAAUAAAUAAAUAUACAUAUUUAAAAAAAUUACCUACACAUUAUUCAAAAAGAAAUGUUUUGGACAAAAUACUAAAUGUAUUUUCAUUUUUUUUCAUAAAUUAUAAUUUAGAAAUAAGCUACCAAAUGUAUCUUCAAAUAUCGAAACAACCCAUCAAAAACAUCAUCUUUCUUCUGCAAAACAAGUUUAGAAAACACCAAUUGAAAAACAAUACCAAAUACAACCUAAAUGUUUGGUACAAUUAUUUGAAUUUAGUUUAGAUUAUAGAACUGUAAAUAAUGAAAUAUAAAAAAAAUAUUUUAAUAUUCCAAGUAAUUUAUUUAUAAUAUUAUAAUAGAUUUAACAAAAGAUUAUUGAAAAAUAAGUGUGAUUUGAUUAUUUGAUGGUCUCACUUUAAUAAAUGAAAUCUUGGAAGUUCAAGUCCUCUUCUCAUAAUAUAUUCCAUUUUAACAGACUAAUUCAACAGAUAGUUUGUCUCGAAAAACACUAGCGGGCCAGCCGGCGGGCUUGAAACAUUAGCCCAAUAUAGCAAUCACCGUGAACUUCUAAAGCAAUAUUAUCUUGUCAUCCCCUCAAAGUUUGCUGAAUAAAAUAAAUAAUUAAAUAAAUUCAGCCCAAUAUGGCCAUCUCUUCUUGGAAUAUAUUCCAUUUAUUGAAGGACGAACUAAAUAUAUAAACAAAUACCCACAGAUGUUUUUAAUUAUCAUCAAAUUAACAGGACAUCACUCAUAAGCUGACAAAUUAAGUAGAUCGAUCAAACCGCCUUGUAGUAUGAAUGAAAAUGAUUGUUCAUGAAUUAAUCAAAUGAAUUACCCUCUGGUUUGUUGGAUGACAAAUUCAAUGAGCAUUUCUAUGUUGCGAUGAGAAGAUCUGUUAGGAAAUUGGUGGGUAAAGCAGACACACAGCUAAGUUGAAAUUGGUAGAAACAAUAAAGAACAAGCACAAUAGAGGACACAAGAAAAUUACGUGGUUCGGCUUUUAGCCUACGUCCACAGGCGAACAUAGAAGGAAAUAUUUUACUAGUGAAAAGGAGUUACAAGUAUUGUAGUAUUUUAGCUCACUACCCAAAACCCCAAUACACCCAAACUCUCAAAUCACUAUAACAAGAGCUUAUAAAUAUAAGCUCUUAAACUCUCUCUCAACUCCCUAAAUUGCUCUCUAAAUGGAAUGCCUUUGCUCAUUCUCUUCGCUUUUAUUUAUAGAGAAAGCUUUGGCACUAUGCAGCAAUUCUAUAUUAUUUUUACGUUCUUUUUUCUUCUUUCAAAUGUCAAACCCGUGUGCUCCUUUUCCUUUCCAACUUGCUGCAAAAUUCCUCUUCUUUGAACAACAUGGAUACUGACUAUCUAGAUGGCUGUUUCAAACCAUCUAGAUGGCUGCUUUUGACAAGAUCCACCAACUCCAAUAGCACGAUUUGCUAUCUCCCCAAGCUGCCUUGCUCUCUUUCUCCUCUUCUCUCCUUGUUUGCCUCUAUCCAUCAGUUUUUCAAUAGCUUCUUUAACUUUCUCCCUCUUAAUCACUAAACCAGAGUUGUCUUCCAAACCCCAUGUCACUGUAGCCUCAAUUCCAACACUCACUCCAAUCCCUAAUACUUGCGCAGCUAACUUCUUAUUAUAAAAUUGCUCGGCAAACAAAGGGUAUGUUACUAACGGCACUCCCGCACUCACUCCUUCUAGUGUUGAAUUCCAACCGCAGUGUGUCAAGAACCCUCCAAUUGCUCGAUGAGAUAAUAGCAACACUUGAGGUGCCCAUCCCCGAAUUAUAAAUCCUCUCUCUUUUGUCCUUUCCUCAAAUCCUUCUUCUUGGAUCCACUUCUCUAAACCUUGUGAUCUUUCACCUCCUCUUAUUAACCAAAUGAACGGCUGAUUGAUGCUUCUAAGCCUGACCCAAGUUCUAAAAGUUGCCAAGUAGCAAGGCCACAUAUACGCCCAAGACAAGGGUAAAUCACAGACCCAGGUUCCCAUGAGUCAAGCCAUUUCAAGCACUGUUCAUAAUCAUCUUCCGUUGAUCCAUUUUCACCUCUGCAUCUCUCAGCUUUAUCUGUGUUCAACUUAUACCGGGCCAAUACACCAAACCUUAUCACCUUUGGUCCUUGUAUAUUCUUUGACAUAUUCUGCUUCCAAUUCUUCGAAAGUAUUAACCACAAUUCCAUCUGCUGAUUGUUCUGCUCCCCUGAUUGUCACACGCUUCAAUUGGAGGGUUUUUAACACAUUGUGGUUGGAACUCAUCUCUUGAAGGGAUAUCAGCCGGCGUACCCAUGAUCACAUGGCCACUUUUUGGGGACCAAUUUUGGAAUGAAAAGUUGAUUGUGCAAGUUCUAAAUAUUGGGGAGAGGAUUGGUGUGGAAGUUCCCUUAGAUUUUGGGAAGGAAGAAGAGAUUGGGGUAUUGGUAAAGAAGGAAGAUGUUGUAAAGGCUAUUAACAUACUUAUGGAUGAAGGAAGGGAAAGAAAUGACAGAAGAAAAAGAGGCAGAGAAUUCCACAUAAUGGCAAAAAGGGCAACAGAAGAAACAUGAUCUUCUUCCCUCAUGAUCAAACUAUUAAUCCAAGAUAUCAUGCAACCGCCGCAUGGUGAUGACCAACAUAUAUAACGCAUGAGAGAUUAAUUGCUUAAUUUGUUUCAUGCGUACUUGCUUCUCUUUUAUUAUUAUUUUUUUUGAGAGGUUAAUUCACUUAUCUAUUAUGGUACUAUUGUCAAAUCUGUCCUCAUCCAUUGAUCAGACAUGCAUUAUUCCCUGAUUAUCAAGGAAUCUUGGCCGAGCACCUGUUUAUAAUUUUAAUUAACUCAAACCAGUUUGUAGGGUAUCAUCAAUAAACAAAUAUAAUGAUUUACUUGCAAUUGACUGCAUUAAAAUAUAUUCUUUUAAUGUUUAUAAUUAUAAGUUGUACUAUCAAAAAGUUAUUGUUAAAUUAAUUAUAUAUAAAUUAAUUAAUAUCAGCCAAUGCAAUGUUAGAAAAGUUCUCUUAACUGCCCACUAUUUGACCGAACAUUGACCAGCCGCCAUUGCUCUAGUGGCGGCUGGUGGUGGUGAUUUGCCAAUACCGGAACCACCCCACACACCGGUGACUUCUCCUUUGGCCGGCAACAACCAUCACAACUGCACUCACACCCAAACCGAAGGCCAAAAACGUGUUCGCAAUCUCAAAUAUCGCCCAUCGCCGCCGCCACACCUGUUACCAUCGAUAAGGACCACCUUCUGCCAUUGACCAUCUCCUCAGCCCAAUCUCGUACAGCUACUGCUUUGAGAGAUAAUGCUGGAUGGGCUGAGAUAGCUAAGCCUUCUUCUUCUAUUCAGGAUGAUCUAAGUAUUCAGAGGGUUUCCACUGGUACUACUUUUUUCUGAGCUGCAGGAUAUUCGAUCCAUGACUAUGGGUUUUAAUUCCCAUUAUACAGAUAUUCAUUUUUAGUCGGAUGAGGAGCUUAGCUCUGAUGAGAAUCUUGUGGCUGAUGAUUAUUUUACGUCUUAGCCUGAGCAUUCUGAAGGGCGUGAUCUUGACCCCAACUUCAAUGUUGUUGGUCCACAUUCCUCUUGUUCGAGAAAAGAUUUCGCAUUAGUUACUGGUCACAGGUAUAGUAGGCAGUCUUAAGGCAUUUGCAUUAAUUAAUUAUCUUUAACUUCUUAUUUGUUCUCAUAAUGUUUUUGUUAUUUUUUGGAUUUGUUGGCUGUGUUGUUAUUUUGCUUGGAGCUUUUAGUUUGUGUCCUUCUCCAUAUGUACUUUCUUUUGUUUCAAUAGUUUACAGGUAAGAGGGUCCCGCCUAACCCGCCCACCUUAGGGUGGUUUUAAAUUAAAAAAGGAAAAUUAUCAUUUGUGUGAAUAUUUAGAGUCUGAAAUACUAUUUUUUCUUGUUUCAUUCAUUCUACAAGUUACACUUAAAUAGAAUGCAGAAAAUAAACUCCUAAAAAAUAUCCCCUAAUUGUAGGAUACUUAUCUAAACUUGAAUUUAAAAAUAAAACUAAUUAUCUAAAACUUUAUUCUGAUAAGACUUUAAAACUAACUGAAAAAUCCUAACUUCUCGAUACUCCCUCUCAAGUUGGUGUGUAGAUGUCAAUCAUUCUCAACUUGCUGCAAGAUGUCCAAAGUUAAGUGUGACGAAUCCCUUCGUUAGGAUAUCUGCUAUUUGUUGUUUUGUUGGAACAAACAAUAGGCAGAUAAUAUGAUUCUCAAGUUUCUCGUUGAUGAAGUGACUAUGAAUUUCGACAUGCUUGGUUCUAUCAUGUUGCACUGGGUUAUGUGCAAUGCUGAUUGCUGUCUUGUUGUCGCAGUAUAACCUUAUAGGUAGAACUGUAGGUCUUUUCAAAUCCUCUAGAACUUGUUUUAGCCACAAUACUUGACAAAGCUCAUGUGUCAUAGCUCUAAAUUCAACUUCAGCAGUACUUCGUGCAACUACAUUUUGUUUUUUACUCCUCCAAGUCACUAAAUUACCCCAUACAAAAGUGCAAUGGCCUGUAGUAGACUUCCUGUCUGUAAUUGAAUCUGCCCAAUUAGCAUCAGUGUAUACCUCAAUACCUCUAUUCUCUGUUUUUCUAAACAAAAGUCCCUUUCCUAGAGUACCUUUUAGAUAUUUGAGAAUUUUAUAAACAGCUUCAAGAUGUUCUUCCCGAGGAUGAUGCAUGAAGCGACUUAUUAUAUUGACUGGAAAAGUGAUGUCUGGUUUAGUAAGAGACAAGUAAAUAAGUUUUCCCACCAAAUUUUGAUAUCGUCGUAGAUCUACUAGGGCUUUUUCUCCUUCACCUAGUCUUAAAUUGUACUCCACAGGUCUAUCCACUGGCUUACAGCCACUCAUUCUAGUUUCCUUCAAUAAAUCAAGGAUGUAUUUCCUUUGUGAGACAACUAUACCUUUCUUGGAACGAGCAACUUCCAUUCCAAGAAAGUAUUUCAAGGCACCUAAGUCCUUGAUUUCAAAAUCAGUGGCUAGACUUUGCUUCAAUCUAUCCAUUUUAACUAAAUCAUCUCCAGUAUGAAUAAUGUCACCCACAUACACUAUAAGCACAGUGAUUUUACAUUUAGCUGAAACUCUAGUGAACGUUGUAUGAUCAGUCUGACUUUGUCUGUAACCUUGUCUAUUCACAGCCAUAGUAAAUUUCUCAAACCAAGCCCUAGGCGAUUGUUUGAGACCAUGCAAGGACUUUUGCAAUUUGCACACAUUUGACCCAAAAUUUUCAAAGAAACCAGGAGGAGGAUCCAUGUAUACUUCCUCUUUUAAAUCCCCGUUGAGAAACACAUUUUUCACAUCCAACUAUUGUAAUGGCCAAUUUAGGUUUGUAGUGAUAGACAAGAGAACUCGUACAGUGUUUAACUUUGCUACUGGUGCAAAGGUCUCUGAAUAGUCAAUCCCAUAAGUUUGCGUAAGCCCCUUUGCCACUAGGCGAGCCUUGUAUCUCUCAAGUGAACCAUCUGAAUUGUAUUUGACAGUAAAUACCCACUUGCAGCCAAUUGUCGACUUUCCUUUAAGCAAAUUGACCACCUUCCAAGUCUGAUUCUUCUCAAGAGCAUUCAUCUCUUCAAGGAUAGCUGCCUUCCAUUAGGUACACUUAGAGCAUCCUGCACAUUCUUUGGAAUUUCUACACUAGAAAGUUGUGAGGUAAAUGCAUAGAAAGAAGGUGAUAGGUUGUGAUAUGAAACAAAAUUAGACAAUGAGUAUUUGGCACAACUUCUAGUACCUUUCCUAAGAGCAUAGGCAUGUCCAGAUCACUAAGAACCUGAGAAUUUGAAUUUAACUCACUAGAAGGAUUAGAAUUUGAAUUUAACUCACAAGGAGGAUUAGAAUCAGAAUUACCUGAGGAAGAAGAAGUUUGAUCUGACCUUGGAUUGGAAGAGUAGAAGAGGAUAUAAGAGGUCUAAUUUUGUUUGUGAGAGACCAUUUCCGGGUUGGAAAACAUUCUCCAACCCAGUGGAACUCAAUGAAUUCUUGUGGUCCAAUUAGCCAUAAUGGAUUUGGCAAUGCAGGAAUCUCAUGGGGCUGGGAGAAACAAGUUUUGUAAGCAGUUAGGUAUAUAAUAUAGUUAGUAUAGGUAGUCUGGUUUAUCAUUAAGUUCAUUUAUUGCCCUGUGUCGCAAGUAUAUAAUACAGAUGAAACCAAUUUGAGGAAGUACUGGUCGUGUUUGCAUCAUGUUUAGUUUGUUUAGUAGACCCAUCCAAGGUUUUGAAAAUUGUUUGAUGUAUUGGAAGAUGGGCAUUGUUGUAGUGCUGGGUAUCUAUGUUGACUUUGUUCGCUGGCUUGGAAGUCUUGAAAGAGUUGAGAGGAUCAACCCUCAUCAAGAUGAUUGAGGUUUUCGGAUGAGUCUGGAAAGUUUGAUGUGUUACAUAAUUUUGAUCAAACAAUAAUGUGAGGUUCUCUUUCAGUAAUUCCCAUAUUCUCUUUACUGCUUAGGAGUUAUUACGUUGAUGAAGUUUAUUAGCUGUGUUGCAUGUAGGUCAGCAUACACAAAUAAUGUUGGUGCAAGAAUCAAAUAACAUUGGUAUAAAAUCAAAUAAUAUUGGGCAGCAUAGAGGUGAAAUGAAUAUCACACAGACACACACAGUUUCAAAAGCGUGUAGGUUUUUUUGGUCUUUUAUCUAAAAUUGAAUACUACUUAUUAUCACCAAUUUAAAUGCAUCAGGUUAUUUUUUCUUUCCACCUUCAGAUUUAUUUUUUUUUUGACAACUUUCCACCGUGAGAUUAAUUGUGAGAAAUUUGCAUUAAUAGAGAAAGUAGAAACGAUUUGAUUUUUAUCUGGAAAAAAAAAAGAAUCAAACUGAAUGUCAUAAUUUUAUUUAUGAAAGAUAAUCUUAUCAAUUUAUAUAAUAAUUGAUACGCAUAUAAAGUUUUGUCCCUUUUUUUUAUUAAAUAUUAUUUAAGCAAAAAAAUCAUAAACAAUUUCGUUUAAGAGGAAAAAAAACACAAAUUAUGUAGUUUUAUAUCAUCAAAUAAUGUAAUUUUUUUUAAAGUCUAGCUCAAUGGCAACUAAAUCUAUUCUCCACCCUUAUGAGCCAAGUAAACAAAAGCUCUUGUUUGUAAUUAAAUUUGUAUAUUUUUUAGGGAUUAAUUAUUUGCUUACAAAUGUUAAAAAAAAUGAAAUGCUUAUAUAGGGUUAAAUACAAAGUUAAAAUUUCAAAUGACGUGUUAUUAUCAAUGACUGACAUGUAUUAAGUAAUAUUUGACGUUUUAUACUAUUAUUAAUGAGAUAAUUUAAUAGGAUUGAUGAGAAUGAUUCCUCAUCGUUAAUGAAUAAACAAUAUAUUAAAUACCACAUGAUUCGAAAUACAAAUUAUAUUUUAAAAAAAAUCUUUGUAAGCAUAUAUUACUCCUUUUUUAACAACUGAAAUCAGUUUUUUUUUUUUUUUACAACAGAGAAGAAAAAUCAUCCAAAAUAAUAUACUAAAUUAGCACAAUUGGGACAAUUAAUCAUCUCUAUGGAAUGUCUAAAAUAUACUAAAUCUUAAGUUACACACUCAUUUGACGUCAUUUUUUUUAUCUUUUUUUUUUCCCUCAAAGUCACCAUCCGAUAUUUUAAGGCAACUUUCAAUUUGGUAUAUCAAAAUUAUUUAGGGGCCAGUUUAAUAUAAAUUGACGAAUUAUUUCUUUAUUUAUGAAAGUAUUUAAGGAACUUUAAUGUUGUUAUCAAUUUUCCAUCGUAUACUUUAUUGUUAAAAGAUUUCGUAUUGGAUAUACUUUAAUCCAAACAUAGCUUUCGAAACUAAACAAAUGGAGUUUACUAACUUAAUUCCCUGUUUGUCUUGAGUAUUCGUUUAAAUUACUAAUCAAUUGUAACUAAACAAAUGGAAUAUAAUUAAUUAAUCAACUAAUCGCCACAUUAACCACUCUUUAAUUUAUAUAAUACUGUUUAAAUCUCGGAAUCUUUGAGUAAAAACUAUGUUGUACAUCAUAAGUUCAAAGUCCACCAUUACAUUAACCUUCCAACCGAUUUGAUAACUACCAUUCGCUAACAUGAUUAAUUUUCUUAUUACUAAAAUUUUUAUUAUCAUAUCUUUCUAUUUUUCGCAUUCAACGAUUGUAUGGCGUGAUGCAUGUGGAAUUCUUUUUCGUUGGGACUCAAAUCAUCCACCGUCUGAUCAUUUACCAUUUGAUGUUGGAAUGCUUGGGUGGCCAAUUUUCGUCAUCGAUUUACCGUCAAUUAAUUCGUCACAUUUGUAAAUGAUUUGCACCGACGCAAGCUGCCGAGUCCAAAUGGAUAAAAACACAAGACCGUGUUUGGCAAUUUUUUUAAUGACACGUGGGGUCUGGGCCGCCUGGCCUGCGUGUAUAAAAUAAGAACAAACAAAAAACUUUAAAAAAAAAAAAGAAGAAAAAGAAAAGAAAGGAAUUAUUGUGCCUAUUUUGCAGUCUUGUUCGAGGUGGAAUAAAGCAACAUCGCAACAACAUGGCUGUUAUGGACGUAUCACUAAAGGGACAUUAAAUUAGAUUCUUGUAAAAGUUUUUGACCAACAUUUUCUAUGAAACAAUUUGAUCCCUUAUGAAUCUUAUACAAAAUAUAACUUCAAAUUAUUUAAAUGGAUGAUCAUUAGACCAAUCAUUUUAAACAUUUGAUAAUAUUUUUUACCUUGUUCUUUUUAUGAGCAUAGUUUUUUUUUUUUUUUAAGAAACGAUUAUCAAUAUCCUAGUCUAUUGCUAAACUGCUUAAAGUGUAGAAACUGCUCGAGUAUCAAUUUUUUUUUUUUUGUAAACUAAGUUUUAUCCAAAUAUGAUUUCUUUAUCCAAAUACAAUCAUAUUUGUCGGUGAAAUGAUUAUUAUUAUUUAUUUUAAUUUAAAAGAAGCAUCUAAUACAAAAAUAAUCGAUUAUCAAGUAAAGGACAAGAAUAGUGUAGAAACCACCAAUAAAAAGCCAAUAUUUUUAGCUCACGUGGCUUGUGCACGUAAGCAAAAAGUUCCAUGAUGAAUAUUUCGUGAUUUCUAAGUUCUCGUGCCCUGCACGUCAAAUUUAUUGCCGUCACGGGCAACUAGUUUAGUGCCAUUUGGCACUUAAUUACAAGCUCGCUUCUCCUUUAACCAUAUUGUUUGAUUGCAUGUACAAAAAAUAUAAUAAGAAACUUUUUUUUUUUGCAUUAUUUUUGAAUGAAUGUAUUGAUUUCUCUCCUUUAUUAAAGGCUUUGUCUUAGAAUAUAAAAUACGCGGGAGGUUGCCAUCUUGCUUUAAUUAUAUGGUCAAGACUUGAGGGUGCACGAUGGACCUACCCGAUCAAUCAAUCGAUCAAUCUCAAUGGCGCUAAGACCACAUAUUUUACACGUGACAGAGUGAGUGUUCACACACUUCUCUUUAGGCAUUUUCUCUCGAAAUAGCCCAAUCCAAAUCUAAGAAUCAAGCACCAGGACAUAAGCAGAGAGCUCUAGGGCCAAGGCCUCAGAGGGGUUGGCAAAAGUCGAAAAGUAGACGGAAUGUGUUUCUAGUAGUAUGAAGCAUAUGAUAUAGUAGUAGUAAUUGACAAGAAUAUUAACUACCAUUAGCUCCCUAUCAGGAUCUAUAUGAGUUAAUCUAUAAACAUACACACAGAAAAGCCGAUAAUGCAAUACUGCAACCUUUCUCAUUGCUUUGUUAAGUAUCAGAGAGAAGGAUUGCCGGCUGCAGCUUUAAACCCCUCAGGCCGUGGUGAGAAAAAUUCCUUCCCCAGUCUUUAACAGUAGAUGAAUGAGACCUGUUUAUGGUAUGAUAAUGAGUCAAUGUUAUGGAAGAGGCGCGAGUCUGAACUGCAAUCACCAGUGUUGGUUCCCAUGUUCAGAGCCCAGAAUUUAUGAUCAAACUUUAUUGCUUCAUAUCUUCCAUAUCUUCAUCAGAGGCAGGAUUUUCAACCUCACUCCCGCCACUUAAGUCAUCGUCGUUGCCUAAAGGUGAAAACUUGUCACUCGUGGUGUUCUUAUGAAAAUGACACUUAAACGGCAGAGCAACCAUGCUUGAUGAAUGGAAAACGGCAGAGCACUUUCAAUAAAUGAAAAACAUUUAUUUGAGGAAAAAUAAUUCAAUUGUGUGAGAGAGACCAGUUACGUAGGCAGUUGCCCACCGAGACUGUUAGUUGGUCAUGUUUGAAAUUUGACACUAGAGUUGUCUGUCAACUACGUCUUCACUUCACUUGAGCUUUCGAAGUUAAUGCCACGUGGACAUGAAUAAGAAUAAUAAUAAUAAUAAUGAGGAGUCUACUUCGUGGUUAUUAGAGUUAUGCCUUUGCUUUUCCUGCACCUUAGGGAUAUGGGACUAACUAUGAACACCUGGAUGGAGCAUAGGUAGGUAUGUGCAAAAUCCUGGAAUAUCACUUCUAGGAAGACGUCCAAAUCUUGAUCACUUGUUGGAACAGGUAGGGAUGCAAAUGGCUUUUCAAAUUGUCAUUUUUGUUAAUGUAGGUCCUAGAUUCAUGGUUUUCUUAAGAUUUUAUAUCAUCUUAGCUUUAUGCAUUUAAUGACCAUUUAAUGAGGAAUAAGGUUUAUUAUAUCCCCUAAUUAAUUGUGUUAAGAUUAUUAUUUAUAAAGUUGACAUCUUACGGCAAGUUUAGUAAAUUAAAAUUUUAUUUACUGAAUAUUAUGUAAUAGGGUUUAAUUUAUUAAAUUCCUAACUAAUUUAGUGAAAUUCAAUUUAUUCAGAAUAUUGUUUUCUAAUUUAAUUAGAUGUUUAAUUUAGCAAGUCAAUUAGUGACAUGAUUUUAUAAUUGGUGCAUAGGAUUUAUUUAGAGGAAGAAGUUGGUUUAAACAGAAAGUUCAUUAAAUACUCUAGAUAUUUCUUAGGAGACAAGCAAGGCAAGCAUAUCAUAUUUAUUUCUAUUUAGAUUUAUAGGAAUUAUAAGAGAAAAGAAAUUCUUAUUUGGAAAAAAUCCUAGUCUUUUAACUACAGUUUUAAUAAAUUUUUUCACAAAAUUUUUUCACAUCAGCUUCAUACUCAUCAAACAAUAUAUCAUAUUUAAGCCAAGAUUUAUCCACUUUUUGUUUAGUACUUGACAUAUAAUUGAAACACAUUUCAACAUAAUGUACUAAUAGGCAGCAAUGAUAAACGGUUUCCAUUAUCAAUAAAUUAAGAAACAAAGCAUUAUUAAUAUUCAGUUUAUAAAUUUAAUGAAAUAAUUAAAUUAAAAACAAAAACUUGUCAUCAUGUGCAACAAAUAUAACUUCACCAACGUGCUAUCAUCGUUUACCAAAACCUCUAACUAACAAUACCCACUAAUAAUAUCCUAAAUAAUUGAGCCCACAUACAUUUAACAUUUAUUUAAAAAAAAAAUUCUAACAAUCUGGUAUUUCAUAGACCACAAGACUAUAUAUAUAUAUAUAUAUAAGCAACUAAACAUUCCUUGGUCCACAUGACCAAACUUGCCCCCACAAGGUACCAUUUCUUUCAAACAUAAAAAAAACAAUUGAAAAAGGAGCCUCACUUUUUAACUCAAUAAAAUACACUAGAAAGUAUUAUCAGUUACCAAAUCUAACUCACAAUCAUUCAAAAAAUGUCAACACCAUUGGACCUUAGUUUUGGAUCCAUCCCAAUAAAACACACUAGUCAAUGACAAAGUGCUAUAUCAUCAAGCAAAAUCAGUUCACAAACAUGCAAGCUUUGACUGAAAAAUUACAAAAUAUAACAACAUUCAGACAAACCAUUGCCAACAAUCAUUUUUUAAACAUUGAAUGGAAAGGCAGUAAAGAAUUGAACAAACCUGAUGUCAGAAAUCGAAUUCGAAAGGGAACAAAACAGUGAAAUCCUGCAAUUCAUAAUUAAAUGAUUGAGCAAUUUCUAGAUUUAAUAAAAGGAUAAAGUAUAAGCUUCUUGAAUUAAAAAAAUAAAAAAAUAACAAAAGAAACAAACAAGAAUUUUAAAAAAUAAUAAUAAAGAUAAACCAUUCAUGAUAGAAAUCCCAAAAAAAAGGCAUAAAUUAUGAACAAAUAAGGGAGAUAACAAAAAAACUGACAAUUAAUUUUAUAAUGCCCAACUAGUUUAUUCAAAACAAAAAAUAAAAAAGCUAAUUGACAAUAAGCCUAGGGAUUCAGCAAUUACAAGGAUGGCUUCUCCAUCGCCAAUUAAACAAUGCAAAGAAUAGUGACAACGACCGCUUCAACAGUGGACGUGUUGAUCGAAGGAGCAACAAUGAGCAUAUAUGAUGAUUUUGUGCCUAAAAAAUUAUAAUAAAGUGGUUGCUUCAAUAGCAUAUACGAUCAUUUUGGUUUCCAUGCAAUGGAUUUCAAAACCAAUUUGUAGAUUAAAGUAGGGCUUGUUAAUUCUGGAUUUUGAGGGGUUUCAAUGCUUAGGUUUCUUAGCCCUUGCCGAUGGAGUGAUGAAGUCAAAGGAGCUGAAGUGUUUAUUAACACCUAGAAUAUCACUACCACAAAAUUGGUCUUUUACAACGGUUUUAAAACCGUCAUUGUCAUCUUAGGCACUGACAUUAAAGAGGGUAUGUUUUUAAUUACGGUUCACUAACCAUCAUUAAAUGUAUAUUUUUAAUAACAAUUAUUUUUUAAAAUAGUCAUUAUUUAUAGUAAUUAUAUAUGUUUUGAUGACUGUUCUUUCAUAUAACUGUCAUUAAAUGUGCCAUUUUAAUGACGGUUUAUUAUAAGAACCGUCAUUAUAUAUAUGUUUUUAAUGACGGUUUAUUGUAAGAACUGUCAUUAUAUAUAUAUAUAUAUCUUUAAUGACGGUUUAUUAUAAGAACCGUCAUUAAUUAUUGAACAACAUUUUAUGACGGUUUUUAAAAAAAAAACUGUCAUCUUUGUUUCUGAACACUACAUUUGAUGACGGUUCUUUUGAAAUAACCGUCACCUUUGUUAUUUAUUAUUAAAAAAAAUAAAUGGGAAAUUUCAUACUAUUUCAAGCCCCAUUUUAAUUCUAAUUUCAUAUUAAAUUCUUUACAAUUAUUUUUCCAGAAACAAAAGGAUGCAAAUGUUUCAUAUACAAAGAGAUAGCUUUACAAAAAUUCUCACAACUAUUUAAUAUCCACUAAUGACUGCACUAGCAACCAACAAGAUUGGCAUGCGUGAGACAUCUAAUUUCUCGUCAAGUCUUCAAUUGCAAACAAGUCUCACCAGCGUCAGCAAUCUACGUUAUUCUUACAAAGGAUAAAGAGAAAUUAAGAUAUAUUCAUAUAUUAUAAAUCAUAAAUAUUAAAUCAUUUUAGUGACUUAAGUUGUAAAACAAGACUUUAAAGUACCAAAUCACUAUUAAUUAAUAGACUUACCUAAGUAAGUUUACCAAAUCCUUCUGACUUCUUCCUCAUAACGACCGUCAUCACCCAAAAGUGAGUUUCAUGCAGGCAUUGUACAUUUACCAGCUGAAUUUGUAAAUGAAAUAGGGAACUUUUGUCUGGUUAGUGAUUAAGGGGACUCAACUUGAAAGAAAUAUUCCAAAGCCAAGUUAAAAGAUUGUUUUGUGUACAAGUAAAUUGGACUAAUUGUCAUACUAAUUAAAAAAAAGUGAUUAACUGUCAUACAACUAUAGGAAACUAACACAAUAAAGUUUGUCCAAUACUAUGGAAAUGGUACCACUGCAAUAUGGCAGAAAAAGAAAAAAAAAACUUCUGCAUUAACAGGACAAAAUAAAUGAUAGUUCAAGCAGGUCUUUCAACAAAUACCUUCAAGAUGUUUUUGAUUUGCAUCAAAAAUUACAAAUGCAACCAAGAAACCGAUUCCCUAAAUCACAGUUAGAUAUGAAAAUAUGAAAUUAAAAGUAACUAAAUACUUAAUCACAGGGAACUAACUAAUCGAAGCGGUGGAAUUAAAGCAAUCGUAUAAAAACUUCAGCCAACAAAGAAUGCAAAUAUAUUAUCAAACAACAAAGACUCACAUGGUAGAGUGUUUUCUUCAGCGAGUGAUGGCAAGGCUAGGGUUUAUCUAGUUCGAUGGUGAUUGAUGGAGAAGGCUUUAAUUUCAAGCCUUUAAGGAUUGGGUUUUCUUCGACGGCAACGAUUUGGAUAUGGGUUAGAGUUUUCAUGGGUAAGAGGGGUAUAGUGUUGACUCCGGCGUAGUAAAGAGCGAGCAUGAGAGAGAGGGGUUGUUGGUGCUGGCCUGCUGUUGCCUGUGCAUAAGAGCGUGCGUGAGAGAGAGCGGCUACUAGUGGCCUGGUGCUGCCAUGCUCGACUGCUGCUGCACGGGCUCAGUUUGCCAACGGCGUGCGUGCUACUGAGAGAGAGGGUCUGCGUGCGCGUGUGCUAUUAGUGUUUACAAAUUAUCUGUAAUUUUAGUGAUUUGUUGUUUGUAUAGGGUGGGGUUUUUUUUUUUUUUUUUUAAAUAUAUCAAUGACGGUUCUAUAAUAACCGUCAUUAAUUUGGAUAUAUAAUGACGGUUGAUUUAUUAAACCGUCAUUAAAAUUAUUCACUUUCACAUUAAAAUUUAAAGUAUUUUAUCUACAUAUAUAAUGACCGUUAUAUAUAACAACAGAUAUUAAAAAUUAUCACUUUUAAUGACGGUUUUUUAAGAACCGUCGUUAAAUAUAGUCAUUUUCAAUUAAUUUUUUUCAAAACCAUCACCAAAAUUAAAACUAUUUUUAAGUAUGUAUAUAAUGACCGUUUCAUGUAAAAACCAUCAUUACAAAUUAACACUAUUUUAAUUACACAUAUAAUGACCGCUGUAUAUAAAAAGAGUCAUUAAAAAUUAAGACUAUUUUAAUUAUUUAACUAUACAUAUAAUGACCGUUGUAUAUAAAAACCGUCAUUAAAAAUUGUCAUUUUUAAUGACAGUUCAUUUAUUAAAACUGUCAAUAAAAUUAAGACUAUUUUUAACUACACAUAUAAUGACUGUUGUAUAUAAGAACCGUAAUUAAAAAUGGUCACUUUUAAAGACGGUUUUUAUAAAUGAACCGUCAUUAAAAUUAAGUGUAGAUUUUGUUUGACAUUUAAUGAUGGUCCUAUUACAUAACGGUCAUCAUAAGUGCUACAAAUUAUAACUGUUUGCAUAAUAACCGUCAUAACUUAUGGGUCAUUCUUUUAUAUUUUUGUAGUAGUGAAUUUUCUUGUAGUUUAAAGUCUAUAGUAAACGACAUCGUUUAGAAGUUAAAUAAAUAUUUUUAUUUUUAAAAUUUUUUAAAUUAUGAAAAAUCAACAUAUGGUGCCGUUUCAUGCCCAAAUUGAUCUAUCCUAAACUCACCGUUUCAUUAAAUAUUACUAUGCUAUCAUAUUUCUAUGAUAUAUAAAAACUCUAUCACAAUUUGUCAUGCCUUUAUGAUGUAUGAAAAUUCUGUCAUGUGUCUAUCAUAUUCUUGUGAUAAAUAACUAAUUUUCUAAUAUCUAUCACAAAAAUUCUGUCAUUUUAGCCCAUUAUUCUAGUAGUGAUAUUUAUCCAACUGGACUACAAAGUAAUUGAAAUUAAUUGUAACACCUAUGGACAAAACUUGGACCCAGUGUUAUUUUAUAAUCAAAAUUGAAACCUAUAAUUACAGUAAACUUGAAUCUGAAUCAAAUGGGCAAAUGGGGACAAAUGCCUUCUCUAGGCUCUAACCAUGAAACAAUAAUCAAAUCGUCAGACUUCUAAAAUAAGCCAAUGACACAUUACUCACAAACCCAUCUAUUAACAUCUUCAAAGCUUUGGCACUGAAACUUAAAAGAGAGAUUUGUGUUAAAUAGCAUUGAAAGUAAACACAACAGCAAUUAUAUAUAGCAAAGAUUAGUGGGAAAAAAGAUGUAUUAAAAUUGUUCUUGACUCCCAAUUCUGCCCGAAUAAAAUAAAUGAGCAUAACAAGCAACCGGACCACAGAGAAAGAUAUCUCCAACACCAUAAGCGGUGGCUUCUGAAAAUGCAUUCUGGUUGCAGCUCUAGUUCUUCUCACGGUACAAGUAUGCGUACUCAUGGUAACAGCAAAUCCAAAUGCAGCAAGAAGGAUGCUCCUCUUCCCAAUCAACAAAAAAGUAUCGUCAUUCAUUAUGUGAAAAAUUUUAAGAUCAGAAAUUGGAGGCCAAUUGUGUUCGGAACUCUGAUAUUUUACUUCGAUCUAUGCAAAACCAAAAAUGAAAAUGAAUACUCGAGCAAUAUUCAAAUAUCGAAAGAGCAUAUUUUCAUAAUUAAGUGAGGAAAAAAAUUUUCAGUAUCAAUUAUCAUCAACGGGUUCUUGAUGUUAAGAAUAAGCAUUAAAAUGAGCUGUUCAGGUCGUCUGAUGAAUCAGCAAGCUGUUAAGAAGGCUGUUGCUUUGCUUAAGAAGCCUCUGGACAUGUAUAUAUAAAUCCCUGUAAUCUCUUGUUACAAGCGGCCGAGGUCACGCUCAUGAUUUUGUUGCUUAUAGAAGCUCCUGGACAUAAACCCCCGUAAUCUCAGUUCAUUUUGUAGCUUAAUGAAAUGAAUUUGGCUCACUAUUCUUCUAUCAAAACUUUUAGUAUUUUCCCUUCACCGCAAACAAAUACAGCAACAUCUUUUAACUCUUGAAAUCUUCCAGCUCCGGUGCAAGCCUCAGUCACAAUGUAUUCACUCGAUGGCACAUCUUCACCCCGACUUUUCGGUAAAGUGAAUUAAAGCUUUCAGAACGACGCAUAAAACUUUAAAUUGUUCCUGUAACACACAGAAAGUCUUUAGUUCGGUAUAGUAAAUUCAAUUUCUUAUAAUCUCAUUAAUAUACUUUUUGAAUUUUAUUGUGAUCUUCAUUAGGCGUCAAUUUUUAUUUUUCAUUUAAAAAAAAAAGCACUUUCGGAGUCAUUGUAACAUCUUUUUCUGUGUAAAUAUCUUUUUCUUUUAAUUUAAAAUUAGAUAUAUCAAACUUAUUCAUCGGGGUUUUGUUACAUUUCCCUUAUUUUCAAUAAUUAAUUUGUUAUCUAAUUGGUCAAUAAAUUUGCUUCUUGUUUGUCCCGUACACUAAUAUAGAUGCUGUUUAUUUCUUAGGUUUUGAGAUAGGAAUGACGAAGGACAGAUGCAGGGGCACCGUUUUAAGUUAACCAAAGUUAAAGAUGAUUCGAACCCAUAGUUGUUGCAUAAAAACAUUUGUUAUCUUUACUUUUGUUGUCAAAAUUAUUAUUAUUAUAAUUUUUUUAAUGGUAGAAGUAGAACCUAAUCCCCCACAAUUAUCAUUUAAUAACAUGUUAAUUACCAAACACUAUUAUUUUUUUAUUCAUACCUAGUAGUGAUUUAAAUUUGAAAAGCGACAAAACCAGAAACCAGUUUUUAAUAUAUAAUAAACCAGUUAAUAUUUUUAUUUUUUGAGGAGAAAUGUAAGGAUCCUACAAAAAAAAAAAACCACCAACAUUACAAUGACAGAAUUAGAAACGAAAAUCACCACAACAUUAUAAUUGCAUUCAAUUUCUACGUCUCCUCCUCCUCCUCGUUGCCUUUUGCUGCGUUCCCAACUUCUCCAGAAUCCAUCCGAUAAUUCCUGUGCUGAAGUUGAACCCGAGAACCAAUCCUGCCACAAGUCCGCCAGCGUAGCCAAUCAGAAUGAUUUUCCAAUCAGAUGCGCCUGAAAACAGAGACUCCUCUGAGCCCUCAGUAUGAUCUUCAUUUGCUGGAGCUUUAUUACUCUCACAUCCUUUGGACAAAGGCCUUCCACACAAUCCUGAGUUGCCGUCGAAAGAAGUAUUGUCAAAUGUAGCAAAUUGCUUUCCUUGUGGUAUCAGUCCUGUAAGGUGAUUGUCCGAGACAUUGAAGAAUUCGAGAAAUGUGAGCUAGUUGUUGAGGAAUCUGUCCUGAAAACUUGUUGUUUGAGAGAUCCAAUGAUUCCAAAUUUGUUAGAUUGCCCAAACAUGACGGAAUAUGGCCCUGGAGAUUAUUGUUCUGGAGGUUUAGAACUUGAAGUCCCUUUAAAUUUGCAAUCGAUGCUGGAAUCGCCCCAUCAAAACUAUUGUUUGAGAGAAUAAUUCCCGCUAGGAUAUCCGGAAUCUUGUUAUAUGUCAUCAUUCGCCCUUUUCUGUUCAUUGUCAUUGACUAGUCGUAAGUGCUAAGUAUAUCAUUGGACGUUUGUCCAUUUGGAGAAAGCACAUCUUGCAGAUAUCUUAGCUCACUUGUAUUGACAAUUUUCAUGGCAUUCCAACACAGGAAACUCUUUGAUGGAAGCGUUCCAGUAAAUCUGUUGUUAGAUAGGUCAAUAAUGCGGAGUUUAGAAAAUCCACAAUCAGUUCUGGGUUCUUUUAUAAUGCCAUAAAAUAUGUUAGAUCGUAGGAUGAGAACAUUCAAGUUUGGAAGAGUUCCUAACCAAGAGGGAAAAGUGUCACUAAUCUGGUUGUUCCCAAGACCAAGAAAUUCCAACUUUGAACAGUUGAUCAAUGAUCUUGGAAUUCUUCCUUGAAAUAGAUUAUGGCUUAAAUCAAUCACGCCUAAUCUACUUUCUUUAAUGAAAGUAUUUGGGACGGUCCCAAAGAAGUUGUUCCCCUGCAAGUCGAGCACUGAAAGUUCAUCACUGAAAUUGCCUAAACACUGAGGAAGCAAGCCACUUAAGUUAUUGUGAGACAAAACAAGGCUUUCAAGAAUAUUCAAAUUGCAUAUCCAUGAUGGAAUUUCCCCUGUUAAGUUAUUGUUUGAAGCUAGAUAGUGAAUGGUUCCGGGGGGUGGAACUGGGAAUGGUCCUUGUAAAUUAUUAGAGCUAAGAUCAAAAGUCAGCAAAUCACCUUUAUUCCCGGGAAGAACAACAGGAUACUGAUCAAACCUCGUUAACAAGUUAUGCGAAAUGUUCAAGGCAUUGAGAUUCUGCAUAUUGGGGUCUAACAACCAUUUAGGUACUUUUUCCUGAAUUCUAUUGUUAGAAAGAUCCAUGAACCGCAAAUGAUGUUGGUUUUGCAAGAAAUUAGGAAAUUUAGUAAGAUUGCAUGAACGCAGUCCUAUAUACUUAAGUUUCUGUGAAGUGGUAUCAGAAGUGGCUUUGGUGAGCACUGACAACCUAUUUAAUGAGAGACCUAAAAAUUCCAAAUUUUUCCAGCUAGUAAGUAAAACAUCUAACUCUAUCAUUCCUCUAUAAGAAUUUUGAGCAAGGUCAAGGGCGGUAAGUUGGGAAAGAUUCCUAAGUGAAGAUGUAAUUUGACCUGAAAAAUUACACUUAGCGACAUUUAUUGCUUCCAAUGAUCUAAGAUUUCCAAUGGGACCAAGUAGGUCACCUGAAAAAUUAUUCGAUCCAAGAUGCAAAUAUUGUAGCUGGGUGAAAUUACCAAUCGAAUGUGGAACUUUGCCCCAAAAACUAGAUGACCUCAGAUCAAAUAACUUCAAAGAACUAAAAUUUCCAGUGGACCAUGGAAACUCACCCGAAAAAUUAUUGAAUGAAAGGUCAAGUUUUUCCAAAGAAAAAAAUUUCGAAUGGAAGUAGGCAACUCACCAAAAUAUCCAUUUUGUGAAAGGUCAAGUUCUUUCAAAGAACCAAGAUUUCCCAUGGAAAUAGGCAAUUCACCAAAAAAUCUAUUUUGUGAAAGGUCAAGUUCUUUCAAAGAACUAAGAUUUCCAAUGGAAAUAGGCCACUCACUCGACAAAAUAUUUGCAGAGAGAUCAAGUUCUUCCAAUGAAUGAAGUUUACCAACGGAAACAGGUAGCUUACCCUGUAAUUCAUUUAGUGAAAGGUCUAAAUGAAAGAGCUUGGAUAGAUUACCGAGUGAGGAUGGAAUUCUUCCUCAAAUUUGUUAAAAAAGAAAAAAGAAAAAAGAACACUCGAGAUGGACAAACUUGGAAAGGCUGCUGCUAGAGUUGAUAGAACCAAAAAGGCAGCUAUGGGAGAGGUCAAGCUUGAUGACAUGACCAGUGUUCUUAUUGCAAUGAACUCCGUCCCAAGAGCAGCAAUCAACGUUACCUUCUUCUGGCUUCCAUGAUGCCAUUGUAGGACGACAGUCAAAUUUUGAAGCAUAAAAAUCAUUACUGAUGCGGCUUUCUUUGAAUUGCAACAAAGCAGAGCGCUCAUCAUCAUGGCAGAGUGGCGGCAUAGAAGAAGCAGUGAAGUUAGCAAUUGUAAAAUUAAAGAAAAAGAAAGGAAAAACUAACCGUAUGAAUAUUGUGAAUAAACAUAUGGAGGAUAAACCCAUAGUUUUCUCAAAAAUUAAAUUUGUUUAACUUUGUAGAUGUGAAGAAAUUUAAGGAUCUUGGUUUGCUUUUAUAGGCAAAUUGCAGCAAUUCAAACAUUUUAGUCAUUGGACUCUUUUUUUAUUUUUUUUAAGUCAACAAAAGUUAGUCUUAAUAAUAUUUAUUUUUUAUUAUUUGAUAUGAUGUCCCACAAAAAAAAAUUGAUUUAAUGUGUUAUUAACAAUCUAUCCAGAAAAAACAAUUCUUUAAUAGGAUCUAUCGAACUUGACCUAUGUUUAUAUUUCCUUUCAUUUUCUAUAAUUUCAUUUUCUGCAUUAAUUUGCUUCUUUUUGUUUUUUUUUCUCCUUUCCCCGCUUGUAUUUCCCUUCACGGCCAGUUGCGUAUCCUGCAUACUCGAGUUUAUGUGAUUGGCUUGAUGACUUUUCACUACAACUCAAAAAAAAAUUGAACCCAAAAAAGAAAACAAUUUUUUAAAAUAUAACACAGAUAAUAAUGGUGAGAGUAAUUUAGGUCAAUUCAAAAUCGCUAAUUUGGAGUCAGAUUCAUGUAUUAAUUGUAUCAUAAGUUACCAUCUCUGUGUCUAUGGCGUGGCAGAGGCUCACGGAAACUCCAGACUAGUGAGUCUAUCGUUACUGAAAAAUGCAUGAAUGGCAUGGAUGCAAAAGUAAAAAAAUUUGGAACUGAUGAUUAAGCCAUUAGCUAACAAUAAUUAACUUCUGAAGAGGCAACGUCCCACCCAAAAAAAAAAAAGAAAAAAAAAUGAUUUAAUGUGUUAUUAACAAUCUAUCCAGAAAAAAAAAAAAAUUAUUCAAUAGGAUCUAUCGAACUUGACCUGCGUUUAUAUUUCCUUUCAUUUUCUAUAAUUUUUCAUCUAAUGGGUCAAUGAAUUAAUUUGCUUCUUUUUUCUUUUUUUUCCUCCUUUCCCCACUUGUAUUUCCCUUCACGGCCCGUUGAGUAUUCUGCAUACUCGAGGGUAUGUCAUUGUCUUGAUGACUUUUCACUACAACUCUAAAAUUUUCCUCCCCAUGGCAUGUUGAUAUUAACUCCAAAUUAGCAAUAUUAUCACUGUCACUCUUCUUUGUAAACUACGCACUCGUUGGUUGAGUGAUGACACCUCCUCAACUUAAUUAUUCUCAGGGUCAAGAAUUUGAGUUUUACUCCUAGAUUUCUUAGCCGAUCUGCCAAUGCGCCAAUUUGUAAUGAGCUUUAGCUGAUGGUUUCUGAGAUGGGCUCUAAUUAGUGCACCUAAAAUGCAACAAAUAUCUCACGUUAACAACCCAAAGUUCCAUAAUAUCAUGCAAAAUCAUUCUAGAAGUUAAAAUUAGGUGUUAAUCCGAUACAAACACCAGAAAAAUUAAUGAAAUUUGGAUUUACUAAAAUUGCAUGAUUUAUUAAUUUAGAUCAAUUAAAAAUAUUUCAUUUUAUAGUGUCGGAUUCCCUAUAAGUCGUCAUAAAUCAUUAUCCAGACGAUCAAGGCCGGCGGAUAAAGACUCAAGACUAGAAUUAGAAGUCUUCGAGUAUCAAUCAUAUGUCGUGUCAGAAAAUUCUUUCUUAGUUCAAGCCAACUAAAGUUGAAUUCGCCAUAUCAUUAUAAUGGAUGUUAAUAUUGCUAACUUGGAGUCAAAAGUCAUGCGUUGAUUACAUUUGUAUUGUCUGAAUGACUAGGACGUGGCAAAGGCUCAUGGAAUAGAUCUGCUUCUUUUUUCUCCUUUCCCCACUACCACCAGUUCACUUAACUUUUCCUUCACGGCAUGCUGAAUGAGAUCUUCUACUCCAUCAGNNNNNNNNNNNNNNNNNNNNNNNNNNNNNNNNNNNNNNNNNNNNNNNNNNNNNNNNNNNNNNNNNNNNNNNNNNNNNNNNNNNNNNNNNNNNNNNNNNNNNNNNNNNNNNNNNNNNNNNNNNNNNNNNNNNNNNNNNNNNNNNNNNNNNNNNNNNNNNNNNNNNNNNNNNNNNNNNNNNNNNNNNNUUAAAUUGUCAAAAAGACUUGAAUGUUCUUAUCCUAAAAUAAGUUCCAUUAAAACAGUCAUAAUAUUUAUGGCAUGGUCCUACUUAAACCAGUAAAAUCUCUUGAACUAAUUUAAAGGUUCAAUCCUGCUCACAUGAGUAAGGAGAGGAUAGGGUAUUUGUUUAAAUUUUAUUGUAUUGAAUUUCGCACUUUCAAUACUUCUACGUAGUUAUUACGAUUUCAUCAAGUUUACGAUGUUAAUGAUCAAACAGUACACUUUCUAAACUAACUAAAAUAGUACCUAGCUAGCUAAUUAGAUAACGGAUUAAUGGAAUAGAUGUGGAUGUCUAGUUUUAGAGUUUGAUUUUUUUUUUAAAAUUAAUCAAAGAAAACAUAUUUUUAAUUUUGGGUUAUUGUACUAUUAAUUAAUAAUUUAAUUAAAAAAAUUUAUUUAUUUGCUUUCAUUCUAGUUGUUGAAAAUGCCUUUAAUAGGGGUUGGUUCAAUAUUUGGUUAGACUCUGAUUUCAUGCCGGCGAUCCAACUCCUUCUCUUCAUCCCUCUUUGACCAUUUGCAAUGUACUUGCAUUGCAAAUGUCUGUAGUCAAACUUGGGUCUUCAAUGUACUCACAUCCCUUGGUAGGAUUUCUCUCCUUCAAAGAUUAACGCUCUUUCUUCUCGAGAUGCAAAUGGCUUUUCAAAUUGUCAUUUUUGUUAAUAUAGGUCCUACAUUCAUGGUUUUCCUUAAGAUUUUAUAUCAUCUUAGCUUUAUGCAUUUAAAGAGUGAGAUUUUAUAUCACCUUAGCUUUAUGCAUUUAAUGAGGGAUAGGGUUUACUAUAUCCCCUAAUUAAUUGUGUUAAGUCUAUUUUUUAUAGAGUUGACAUCUUAUGGCAAGUUUGGUAAAUUGAAAUUUUAUUUACUGAAUUUCAUGUAAUAGUGAAAUGGCCCGCCCCGAACCCCAGGGUGAGUCUAUUUAAUCUCAUCAAAACUGGAUUGAUAAUAAUCUAAUUAGUGAAAAUUCUGUCGAAAAUUCGGCAAAGUCUCCUUUAUAAAUAUAACACUCCCAAUCUGAAAAUAUGUAAAACAAGCACUUCCAAAAUAAUUCAAUUUAUAAUAAACUCCAAUGAUCAACAUCCUCAACCAAAAUGCUGAGUGUUUCUCAAGAUAUCUCUAGAGUCUCAAAGGAUAAUAUUAUAAUUAAUAUUAAUAUACCUCAGUUUAUUCUUAAUCCCAAAAGAACAAGAUAACCAGGAUGUCCUAACAAAAAGCAUCUAUAUCUUCUAACACCAUCACGUGGCCAAGACUCAAAAUACUUCUGAAGAGGCAACGUCCCACCAAAAAAAAAAAAAUUUUGAUUUAAUGUGUUACUAACAAUCUAUCCAGGGAAAAAAAAAUUCUUUAAUAGGAUCUAUCGAACUUGACCUGUGUUUAUAUUUCCUUUCAUUUUCCAUAAUUUGUCAUCUAAUGGGUCAAUGAAUUAAUUUGCUUCUUUUUUUGUUCUCCUUUCCCCACUUGUAUUUCCCUUCACGGCCAGUUGACUAUUCUGCAUACUCGAGUGUGUGUCAUUGUCUUGAUGACUUUUCACUACAACUCUAAAAUUAUCACUGUUACUCUUCUUUGUAAACUACGCACUCGAUGGUUGAGCGAUGACGCCUCCACAACUUAAUUAUUCUUAGCCGAGCUGCCAAUGCGCCAAUUUGUAAUGAGCUUUAGCUGAUGGUUUCUGAGAUGGGCUCUAAUUAGUGCACCUAAAAUGUAACAAAUAUCUCACGUUAACAACCCAAAAUUCCAUAAUUUCAUGCAAAAUCAUUCUAGAAGUUAAAAUUAGGUGUUAAUCCGACACAAACACCAGAAAUAUUAAUGAAAUUUGGAUUUACUAAAAUUGGCAUGAUUUUUUAAUUUAGAUCAAUUAAACAUAUUUUUAAUUUUUAUAGUGUCGGAUUCACUAUAAGUCGUCAUAAAUCAUUAUCAACAGACGUUCAAGGCCCGCGGAUAAAGACUCAAGACUAGAAUUAGAAGUCUUCCAGUAUCAAUCAGUCUUAGGUGAUGGCAAGCUCGAUUUCAGUCAAGUGGUUUAGGUCUUUGCAUGUUCUAUGCAUAUGUCGUGUCAGAAAAUUCUUUCUUAGUUCUAAGCCAACUAAAGUUGAAUUCGCCAUAUCAUUAUAAUGGAUGUUAAUGUUGCUAACUUGGAGUCAAAGUCAUGCGUUGAUUGCAUUUGUAUUGUCUAUAUGACUAGGACGUGGCAAAGGCUCAUGGAAUAAAUCUGCUUCUUUUUUCUCCUUUCCGCACUACCACCAGUUGACUUAACUUUUCCUUCACGGCAUGCUGAAUGAGAUCUUCUACUCCAUCAGUGCAUUUAGGAUUCGAUUUCUAAUUUGUCCGAAGUCUCUGCAUUUUCUUGAACUCUCUACUCUUCCUCGUGUAAUUAAGGAGGAUUAAAGUAAAAGAAAAGGGUAGAACCAGAUAUUCCUAUUUGUUGCACUAACUAUCAGAUUUCCAUAUUAUAGUAAUUAUUGGCCAAAAACAUAAUUUUUUAUUUAAAUUGUCAAAAAGACUUGAAUGUUCUCAUCCUAAAAUAAGUUCCGUUAAAACAAUCAUAAUAGUUAUGGAAUGUUUAUAACUAGAAUGAAUGCUCCUACUUAAACUAGUAAAAUCUCUUGAACUAAUUUAAAGGUUCAAUCCUGCUCACAUGAGUAAGGAGAGGAGAGGGGAUUUGUUUAAAUUUUAUUGUAUUGAAUUUCGCACUUUCAAUACUUCUACGUAGUUAUUACGAUUUUAUCAAGUUUACGAUGCUAAUGAUCAAACAGUACACUUUCUAAACUAACUAAAAUAGUACCUAGCUAGCUAAUUAGAUAACGGAUUAAUGGAAUAGAUGUGGAUGUCUAAUUUUUGAGUUUGAAUUUUUUUUAAAAAUUAAUCAAAGAAAACAUAUUUUUAAUUUUGAGUUAUUGUACUAUUAACUAAUAAUUUAAUUGAAAAUUUAUUUAUUUGCUAUCAUUCUAGUUGUUGAAAAUGCCUUUAAUAGGGGUUGGUUCAAUAUUUGGUUGGAGUCUCCGAUUUCAUGGUGGCGGUCCAACUCCUUCUCUUCAUCCCUCUUUGACCAUUUGCAAUGUACUUGCAUUGCAAAUUUCUGUAGUCAAACUUGGGUCUUCAAUGUAGUCACAUCCCUUGGUAGGAUUUCUCUCCUUCAAAGAUUAACGCACUUUCUUCUCGAGAUGCAAAUGGCUUUUCAAAUUGUCAUUUUUUUUAACGUGGGUCCUACAUUCACUAUUAGAAAAAUGGGCUACCAUGACAGAAUUUUUAUGAUAAAUAUUAGAAAAUUAGUCAUUUAUCACAAGAAUGUGAUAGACACAUGAAAGAAUUUUCAUACAUCAUAAAGCCAUGUCAGAUUUGUGAUAGAGUUUUUAUAUAUCAGAUAAACAUGAUAGCAUAUAAAUAUUUAAUCAAACCGUGAGUUUCAGAUGGAAUUAAUUUGGGCAUGAAACGACACCGUUUAACAGAUUUAAAAAAUUUUAAAAAUAAAAAUAUUUAUUUAAUAUUUAAACGCUAUCAUUUAACUAUAUUGACUAAACCACAAAAAAAUUAAGUGUUGGCACCUUUGACUUAUCACUUCAUCAGCAAGGGCUGAGAAACCAAAGCAGUGAAACCCCUCAAAAUCUAAAAUUAACCUAUUUUAAUCUACAAAUUGGUUUUGAAACCCAUUGCAUGGAAACCAAAAUCAUAGUAUAUGCUAUUGAAGGAGCCUUCGUGUCCUUAUUUUAAACCCCCAUUAUUUUGAACCGAUUGGUUUUAGGCACAAAAUCACCACACACGCUCAUUGCUGCGCCUUCGCGUCCAUUAUUGAAGCCGUCGGUGUCACUACUUCUUUGUAUUGUUCAAUCGGCGUUAGAGAAGCCAUCCUGUAAUUGUUUAAUCCCUAGGUUUGUCAUCAAUUAACUUUUUUAAUUUUUAUUCUGAAUAAAUCAAUUGGCCAUUAUAAAAUUAAUUGUUAGUUUUGUUGUUAUCUCCCUUAUUUGUUCAUAAUUUAUGCCCUUUGUUUUGGGAGUUAUAUUAUGAAUGGUUUAUGUUUAUUAUUUAUUUAUUUUAAUUCUUGUUUGUUUCUGUUGUUAUAUAUAUAUUUUUAGUUCAAGAAGCUUAUACUUUGUCCUUUUAUUAAAUCUAGAAAUUGCUCAAUCAUUUAAUUUAGCAUGUCCUCUUCUUUUUUAACAAAAUUUUUUUGUUCUGAAUCGCAAGAUCUCACUGCCCUGUUCGCUUUCAAACUCGAUUUCUAACAUCACGUUUGUUCAAUUUUUUACUUGCCUUUCCGUUCAAUGUUUAAAAAAUGUUUGCUGGUAAUGGUUUGUUUGUUAUAUUCUAUAAUUUUUCAGUCAAAGCUUGCAUGUGUGUGAAGUGAUUUUGGUUGAUGAUAUAGCACUUUUCAUUUACUAGUGUCUUUUAUUAGGAUGAAGCUGAAACUGUGGUCCAAUGGUGUUGGCAUUUUUUUUAAUGAUUGUGAGCCAGAUUUUGUGUAUUUUAUUGAGUUACAAAGUAAGGCCCCCUUUUUCAAUUGUCUUUUUUAUGUUUGAAGGAAGUGGUACCAUGUGGGGGCAAGUUUGGUCAUGUGGACCAAGUAAUGUUUAGUUGCUUAUCUAUAUAUAGUCUUGUGGUCCAUGAAAUGCUGGAUUGUUAGAAUUUUUUUUAAAAUAAAUGUUAAAUGUAUAUAGGCCAAGUUAUUUAGGAUAUUAUUAGUUGGGUAUGGUUAGUCGGUGAUUUUGGUAAAUGAUGAUAGCAUGUUGGUAAAUGAUGAUAGCACAUGAUGACAAGUUUUGUUUUAAACUUAUUUAUUUUAUUAAAUUUAUAAACUGAAUAUUAAUAAUGUUUUGUUGCUUAAUUUAUUGAUAAUGAAAACCGUUUAUCAUUGUUGCCCAUUAGUACAUUAUGUUGAAAUUUAUCUCAAUUAUAUGUCAGGCACUAGACAAAAUAUGGAUAAAUCUUGGCUUAAAUAUGAUAGAUUGUCCGAUGAGUAUAAGGCUAGUGUGGAAAAAUUUAUUAAGACCACAGUUGAAAGUAAUCAAGAAAUUAGUGUUGUUAGGUGUCCAUGUGAUAAAUGUCGGAAUUUAGCAUUUCAUAGGCCUAAAGAAGUGAAAGAUUAUUUAAUUAUAUGGGGUUUUGUUACGUCAUACAAAACAUGGGUUUGGCAUGGGGAAGAUAUCUGUAACAAAUCUCUUGACAAUAUAGGUUGCCAAAAUGACAGUGGAUAUAUGGAUUAUGAUGGUGGUAAUAUUGUUGAAAUGGUUGAAGAUGCUUUUAAGGAUUGUGAUAGUGAUCCUAAAGCAUUCAAAAAACUAUUAGAAGAUUCUGAAAAGCCUUUGUACCUUGGAUUAAACAAAUUUACCCAGUUAUCAGCUUUAGUUAAAUUGUACAAUAUAAAGGGCAGAUAUGGGUGGUCUAAUAGUAGCUUUUCAGAUUUGUCGAGUGCUCUUUCUAACAUGUUACCGGAAGGAAAUGAAUUGCUUGUAUCAAUGUAUGAGGCCAAAAAGACAAUGAGUGCUUUAGGCUUAGAGUUAUAAAAAUUCAUGCUUGUGCAAAUGAUUGUAUACUCUAUAGAAAAGAGUAUGAAAGCCUUUCUAAUUGUCCUACAUGCUGCUUAUAGGAAGGAGGUUCCUGCAAAAGUGUUAUGGUAUUUCCCUUUUAUACCUAGAUUUAGGUGUAUGUUUCAGUCCUCACAAACUGCCAAAGACUUGACUUGACAUGUAAAUGAGAGGGAAAUAGAUAUUAAGCUUCGACAUCCAAUUGACUCACCCGCAUGGAAGUUAGUUGAUGAAAAAUUGCCUACCUUUGCAUUAGAGCCUAGAAAUCUACGUCUUGCCCUAUCAGCUGAUGGCAUUAAUCCUCAUAGCUCUCUUAGUAGUACGUAUAGUUGCUGGCCGAUUCUUCUUGUAACAUACAAUCUUUGAAACAACCCGCCCCGAACCCCCGGGGAUGAGUCUAUCUAAUCUCGCCUAAACGAAUUAAUAAUAAUUAUAAUAUCUAAGAAUUCUACCAAAAAUCUAGCAAAGUCUCAUAUAUAAUUAUGACAUCCCCAAACUUGCAAUUUAUAAAAUUAAACCUGCAAUUUAUAAAAUUAACGCUCCCAAAAAUGAUACAAUAUUCAAUCAACCUCCACAACCAACUUCCUCAAUCAAACACCAAUAUUCUUCAAACAUAUAAUGUCAAGAAUACAAUAAUUUAUCCUUAAUCACAAAUAAAUAAUAAAUUAUACAAUUCAAAAUAUCCCAACAAAACAUCUAUGAUUCCUAACACCAUCAUGUAGUCAUAAUUUCAAAUCUAACUAUCGUUGCUGGGUCGACUGAUGUACCUGCAAAUCUCCUGUGGGGGGAAAAAAUAUAAUAAAAACGGGAUGAAUAUAAAACUCAGUGAGCUCAGUGAGUGGAUAGUAAUUUUUGAAAAAAUAAAUUUAUUUAAAAUGAUUUAAUCUUUCCCAAAUCAAUUUCAUCAAAAAUAUCAUAAGAACUUACAUAAACUUAUUUAAUUCAAAUCAUGCACUGAAAUAACAAUAUUACAUAAAUAUGCGUAAAAUCAAUGAAAUCAUAAUACUUAUGAUAUCAAAUACUGAAUACCAAAAACUAUCACCAAACAAGUACCCAGGAGAAUAAUCUCAUCAUAUUCGGACCUCGACGGACGGGCAAUCAGGGAACCAUCAUGCCUCGGAGUUACAACAGAUAGACGGGGAAAUGUCAUAUCAUAUCUCAUAUAUCUCAUUAUAUCUGUGCAUGCAUAAUCUGGUCCCUAAAUGACAAGGCACCCAAGCACACGGCCCAAAGUCUCUGUGUGUAUUCAGACGGGCCCUAAAGGCCUAUAUCUCAUCUGUAUCAUCAUAUCUCGUCUGUAUCAUCAUAUCUCGUCUGUAUCAUCAUAUCUCAUUUGUAUCAUCUGUAACUCAAUAUUUGUAUCUCUGUAAUCACCAUACUGCAUGCAUAUUCCCCCAAAAGGCAAAAGCGCCCAAACACACGGCCCAAAGCCUCUAUGUGUGUUCAGACGGGCCCCAAAGGCCUCUCAUCUAAUAUCAUAUGUAUCACUGUAUCUGGAGGCGAUGGGUACUGUCCAAUGAUUUUCUAAACAACCUUUUACACACAUGUACAUAAACAUAUAAUCACAUCUGAAUUCGCAUUACCUUUUUAUUCAACAUACUCAAUUCCACUCAAUUCUCUUUAAAACUAUUAUCAUGAAUUUACUCAAAAGCGAUAAUAAAAUCAUUAAUCAAACUCAUUCUUAAUAAUAAUAAAUAUCAGCACGCAGAAAAAAAUCCAUUUUCUAGAAAAUCAUUAAAUCGAAGCAUCAAAUACUUAUUAUCAAAACAUGUUGUAUUGUAUAGUAAAAUCAUAAUAUACUAUAAAAAUAGGUUUUAUAUAUUCCACUCAGAGUGAUGACGUCCAAACUCGGUAUUAACAAUAUUCAUGGGUUGAUUCUCGUGCGCGGGUCCUCCUAAUCAAGAAAAUGACAUAAUCAUUCUCUAUAAAUUUGAAAUAUAACUAAUUUUACAUAAUAAUUCUCGAAACAAAUAUCUAACCACAAUAAACUAUUCCCGCAUGCACAAAAUUACCAAAAUACCCCUAUAUGCCAAAAUUACCAAAAUACCCCUAACAUCAUUAUUUUACAAAAUUAUCCUCAGAAUCUUCAAUUACCAAACUAUCCUCAAUUCAGAUCACAAAAAUAACCACAAUGUCAGAAAAUUACAAAAUUACGUUGGAGUGUAAAAUUACCAAAAUACCCAACAACGUAAAUUAUUGAAUUACCCCCAAAAUCUCAAAUUACCUAAUUGUCCUAGUCCGAAAUUACAAAAUUAUCCACCGAUUCCAAAAAUUACAAAUUUAUCCUCGAAGUUUAUGAAAUUACUGAAUUACCCCCAUCGGUCCACGGUGACCGGAGUUCAGUCAACGCGACGUGAAGCUCAGGUCUAAUAGUUUUGACCACGCUGAGUCCAAUGGUGGUGGCUGUGAGUUCCCACGCACGGUGACAGUGGCGGAUCGAGCUUCCCAAUCUGCGAGCUUUCUGGUGGUCGAUCGGUGGAAUUUCGACCGUUUCAGGAGGCGAGGUUGGUCGGAAAAUGAUAAGGGUUAGGUGAGGAUCAAGAUCCAGGCAGUGGCAUCACCCAAAAUUGGCGGAGUUAACGGUGACGAAAACGGGUUGAGCUGCGGGUUUUCCGAGCUUGAUCACCGGUGUUCUCGUUGUUUUCCAACGACGAGGAAGGUAAGGGUAUGACCAGUGUCUCACAAGCUUUCUAUCCGUACCUUGCUCGGCCGGUGAGGUGGCCAAAAAUGGAAGUUACGAUAGGGUCAGGGUUGCGGGUUUCGGGUCGAAUUCGGGUCAAAAUCGGGUCUAUCUCUCUCCCGCGCCCUCUCACAUCUUUCCUUUUUUUGAAACCGGCUCCCUUCUUUCAAUUUAUAGAAACUAGCUUUUUUUUUUAACUUACUUCGAAUUAAGCCAAUGUCAAACCCGUGUUGAAAUAAAAUCCGACUACACAACCAUUGAAUCGUGUUUGAAAUGUCUCAAUUUUAUGUUGUGACAAAUUUAAAUUUAUUCAAAACACGAUCCAUUUAUUAGCUCGACCCGAAUCCAUUAAUUCAUGGUAAGAAAUCGACCCGCGUCAAGUUUGCUCGUAAUAAUUUGUAGCCAAUCUGAUGACUUUAAAAUUAAUACUAAAAUGAAAAACACAUAAUACACUUAACUAGGAAAAAUUAAGGUGCAUAUAUUAUAAUCCUCCCCCGUAUAAAAAUUUUGUCCUCGAAAUUUACACAUCUGAUGAGAACAGGUGAGGGUAUUGGGCUCGCAUUAAGUCUUCGCGUUCCGAAGUAGCCUCUUCCCUUGUGUGAUUCCUCCACAACACUUUUAAGUUGUAUAUUCUCAUUAGUAUUCUAAACCAAUUCGGGACCAAAAAGCUUUCGCUCACCAACCUCAUCCCAACAUACGGGAGUUCUAUAUUUUUUGCCAUGCAAAGCCUCAUAAGGUGCCAUCUCGAUACUAGCUUGAUAACUGUUAUUAUAAGUAAACUCCAUCAAGGGUAAAUAAAUGUCCCAACUACCCUUAAAUUCCAAAACACAAGCUCGUAACAUAUCCUCCAGGGUUUGAAUAGUACGCUCUGACUGACCAUCAGUCUGUGGAUGAAAAGUUGUCCUAAAAUUCAGCUUGGUGCUUAAUGCCUUUUGCAAGCUUGUCCAGAACUUAGAAGUGAACUGGGAAUCUCUAUCUGAAACAAUAGACACAGGUGCUCCGUAAAGCUGAACCAUCUCGGCCACAAAAAUAUUCCCUAACUUGUCCAUCGAAUAGGUGGUCUUGAAUGGUAAAAAGUGAGCAGAUUUUGUAAGUCGAUCAAAAACCACCCAAACACUAUCAUGACCACCUUGGGUACAUGGAAGUCCCGCUACAAAAUCCAUGGUGAUGUGCUCCCACUUCGACUCAAGGAUCGGAAGCGGUUGCAAAAACCCUGCAGGUCUCUGAUGUUCAGCCUUAAUCUGCUUACAAACUAAACACCAAAAUACAAAUUCUGCUAUCUCUCUCUUCAUAACUUGCCAUCGGUAAUGAUCCCUCAAGGUACGAUAUAUCUUCGUACUACCAGGAUGCAUUGUGUAAGCUGAAUAAUGAGCUUCUUCCAUGAUCUCCUUUUUCAGCUCCUUAAUAUUGGGUACACAAAGUCGAUUACCCAUAACUAAAACUCCAUCAUCUCUCACUACAAAAUCAGUUCGUAAGCCUUUCAGUACAUCCUCUCUUAACUUUAAUAAUUGUAUAUCCUGAUCUUGCAUCUGAUGUACUUUGUCAAUCAAAGUCGGCCUAACUCAAAAAUUAGCUAUCAAAGCUCUGCAAUUUUCAAUAUCCAACUCAACUCCCAAAGAUCUCAGCUCGAUCAAUAAAGGCAUAUAUGUCACUCACAAGUGAGCUAUAGAGCUGGAAGACUUCCUACUUAGCGCAUCAGCUACCACAUUCUCUUUGCCCGGAUGAUAAUCAAUAGUGCAAUCAUAGUCUUUAAUUAGCACAAUCCAUCUCCUCUACCUCAAAUUUAACUCUUUUAGAGUAAACAAAUACUUUAAUCUCUUGUGAUCAGUGAAAAUCUGGCAUGUUGCCCCGUAUAAAUAAUGCCUUCAUAUCUUGAGUGCAAAUACCACUGCUGCCAGCUCUAAAUCAUGAGUUGGGUAGUUUUGUUCAUGCUUUUUAAGUUGUCUAGAAGCAUAAGCCACUACUUUCCCAUAUUGCAUUAGCACACAACCCAAUCCUUGCCUGGAUGCAUCACUGUAUACUACAAACCCUUCAUUACCAGAAGGAAGUGUAAGAACUGGUGCUGAAGUAAGACCUGUCUUGAGUUCUUGAAAACUCUUUUCACAGUCAUCAUCCCACUGGAACUUAGCAUUUUUUUCUAGUUAAUCGUGUCAGAGGAGUAGCAAUCUUAGAGAAUCCCUUGUGCAAAUUUUAUUGAACUCGCAAGUGCACGAAUCUAUUGUAGAAUAUAGUAAUGGUGACGAGUGUCGAUCCCACGAGGAUGUGGAUUUUAAUUAUGUGUAAAAUUAAUUUUCUAAGUGGGUGGUUGGAUUUGUGGUGAAAAUGAUUUGGAAUAUUCUAAAAUUUAAAUUAGAAUGGCGGGAAUAAAUUAAAGCGAAGUCUAUUGAAAUGAAACACUUGGGUAUCUGGAUCUACAUCAACAUGUACCAUGAGCUAAAUAUUCCUUAUUAAUGUCAAUUAAAUCAUAAGGGGGGUUUUCACUUCUCAUGAACCACACUCUAAUCAAUAUGGUUCUAAGGGCUUAUCAUGCCAAAUAGUAAUAACCUUGCACUAGGGAGCCAGUUAUACCAGUGCGGUAUCUAGACAAGAUUAUUACUAUCUGUCGACGAAAAGUCAAAACAUCCACAUAAAUUAGAGGGGAAGAGAAAUAAAUUUACCAAAUCAAACCCAUGGAAUAUAUUGAGACUUCACCUUCAACCCAAGCUUGAAAGAAAAUUAGCUACUCAUAAUUGAAUUAGGGGUAAAAUGAGAAUUUAUUAAAAUACGUAGAAAAUACAAGAUGAAGAAGGAAUUAUAGAAAAUGGAGUUAAAAAAUGAAUUUAGGGGUCUCAAAUUAGGGGGGAGCCCCCUUUUUAUAGAUACACUGAGUAAAUCAUGGCCAUCGGAUUAAAAAUAAUUUGGACGCUCAGAAUUGCGCCACGUGUCAACAGUACGCGGUUUGACCAUGCGGUUUGAAUAGUGACGCGGUGUGAACAGUGAGGCGGCUUGAAUAGUGACACAGUUUAGUUAUAAAUAAUUUCGUGUAUAUGCAUGUACCGUACGCACGAUUUUUGGUCCACUAACAUACUGCCAUGUCACCGAAACAGUACAUAAAAAUUUUAGUCCAAUAGGAUCGUGACACCUCAUCAGUUAAUGUCACGUCAUCGAUCAAUGCCACGUCAUAGUUCCGUAUAUGUGAACAGUGUCGUAAACAGUAAUAUGGACAGUUUCGUACAUGUAAAUAGUGCCAUUUUUUUCUUUUAUGCUCCUCCUAAGAUUUUCGACUGUCCUGAGUUCAAAAGUGUUGUCCGUUUUACUGUCUGAUCUCUCGUUCAUUGUGAAAUGACCAUGAUGCCCCUAAAAUACAUAAAAUACUUAAUUAUAAUACAACACACAUAAUUAAAUCACAAGAGACUUAAAUACAUAAAAGUAGGGAUAUUAGUGAAAUUUGGAGUGUAAAUGACGAUUUUCUCCUAUAUAAAUAUAUAUUUUCUAACACUCAACACACCCCCCAACCAGCUUAUUGCUAGUCCCUAGUAAUUAAAGUGAAAACAAAAUUCAAACCCAAAAUGAUUUUUUUUUAAAAAACUCAUAUUUAUUGAAUCAGACUAAUGAUAGCAAUCAAAUAAAAGUAUAAGCAUUAUCUUUAGUAUAAAGGAAUAUCACUCCCACAUCAACCAUCCACAUGAAUCAGUCAAGUAGACUUUGUCACAGCUACUUUCAAGAAUGAUAUGUGAAACCCCAAAAUCUCAUUGGAAGUAGUGACACUCUCACAAGGAAAUUAAACCCAAUAAAAAUAGUCACUCCAAUGAAUGUUAAAUUUGAGAGAAAAUAAUAAAGAAGUAAUAUCACACGCUCUCACCAAGAUAAAAGAAAUAUGCCCACAACUUAGAAAUAAUACGAUCUUAAGUCAAAUAAAAUGCUAGUCAACCCAAUUUUUUUUUUUAAUGCACCACUACAUCUUUUUAGCUCAUAUAACUAGCUUCUACUUCAGACUAUAGAUCCCUAAAAUAAAGAAGGGCUUUUAUUAGGAUGUAACGUAGUAUAGGAACAUGGUUAACAAAAGAGGGGAAAUAAGGAAAACAAAAUAUAUGUUUGAGAAAAAGUAGAGAGCUUUUGGAAAUUACAAAGUGCAUUUCGCUUAUUUAUUAUUAUUGUUAUUUUUUUCUUUUUCUCUCUUUUUUUUUUGAAACAAAAUUUUUUUGUUUUGUUUUGUCUUUUGUAUGGCACAACUUCACUGAACAAAAUAGUUAUUUACAUUGUUCUCAAACAUAAAUAGGUGAUGAAACUUGUAAGAUAUCAGGUAAUACUCUAAAUCAGAGAUGGUCAAGAGGAUAAGUUGACAAAGAAAUUUUUUUUUUUUUAAUAUAUAUGAAAGGCUCAAAAGGGUUAACUAUGGAUAUUUCACAAAAGGGAUGACUAGAAAAGCUCAAACGGGUCAAAGAUGACCUUUUUAUCAUCUUUUAGGGCUCUAAAUAAUCUUCCAUAUCUACUAGUUAGAUGGACCUUCAGAUGUAGCGACACAUUUUUUUUUCUCUUUUUUUUUUAGAGGAUUGACUCAAAAGAAAUCUAGAGAUCGUGUACAAAAUAAUAAACUGCUAAGCUGUAUGAGGAAUGGGCAAAAAUGGUUACUCUCCAAAAAAAAUGACAGGCUAAAAAAUUCACUUAGUUUUCAUUAUGACAUGUACAUUCCUUCAAGCAACUCAUAUUUGUCUCCGACAUCAACAUGUAGAGUAGCAAACAUGGCGUAACAUCACUUAAGACCAAAGAUAAUACAAAUACUAAAAUUUGAAAGUCAUCAUGUCAUCCAAUGUUAAAAAAAAUCACACAAUUUUUUUUUUUUUUAGGUUCAAACGACAUUCUACCCCCCAACCUAUUCUAAACAUGAAAAUAAAAUAUGCAUGUAGAAAGGUGAAAAUGAUGCAGAAAAACUAAUUAGAAAGGUUACACUUAAAAUGAUAGAAAAAGGAAAUGUUUGAAAUUUUUUUUUUACCUAAGAAGAUGUGUUUCUAGAGUCAUUACACUCAAUAUUCAGCCAUCUUCAAAUCAAAAAUUUGAAAGUAUAUAUUUAUAAAUGAGAAAUUAGAAAAAAGAAGUUAGAAAAAAUUGAUUGUCAAAGCUUAAUAAAGAAAAUGUUUGGAUUUUUUAUUUUUAUUUUUACUUCCAAACCAAGAAGAUGUGUUUCUAGAGUCAUUACACUCCAUAUUCAGCCAUCUUUAACACAAAAAGUUAGUCACGGUUAGUCUCUACAACAAAAAAAAUAAGUAAAAACUUAACCAAGAUUCCACAAUUGUCAACUAUUCCCUCCCCCCAACCAGAAUGAAACAUUGUCCUCAAUGUUUUAAAGGAAAGAAGUAGAGUUUAGAAGACAUUACCUGGGUGGUGCAACACAUAAGAAAAUAUUUACAAGCGGAGAGUUAAAUCUAAUUUACACUUCUUACUGCUGCUACUGUUCCCAUCAUUAUUUGGACACUCCAACACCAAGGUCCUGGGAUCUGGGUCUGGUUGAUAAGCUUGUAACAGAUCAAGUAGCUCAUUAGCAGUAUGAACACAAAUAAAAACGUUUUUCGCUGUGGAAUGAAUGAAAUAGUUUUUUAUUGCAUGGUUAAUAAAUGAGAUGAAGCCAUCAUAAAAAUUAUUGACAUUUAACAAACUAAUCGAUUUUUGGUGAAUGUUCAGAUGGACCCAAGAUGCUAAUGUGAUAAGUGCCUCUAGAGUUGCAAGAUCUCCUGGUAGGAAAAUAAAAGCAUCAAUAUGAUUUAGCAUUUCAUUUAUUCUCUCUUGCAUAACUGAGACUACUAACUCUUCUCCAGUCGGUGAGUCAGACAAACUACGCAAAGGCUUUAAGGCUCUUGGGAUGAUGCCUAACACUUGGCUUCCUCUAACAAAAGCAGCUUCUGAGACCAAUUUUGAUAGCCCUCGGUUACCUCCUCCAUACAAUAAGUGUAAUUUUCUCUCUGUUAUGCUUCGACCAAGAUCUAUGGCUGCCUCAACGAACUCUUUAUGUUUGCCACAGUUAAAUUUAGAAAGCACACAAAUAUUUUUGAAUUGCUUAUUGGGAGUAGCUGCCAUUAGGAUACUUCUAGAAAACAAUGUGUGUGUGCUUAACAAAAAAUCAUUUUUAAAAAUCUUGGUGACAGUGGGUCACAGCUUUGUAUGAGGUAGCAUGUCUGUGUUUAGUAACGCGUAAAGCACAUGGCUCGAGAAUAAAAAAGGAAACAAUAAAAAGGAAAAAAAACAAUGUUAAAAUAAAAUUAUUAAAUACAAUAAUGCAAAUGAUAAAACAACAGUGAAAUAAAACAAUAGUGAAGUAAAAGGAUAUUUACAGGUAGUUGUGACUGUAGCUCACAUCUUCCUCUAGUUUUACGUCUAGAAAUGGCUUGAACGCCCUCUAUGGGUCGAGGAUGGGCUUCCCAUCCAAUUUUCUUAUAAACUGGAAAACAUGGUUAUAAUUAGAUUCCCGAGACUAUAUAGUGCACGCUCUUUCUGGAAUAAUGGCCACAACUGGAGAAUUGCUCCUUGUACAUAUCCACUGGGAUGCGUUUCAAGAGACAAAAGGAUAUCAUCCAAUGAUUAUUUAUUCAAGCCAUCCCUAAUGAAUUGAAUCUUAUAUUCCCUAUUAUUAGACAUCAUUCCUAAAGAACAUCAUUUUUUAUCGCAUCUCAUUCUGGUACACUUAUGACAAGCAACAAAAAGUCUUCGAGCUUUUCGUUUUCUUGUAUUAUUUCCUUUACCACAACCACACAUGUAUGCAAUAAAUUUAGGAGGCAACUCACCUGCCAAUCGUACCUUGGCCUCGAUUAACUAGCGGAUGUCAGCAGGUAUGUUAUUCCUCAUAAGCAAUCGCAUGCGUUCGAACCGAGAUUUAUAGAUUGUAAAGAUUGUGAAGCUUUGCUAAAAUCUUAUUUUUGUCCAUACUUUGCCUUAGAAUAUUAGUUAUUAUGGGAAACUGAAGUAACCGACUUGAUUGUCACGGAGUACUGUUAUUCGCCACUUAACCGGGUAACAAACUAAAGUACACAAACAAAGUAACAAACUAAAACACACAAAGAAAAUUACAAUCAUCCUCUUAUUGAAUUUACCUCAAGCUCCAACUGGAUGUCGAAGAUACCUGCCUCAAUGUCUCUGAGUUGUCUUUCUAAAGCCUCAACAUGAGAUACUAACUCUGGUGGUUGUAGAUCCCAAAUAUGAUGUGUUUUACAAAAUCGAAUCUGGCUUCUGAGAUGAGAUUUUACACAUUCAAGUCGUCUAAGAAGGUCCAAGAGGAUUUGUUUAACUGAGGCACUUAUGCUUAACAAUGAUAAAAUAAAACUUAAUGGUUAAAUAAAUACACUUAUGCAAAAAUAAUUUCAAUUAGCAAAAGAAUAGUAAAAAGAAAGAAAAAAAAAUCAAAUCACCGUAAAGAAAGAAAAAUCUCUAUUCAAAUUUGGUGGGUCACUCAGAUUUAUUUCAGUGUCCUCUCCAUGUUGUUGGUACUCUAGAUAUGCCUUUAAUAUUUGACCAUUAACUUUAAAAGUGACACCGUUCUUUGGAUCCUUAAUUUCAAUUGCUUAAUGUGGAAAAACAGUGUGAAUAAUAAAAUGGCCAGACCAUCGAGAGUGUAACUUACCUUGGAAUAAGUGUAAGCGAGAAUUGAAUAAAAGCACUUUUGACCUGGAGUGAAAGAUUUUCUCAUAAUUUGCUUGUCAUGAAAGACUUUCAUUCGCUGCUUGUAAAUCUUGGCUUUUUCGUAUGCAUCAUUGCGAAUUUCUUCAAGUUCUGCCAGCUGUAAUAUUCUUUCUGAGCUAGCUUGCUACAUGUUAAAGUUGAAUUUCUUGAUGGCCCAGUACGCACGAUGCUCGAGUUCUACAGGUAGGUGGCAAGUUUUUCCAUACACUGGCCUGUAGGGUGACAUCCCAAUCGAGGUCUUGAAAGCCGUUCUAUAUGCCCAUAAUGCAUCAUCGAGUCUUAAUGACCAAUCUUUUCUGUCUGGCUUCACCGUCUUUUCUAAUACGUGUUUUAUUUCUCGAUUAGAGAUCUCAACUUGGCUAUUGGUUUGCCGAUGAUAUGGGGUCGCCACUUUGUGAGUGAUGGAAUAAUUUGUCAAAAGAACUUUGAAUGCUUUGUUACAAAAGUGGGCACCACCAUCACUGAUUAUUGCUCGAGGGAAUCCAAAGCAUGAAACGAUGUUGCUUUUCAAAAAUCCUAUCACCACCUUGUGAUUAUUGGUUCUACAUGGAAUUGCUUCUACUCAUUUUGAUACGUAGUUAACAGCAACCAAUAUGUAUUGAUGGCUAAAAGAAGGGGGAAAGGGUCCCAUGAAGUCGAUACCCCAUACAUUAAAAAUUUCAACCACUAAAAAUGGGUUUAGUGGCAACAUAUUCCUUCGUGUAAUGCUCCCCAUUCGUUGACACCUAUCACAUGAAGAGCAGAAAGUGUAAGCAUAUCGAAAUAUAGUUGGCCAAUAGAAACCACAUUGUAAAACUUUAGUAGUUGUUUUCUUAGCGCUGAAAUGGCCUCCACAAGCUUGUUCAUGAUAGAAUGAAAUUCUUUAUUUCCAUAAAAAAUUUGGCUUUAUCUUGCUUGGUCCAAUGCUCUGGAAGUUGACCUAUAACAAGAUAAUUAACGAUAUCAGAAUACCAUGGUAAUGCUUCCACACUCAUUAAUUAUUCAUCUGGAAGUGAUUUAUUCAAUGGUAAUGGUUCUGUAAUUGUGUUAAAAUUGAGACGAGAGAGAUAGUCAGCCACAACAUUUUCUGUGCCUUUUUUAUCUUUGAAUUCCAAGUCAAAUUCCUGCAAAAGUAACACCCAACGAAUUAGUCUAACUUUUUCAUCUUUCUUUGUGACAAGAUAUUUAAGAGCAACAUGAUCUGUGAAUACAAGUAUUUUACCACCAAUGAGAUAAGAUUGAAAAUUCUCUAAUGCAAACACUACUGUUAAUAUUUCUUUUUCAGUAAUUGAAUAAUUCAACUAUGCAUCAUUCAAUGUCAUACUAGCAUAGUAAAUAAUAUGGGGAUUCGAUCAACUCUGUCCUAAUACUGCUCCUACUACAUAAUCAGAUGCAUCACACAUGAGCUCGAAUGGUAAGCUCCAGUUUGGGGGUUGAAUGAUGGGUGAUGAUAUCAACAAUUGCUUUAGUUUUCUAAAUGCCACAAGACAUGAAUCAUCAAAGAUAAAAUGUACAUCCUUAGCAAGUAGAUUGCAUAAAAGUCUAGAAACUUUGCUAAAAUUCUUAAUGAAACGUCUAUAAAAACCAGCAUGCCCAAGGAAAGAUCUUACUUCUCUAACUGUUUUAGGUGGAGGAAGAAUGGAAAUGAGAUCCACCUUGGCUUUAUCAACCUCAAUACCUUUGUAUGAAAUGAUGUGACCGAGAACAAUACCUUGUUUUACCAUAAAAUGACACUUCUCACAAUUUAAGACCAAGUUUUUCUCUAUACAUCUCUGCAAAACUAGUGUUAGAUGAUGUAAACAUUGAUCGAAUGAAUUACCAAAAAUAGAAAAGUCACCCAUAAAGACUUCAAGGAAUCGUUCAACCAUAUCAGAAAAAAUGCUUAAUAUGCAUCAUUGAAAUGUAGCAGGUGCAUUACAUAAUUCAAAUAGCAUCCUCCUAUAUGCAAAAGUGCCAAAAGGGCACGUGAAAGUGGUCUUCUCUUUAUCUUUUGGUGUUAUAUGAAUCUGAUUAUAUCAUGAGUAGCCAUCUAGAAAGCAAUAAAGUUCAUGGCCUACUAAUCUAUCAAUCAUUUGAUCGAUAAAUGGUAAAAGAAAAUGGUCUUUACAUGUGACAGAAUUCAACUUUCUAUAAUCAAUGCAUACACGCCAUCUUGUAGUCACUCUAGUGGGUAUUAAUUUAUUAUCAGAAUUGGUAACUACUGUGACUUCUGACUUUUUGGAGGACAACUUACACAGGACUGACCCAUGAACUAUUAGAAAUUGGGUAAAUGAUACCUGCAUCUAAUAGCUUAAGGACUUCAGUUCUAACAACUUCCUUCAUGUUAGGGUUCAACCGACGUUGCAUUUCCCUAGUAGGUUUAGCAUUUUCAUCAAGGUGAAUGUAAUGUAUGUAGUCUACUGGGUUUAUACCUUUUAUGUCGGCUAUGGUCCAUCAUAAUGCUCUUUUGUGCUCUUUUAAAACUUCCAACAACUUACCUUUUUGUUCGUCAUUUAGGGAUGAUGAGAUGAUUACUGACAAAGUGUUUUCUUCUCCCAAAAAUGCAUAUUCUAAAGGGUUGGGUAAUUGUUUGAGCUCGAAUUUCGGUGAUGAUUCUAAUGAUGGGUUGAGUUUCUUUUCUGAUGGUGCUAAUUGUUCAACUCUUGACUUCCAUUUAUUAGUAUCUGUUGAUAAAUCUUUUAAUCAAAUGCUAUUGAUGACAAUGUGCAAGUGUACACAACAAGUAAUAAAGUGAUGAAUAUUCAAGAUCAUCUCCAUAGGGAUUGAUGUUACUAGAAAUGUUACAGCAAGCACAAUAGUGCAAUCUAUCUUUAUUCCGGGAUGAACAAAUGUAAAGUUGGUUACUAUUAAAAUUAAUAGUUGUGAGAGAACAAAAUAAAACAAUGCAAUGAUAAAAUAAAUUAAAUAAAAAUGCGUCAAAGAAUCAAAUGAGAAUACGGUAGUUGAAUGAUCAAACUCUCUUUAUGGGCUGACUGUUUUUCACCAAGUUAACACCAGUUGCUACAACAAUUUCUAUAGCACUGGGCAAAAUUUAUUAUGCAUCCUCAGCUGUUGCCUAUUGGAAUCCUCAUAUCCUUAAGUAUCUUAGCAAUGACCAGUUACUAUUCUACCUACGGCAUGACAUUAUGAACAUUCAUUCUCUCCACCCUACAAGGUGAGUACCUAUGUCUAGUUUAUCACAAAUCUUAACUUCAAGUAUGGCCCUUAUGGGAUUCAAGAUAAACUUAAUACAAGAAACUUAAAUUAAGAUCAAGUAUUACUCUAAUAAUAUCCACUAAGACAUGCCAUUUUGCGGCUCUAUCUUAACUUGAACCAUUAAAUGGGUGGUCAACCAAAAUAACAGUUAUAAUAAUAGCUACUAGAGUAAAAUGCUACAGCAAUGAUAUAACAACUCAUAAGAACAGUCAAGAACUCAUUAGAUUGUUUGUCACUCAACUACAAGCAAGUUAAGUUCAUGUUCUUAAAGAGAAAAACAAACAACAACAUAUUGGUCAUGAAAUACAUUAUUUCAGUCAAAGAGUGAAGAAAAGGAUAAGUUGAGAACGGCAAAGAGUGAAUCCAAAUAACUCUGCUAGAUUCUUCAAUGAUGCUGCAUCUGCUCCCUUGAAUUCUGAUCUUCCUCUUCUUUUUCUCUCCAAUUUCUCCAAAUAAUUCCUUGCCGCCGUUUUAUGUGAUGCGCGCCUCCUUUUAUAACUGAAAACUAGAGUAAACAAAAGCUUCGGGCGUACAUGAGUCAAAUUAGAAAACUGCAGAUCGCAAUUCUGCAGCUGACCCGAGCUAAGUUUUCUCCUUCGGUGUUCUAGGAUUGCUACAGCAAUGGUCGCUUCAGUAAUGGCUAUAAUACUGCACUGUUCCCGGUUGUGUUUCACUUCUUUUGUGGCCAUAUUCUUUCUUCUUCUUGCUAGCCUAAUAUCUCAGCAUCCUUUCAUAUAUUAUAAACUUCUGAAAACCUAUAAUUAUGCACAUGUUUUGAGCACAAGUUACUUUAAAUCUAGCAAAACUUAUUAAGACUAAACUAAAAUGGAUGUUUAUGCAAAACAUAACCAAAGUAUAAUAAAAACACAUCAUUUACUCUUUAAGUGGUAUUGAUUUAAGUCUAGAAUUGCCGUAAUAACUCUCUUUUCAUAAAGUUAUCAGUGUCCAUGAAUGGUACUGAGUCAAGUAGGGCGUUGACCUCAUCGACUAAACUGUCAAUAUCAAAAUCCAAACCAAAGUGAAUUAAACAUGUUUGUAAAGGGUCAUCACUAAGGUUUGAAAGAAAAGUAUUAUCAACUAAUGCUUCUAUUAAAUCCACAUCAACAAUUCCAUCAUCUGCAUUGUGAGGUUGUUUGGCAAUGUUGAAGAUGUUUAGCUCCAAAGUCAUGUUGCCAAAGGACAAUUGCAUAUUUCAAGUCCUGCAUUGAAUGUGAGUAUUGACAGUUGCCAAGAAAGGUCGACCUAGGAUAAUGGGGAUGUGCUUCCUUGAAUCCUGGAUUGGUUGAGUGUCAAUUACAAUGAAAUCAACAGGAAAAUAAAACUUCUCUACCUGGAUAAGCACGUCCUCCACAAUACCACAAAGUAUUUUCAUGAACCGAUCUGCAAGCUGUAACACCACUGGAGUUUGGUGUAAUUCUCCCAGUCCAAGUUUUAUAAAUACUGAAUAGGGUAACAGAUUUACACUAGCUCAUAAAUCCAACAAAGCAUUCUUAAUUAUGUGGUUCCCUAUACUACAUGAGAUAGUGAGGGAGCCUGUGUCUUUGUAUUUUAGAGUAAUUUUGUGUUGGAGUAUAGAACUAACGUUUUCUGUUAAAAAGACCUUCUUUUGAACAUGAAUAUUUCUCUUUUUAGUACAAAGGUCUUUAAGAAACUUGGCAUAAAAUGACACUUAUUUUAUAGCAUCAAGUAAAUGGAUGUUAACACUUACUUGUUUGAAGAUUUCAAAAAUCUCACCUGUGGAUUUUCCCUUCUUUCCUUUAGCUAACUUCUGAGGAAAUUGAGCUUUAGGAACGUAUUCUCGCGGGUUGGUUUCUUCUUUCUCCUCCGAUAAUGAGUCUUCAACAUUUACAGGUACAAUUUGAUUUUUUUUUGUCACCAGCAUCUCCACUUUGUUGUUGACUUCUUUUCAUUUUCGCAAGGUCAUGACGGCUUUUACCUCUCUAUUCUGCCAUGGUGAACUGGUACUUGCUUCAUGCACUUCUUUAGGAUUAGGCACUGGUUGACUUGGAAAUUUAUCUUUCUCAACAGUUAUUGCCAGAGUUUGAACUGACAAGGCAAGUUGUCCCACCAUCUUCUCGAGGUUUGAAACUGAUUGGACUGUGAAUUGAAGCCUACUCUCAUUUCAUUUUGUAGUUCAUCAAAGGUGUGGUUCUGUUGCUCAAUCGUGGAGUGAGUAAGAUUCUCAAAAUUUUGGAUUGCAUCCUCCCAUGGUCUGGGUUGAGAGUAGUUCUGGUUAUGAUUGUAUGAUCUAAAUAGUGGCUGAGAGACUUGAGGAACUUGAGGAAUUGGUUGCAUUGGUAGAGCUGGAGCUACUGGUCCAAUCUGUUGGAAUCCCCGGCAACGGCGCCAAAAACUUGUUGUGCAAAUUUUAUUGAACACGCAAGUGCGCAAAUCUAUUGUAGAAUAGAUUAAUGGUGACGAGUGUCAGUCCCACGAGGAUGUUGAUUUUAAUUAUGUCUAAAAUUAAUUUUCUAAGUGGGUGGUUGGAUUUGUGGUGAAAAUGAUUUGGAAUAUUCUAAAAUUUAAAUUAGAAUGGCGGGAAUAAAUUAAAGCGAAAUAUAUUGAAAUGAAGCACUUGGGUGUCUAGAUCUACAUCAACAUGUACCAUGGGCUAAAUAUUCUUUAAUAAUGCCAAUUAAAUCAUGAGGGGGUUUUCCACUCCUCAUGAAUCACACUCUAAUCAAUAUGGUGCUAAGGGCUUAUCAUGCCAAAUAGUAAUAACAUUGCACUAGGAAGCCGGUUAUACCAAUGCGGUAUCUAGAUAAGAUUAUUACUAUCUGUCGACAAAAAGUCAAAACAUCCACAUAAAUUAGAGGGAAAGAGAAAGUAAAUUUACCAAAUAAAGCCCAUGGAACAUGUUAAGACUUCACCUUCAACCCAAGCUUUAAAGGAAAAUUGGCUACUCAUAAUUGAACUAGGAGUAAAAUGGAAAUUUAUUAAAACACGUAGAAAAUACAAGAUGGAGAAGGAAUUACAGAAAAUAGAGCUAAAAAAUGAAUUCAAGGGUCUCAAAUUAGAGGGGGGGGAGCCCUCUUUUUAUAGAUAUACUGAUUAAAUCAUGGCCAUUGGAUUAAAAACAAUUUGGACGCUCAGGAUUGUGCCACGUGUCAACAGUACGCGGUUUGACUACAUGGUUUGAAUAGUGACGCGGCUUGGUUAUAAAUAAUUCCGUGUAUUUGCAUGUAAUGUACGCACGAUUUUUGGUCCACUAACACGCUGCCACGUCACCGAUCAAUAGUAGAUAAGAAUUUUAGUCCAAUAGGAUCGUGACACCUCAUCAGUCAAUGUCACGUCAUCGGUCAAUACCACAUCAUCAUUCCGUAUAUGUGAACAGUGUCGUGAACAGUAACAUGGACAGUACCGUACAUGUGAAUAAUGUCAUAUUUUAUUUUAUGGUCCUCCUAAGAUUUUCGACUGUCUUGAGUUCAAAAGUGAUGUCUGUUUUGCUAUUUGAUCUCUCGUUCAUUGUGAAAUGACCGUGAUGCCCCUAAAAUACAUAAAAUACUUAAUUAUAAUACAACACACAUAAUUAAAUCACAAGAGACUUAAAUACAUAAAAGUAGAGAUGUAAGUGAAACUUGGAGUGUAAAAUGACGAUUUUCUCCUUUAUACAUAUACACUUUCUAACACUCAACAUCCAUCUACAAAUCUACAAUAAUAACCAGCCAAUCCAAGGAAACUCCGAACCUCUGUGACAUUUGUAGGUCGUUCCCAAUUCACAACAACUUCGAUCUUGUGAGGAUCGACAUAAAUUCCUUCAGCUGAUAUCACAUGGCGCAGAAAUACUACUUUAUCCAACCAGAACUCACACUUGUUGAACUUGGCGUACAAUUGCUUUUACCUUAAAGUCUGCAAAACAGUUCGCAAAUGUUCUGCAUGUUCCUCUUGGUUUCGAGAAUACACCAAAAUAUCAUCAAUGAACACAAUCACAAACCUACCCAGAUAAGGGCGAAACACCCUAUUUAUAAGAUCCAUAAAAGCUGCUGGAGCAUUUGUUAACCCAAAUGGCAUCACCAAGAACCCAUAGUGUCCAUAAUGGGUUCUGAAUGUUGUUUUAGGUGCAUCGACCUCUUUAAUUCUAAGCUGAUGAUAUCCCGAGCGCAAAUCAAUCUUAGAAAACACCUUCGCUCCCUGAAGUUGAUCAAACAAGUAAUCAAUAUGCGUAAGUUGAUAUUUAUUACGUACUGUAACUUUAUUCAACUGCCUAUAGUCAAUGCAGAGUCUAAGAGUACAAUUUUUUUUCUUAACAAACAAAGCUGGAGCUCCCCAUGGAGACACACUAGGUCUAAUAAACCCUUUAUCUACCAAUUCUUGCAGUUGAAUCUUAAGUUCCUUUAGUUCAGCUGGAGCCAUCCUAUACGGUGCUAUAGAUAUAGGAGUCGUCCCAAGGACUAAAUCAAUAGAAAACUCAAUCUCUCUGUUAGGUGGCAUCCUUGGAAGUUCAUCUGGAAAUACAUCUGGAAACUCCUGGACUACUGGAAUAUCCUCCAAUCUCGACUCUCGAAUUUCAGUGUUUAUCACAUGUGCAAGAUAAGUUGAGCAACCUUUUCUUAGUAACCGUCUUGCACCAAUGGCCGAUAUGACACAUGAGGGUAAAACGCUACGCUCACAACAAAAUUUCACCUCAGCUUCUCCUGCCUUAUUGAACACAACUUCUUUUUUGGAACAAUCCACAGUAGCAUGGUGAGAUGCAAGCCAAUCCAUGCCCAAAAUGGCAUCGAAAUCUCGAAUAUCUAAAAUAAUUAAAUUUUCUGACACGACUCAAAAGUGUAUUACUCCCAAGUAUAAGAUUGUCUAGUUACAAUAUAACCCAGUGAGUCCGGGGUCGAACCACAGGGAAUUUUAAAAUCUAGUUGUCAAUUUGUUAAACAAAGAAAAUAAAUUGUGGGAAAAUAAAUUAUUUGAAAACAAUUUAAAAAUAUGCUAAGGUUACGGGAUCCACUCUCAGUAUUCAAACUAUAAUUUUAAUACUCUCUCAUUUAUAUUUUGCCUCACUUUUACCAGUUAAUUAUUAUAUCAUUUAAUUCUAUGUGUGUGGAUAAAUAUGGAAUAAAGUACCUAAUGUGCCACACUAUAUUAAUGUGUCAAUAUUGUGUCAAAAUGCCAUACAAAUCCUAAAGAAAUUUAUAAAUUAACAUGACAUAAAAAUAACUAGAAAAGAACAAAAUAAACUUUAAAACUCAUUUGAGAAAAUAAUAAAUUUAAUAGUUUGAAACAUUGAACUUCACCCUUCACCUCAGCUUAAUAAAAUUAGCCACUCAUAUUGAAAGAAAACACAACACUAUUUAUUUGAUAAACUUUUAAAAUAUGUUAUAAGAAAGUUGAUUACAACAAAAGAAGAAAAAGACACAAUUUCUCAGUUGCACUCUAUUCUAUUUCGGCUUAAUGUUGCGGACCGCCCAAUUCGCUAGCCCAAUUGCCCACAAUUUCGGGCUAGAGAGCCAACACAAGGCCAAGAGUGCUAGCUUGGCCCAAUUCCGGAAACUUCUAGGCAACUCUAGCACAUUUGAGCUUGUAAAUACUCUAGAAUUCUUCAUAGAAUUCCAGCACAUGUAAAUAGCUAGGAAAUGGUAGAAUUCUCUAGAAUUUCUAGAGCUUGGCAAGCCUCCCCUAUAAAUAUGGGAUGGCAUUAGGCAUUUGUAUCCAACAAACACUACAACAAGCAUUGUAAUCUCUCUUUGUGCAAUACAAUUUCUCUUAUUCAGCUCCAUUGCUUUCUUCUCUAGUUCGAGAAGCUCUAGGCUUACUUAGCAACAUUCGGAAAAAUUGUCUAAGUGCCGCACAGGUUAGCUGCGCAAAAUACUCAUCUCGUGACAAGUGGUAUCAGAGCUAAGGUUUGCACACACGCAAGUUAGCUCACGAGCAAUGGCCAACCCUUCGAACGUAGCACAAGAGGGUGUUGUUGGUGUGGAUGUUCCACCGGAACCAAGCCGCGGCCGAGAGGGAGAACGCGCCCAAGGCAAGACUCGCAGCAAGUCCAAGGCCCCAUCCGUGGAUGCAUUGGAGCCUCGUGUGACUACUCUCGAAAUCGCUUUGUCCACCGCUCAAGAUAGCCUCGAGGGAUUGGAGGAAAGGGUGGACGGUCUCGAGGGGGAAUACGCCGAGUUCACGGUGGCAACCAAAGCUCUCAUCCAAGAGCAAGCGAACACUCUCCGAGGUGAGUUUCGUUCCUUCCACGAUGAGUUGCUCAAACUUCGUAGUUUUGUUCAGGAUGAACUACGCGCUGUCCGUGCGGAAGUGGAUGAAGUCCGCUCGGAUUGGGCAUGGCACAAGCGCACACUCUCCGCUAGUCCAGCUUCCGCAAACUCGAGUGAUGCACGCCGCAUUGACGUGCCAAAGCCCGACACAUACGAUGGCACACGUAAUGCCACCAUCGUGGAUAACUUUCUAUUUGGGCUUGAUCAAUACUUUGAUGCCAUGGGUGUUCGAGAUGAGGCUUCGAAAGUGGGCACUGCACCCACCUAUCUUAGAGGCGCUGCACAACUAUGGUGGUGUCGCAAGCAUGGCGAGAUGGGCAAGGGCAUUUGCACCAUCGACACUUGGGCUGACUUCAAGCAAGAACUCCGAAAGCAGUUCGCCCCAAGCAAUGCGGAGAAGGAAGCGCGAGCGCGCUUACGUCGCCUCAAACAAACAAGUAGCAUUCGGGACUACAUCAACGAGUUCACUACCCUUAUGUUGGAAAUAAGCGACAUGUUCGACAAAGAUUCACUCUUCUACUUCCAAGAUGGCCUCAAGGAUUGGGCCAAGACCGAGCUUGAUAGGCGUGAUGUUCAGACACUUGACGAUGCCAUCGCCGUUGCGGAAUCGCUCACCGAAUACUCUACCCAAUCCAAGGACAAAAAGGCCAACCAAGGCAAAGGUGGGGGAGAGAGUCGCAAGGACAAGGGUAACAACCGCAAAGAUUGGGGGGCAGAAAAAGCCGCCUAGCAACAAGAGCGGGCAAGGAAAAUCGGAGGGCAAGAAGGAGGCGCCAAAGCCGCGAAGCCCAUGCUUCAUAUGCAAUGGUCCUCAUUGGGUACGCGACUGUCCGGAGAAAAGGUCGCUCAAUGCUCUUUCUGCCCAACUUAAGAGCAACCCCACAAUGUCCACGGAGGAACCCCAACUCAACAUGGGUUCUCUCUAACGCCUCGGCGCACUCAAUCGCCAACAGCCCGCACUCAUCAAGAAAGGGCUCAUGUAUGUAAGCGCAAAGGUAAACGGUCAGUCCGUUCGCGCGCUGCUAGACACGGGAGCUACGCACAAUUUCGUGUCCGUAGACGAAGCCAAGCGCUUAGGCCUCAAGACCACCAAGGAAGGAGGCACGAUGAAGGCUGUGAACUCACCCGCCAAGCCAAUUGGGGGAAUCGCACAAGGCGUGUACAUUACACUUGGUACGUGGAGCGGGAAGCUUGACUUCUCCAUUGUGCCCAUGGAUGACUUCAAGAUGGUCCUCGGCAUGGAAUUCUUCAACCAAGUCCAUGCCUUCCCGCUGCUCGCUACAAACUCCCUAAGCAUCCUCGACGGGAGCAAAGCAUGCAUGGUACCCACGGAGCGAGGCAAGUCCGAGGAGAAGACACUCUCCGCCAUGCAAUUCAAAAGGGCUUUUAAGAAGGACCCAAGCUUCUUGGUCUCCAUCCGGGAACUAAACGAGGAAGGAAAUAGCGGAACGUCACCAAGCCAAGUCCCUCCGCGAAUUCAAGCCGUCCUCAAUGAGUACAAGGACGUGAUGCCUCCAGAACUUCCGAAGAAGCUCCCACCUCGACGAGAGGUAAAUCAUGCGAUCGAGAUGGAACAAUGUGCGAAGCCACCAGCCUUGGCGCCCUACCGCAUGGCGCCACCCGAAUUAGAGGAGUUGCGGAGACAACUCAAAGACUUGCUGGACGCAGGCUACAUUCGCCCCUCAAAGGCCCCAUUCGGUGCACCCGUGCUCUUCCAAAAGAAAAAGGAUGGAUCGCUGCGGAUGUGCAUAGACUAUAGAGCGCUCAACAAGAUCACCAUCAAGAACAAGUAUCCAAUUCCCUUGAUCGCGGACUUGUUUGACUAGCUUGGCAAAGCGCGGUACUUCACCAAACUUGACUUGCGCUCCGGGUACUACCAAGUGCGCAUCGCCAAGGGAGACGAACCGAAGACAGCGUGCACAACAAGGGACGGGUCUUUUGAAUUCCUUGUGAUGCCUUUUGGCCUUACUAAUGCACCCGCCACAUUUUGCACGCUCAUGAACAAGGUGCUCCAACCAUUUCUUGACCGCUUCGUGGUCGUGUACUUGGACGACAUAGUGGUGUAUAACACCACGCUCGAGGAUCAUGCCCAACACUUGCGACAAGUCCUCCAAGUACUCCGAGACAACGAGCUCUUCCUCAAAUUGGAGAAGUGCUCAUUUGCUCAACAAGAAGUGGAGUUCCUUGGCCAUAAGAUUGCGGGCGGAAAGAUCAUGAUGGAGAACGUCAAAGUAAAAGCCAUCCUCGAUUGGGAGCCUCCCUCGAAAGUGCCCGAGCUUCGCUCAUUCCUUGGGCUGGUGAAUUACUACCGCCGCUUCAUCAAGGGCUAUUCGGCCAAGGCGGCACUCUUGACGGAUAUGCUCAAGAAAAACAGAACGUGGCAUUGGUCCGAAGAGUGCCAACGCGCAUUCGAAGAGUUGAAGAAGGCAAUUUCGGAGGAACCCGCCCUCGCUCUUCCGGACCACACUAAACCCUUUGAAGUCCAAACGGAUGCCUCGGAUUUCGCCGUAGGAGGAGUCCUUAUGCAAGAAGGCCACCCCAUAGCGUUCGAGAGUCGAAAGCUAAAUGACACGGAACGCCGCUACACGGUGCAAGAAAAGGAGAUGACCGCAAUCAUACAUUGCUUGCGGGUGUGGCGACAUUACUUGCUCGGCUCUCACUUCACGAUUAUGACAGACAACGUGGUGACAAGCUACUUCCAAACACAAAAGAAGUUGAGUCCGAAGCAAGUACGGUGGCAAGAUUUCCUUGCAGAAUUCGACUAUCAGCUCGAGUACAAACCGGGUAAAGCCAAUGUCGUUGCGGACGCUCUAAGCCGCAAGGCCGAAUUGGUGACACUUAGCAUGAGCCAACCGAAGUCCGACCUUGUCUCACGCAUCAAGGAAGGCCUCCAACAAGAUCCGCUAGCAAAGGACUUGCUGGAGAAGGUGCUCGAGAGAAAGACAAGGCACUUUUGGCAAGAGGAAGGCAUCCUCCUCACCAAGGGAGACCAGCUGUUUGUGCCAAGGUGGGGAAGGAAGUAAUCAAGGAGUGCCAUGACUCCAAGUGGGCUGGUCACCCAGGAAUCGAGCACACCACUGCACUAGUUCAAGCCUCAUAUUUUUGGCCACACAUGAGGGACGACAUCGAGGCAUAUGUGCGAACUUGUCUUGUGUGCCAACAAGACAAAGUGGAUCAUCAACUACCAGCGGGAUUGUUGGAGCCGCUACCACUAGCAACAAGGCCAUGGGAAAGUGUCUCCAUGGACUUCAUCACAUCGCUGCCCAAGUCCGAAGGUUACGGUAGCAUCAUGGUCGUUGUCGACCGAUACAGCAAGUAUGCCACAUUCAUUGCCGCACCAAUCAAUUGCAAAGCGGACGAGGCAGCCCGCCUAUUCGUCAAGCACAUUGUGAAGCUUUGGGGAGUUCCGAAGAGCAUUGUGAGCGACCGAGACCCUCGGUUCACUGGGCGUUUUUGGACAAAACUCUUCAAAAUGUUGGAGACCGAUCUCAAGUUCUCAACAAGCUUUCACCUACAAACGGAUGGGCAGACCGAGCGCAUCAAUGGCCUCCUCGAGAUGUACUUGAGGCAUUAUGUGAGCGCUCAUCAGCGGGAUUGGGCAAAGCUACUCGACAUCGCCCAAUUUUCUUAUAACUUGCAGCGAAGUGAGGCUACGGGCAAGAGUCCAUUUGAGAUCAUCAUGGGAUUCCAGCCUAUGACCCCCAAUGCCAUAGCCUCGACUUACGGAGGGAAAAGCCCCGCGGCACACAAGCUCGCUCGCGAAUGGCACGAGGAAGCGGACAUCACGCGAGCCUACCUUGACAAAGCCGCGAGGAAAAUGAAGAAAUGGGCGGAUACAAGGAGACGACAUGUUGAGUACAAGGAAGGUGAUCAAGUCAUGAUCAACCUCCUACCCCAACAAUUCAAGACGUUGCGGAAAGUCCACAAGGGGUUAGUGAGGCACUACGAGGGACCCUUCCGAGUUGUUCGACAUGUGGGCAACGUCUCGUAUCAACUCCAACUUCCGCCAAGACUCAAGAUCCAUCCGGUCUUCCAUGUGAGCCUUCUCAAGCCAUAUCACGAAGACAUGGGAGAACCAAGUCGCGGAGAAUCGAGGCGCGCGCCAACUGCCGUUGUCACCGCGUUCGACAAAGAUGUAGACUACAUCAUUGCGGACCGCAUGGUUUCGAGGAGAGGCGUGCCAGCACAUAGCGAGUACUUGGUGAAGUGGAAAAAGCUCCCCGAGAACGAAGCCACUUGGGAACGUGAAGAAGAUUUGUGGCAAUUCGCUGAGCACAUCCAGAGGUUCAAGCACGAGAGCGCGACGAGGACAUCGCGAGCUUAGGUGGGGGAGGAUGUUGCGGACCGCCCAAUUUGCUGGCCCAAUUGCCCACAAUUUCGGGCUAAAGAGCCAACACAAGGCCAAGAGUGCUAGCUUGGCCCAAUUCCGGAAACUUCUAGGCAACUCUAGCACAUUUGAGCAUGUAAAUACUCUAGAAUUCUUCAUAGAAUUCCAGCACAUGUAAAUAGCUAGGAAAUGGUAGAAUUCUCUAGAAUUUCUAGAACUUGGCAAGCCUCCCCUAUAAAUAUGGGAUGGCAUUAGGCAUUUGUAUCCAACAAACACUACAACAAGCAUUGUAAUCUCUCUUUGUGCAAUACAAUUUCUCUUAUUCGGCUCCAUUGCUUUCUUCUCUAGUUCGAGAAGCUCUAGGCUUACUUAGCAACAUUCGGCAAAGUUGUCUAAGUGCCGCACGGGUUAGCUGCGCAAAAUACUCAUCCCGUGACAUUAAGCUCUCUCUGUUCAGCUCUCUAACUUCUCAAUACUCAGCUCUUUGCAUUUCCUUGCCUUUUAUAGGCAAGGAAUGCAUUAUCUUUAUUUAUUUUAUUAUUAUUAUUAUAUAUAUGUACAUUGAAAUGUGUAAUGGUCAAGUGGCCAUGACCAUCACGAGAAACUAAAUUGCUUGGUUUUUUUUUUUUAUUCAUUUUCAUUUUUUUAUUUUUUAUUUUUUUACAUCUCCUCAAUAAUGCUUCCAAAUUGCUCCAGCAAUCCUUCUUUGUUCCCGCUUUCAAUUCUAAUUUAUUCUUGAAAAAUAUUUAUAAGAUAAAAAUUAACAGAUUAUGAAUUAAUUUAACACAAAAAUUUAUUUGGGGAGCAUUCAUAUAAUUUAUAGGUUAUGCGUGCAUUAAUCAACACUUUAAGUGAAAAACUAAUAAUUUUAUCCUUAUUACACGUACACAUUUUAGUGUUAAUCACAGCCCCCUCCCCAACCAGCUUAUUGUUAGGCCCUAGCAAUUUAAGCGAUAAAAAUUUAGAGAAAUUUCAAAACCAAAUUGAAAAUCUUUUUUUUUUUUUGGAAAAAUUGUGUUUACUUCUUUCAUCAGAUUAAUGACAACAAUCAAAUAAAAGUAUAAGUAUUAUCUUCAGCCUAAAGAAAAUCACACCCACAUAAAUCAGUUAAGUAAAAUCAUGUAAAAUGAUCAAUUAUCAGAGCUACAUUAAUCAAGCCACUUUAAGUAAAAUUUAUGAUGUUAUCAUUAUUAAUGUUUGGUCCACAACAGCGCGAUAAUGAUAUUGAUGUGUACUUGGCACCACUAAUAGAGGACUUGCAAACUCUAUGGGAUGUUGGUGUGGAAGCUUAUGAUGCCUACAAAAAAAUAGUUCUUUAAUUUACGGGCUGUGCUAUUGUGGACUAUAAAUGGUGGAAAGCUCAAUGAAGAUAUAAUCUAUGAUGAUUUGCGAAAUUAAAGGUCAAUAUAUGUUGUGUGCACUUAUUUAUGCUUCCAAAGAUUACCAAAAAUAAAUUGGAUUUGAGUUUAUAUAGUUUGAGCCCAAAAACUAGCCAUUAUGGAUUUUCUAAUGAUAACCGGCUUGCCGCUUUUGGAAUCCGGUUAGCCGCUUUUAUGUUACCGUUACAACAAAUAUUUGAAUUUUACAACAUCCAGCAUUCCACUUUCAAAAUUCGGUUAGCCUUUUGCAAAAGUGAUUGCUACAGUGAACUAUUUUAUAAAAUUAUAGUUUUGACCCAAAACUUUAUAGAAUUAUGAUAUGGCCCAAAACGUCAUAAAACUUUACACAAAGGUCUAAUAAAAAAUAAUUUGAGCUUUUAAAAACUUAAUCAUUCUUAAUUUUAUUUUUUAUCAUCAAAAUCAACAUUAUGGAAACAUAUAUGUUAACAAUCUUCCCAUUUUUUAUGACGACAAACCUUUUAUGUAUUUAAAGAAUGAUUACACAAAUUGCUCCCCCUAAAUGUAAACUUCUCUUACAAUUUAGCUAAAUUAACAAAUUUAAAUACAUGUAUUCUUCUCCCCCUUCAUCAUUAAAAAGAAAACUUAGUGGAAAAAUAAAAAAGAGUAACAAAUUUGUUAUAUAUGUUGUCCGAGUAGAAAUUUCGAUAGAAUCUCCCUCUAACAACAAACAUUACCUUAAAUACAAGUUUAAUAAUAUUACUCCCAAAUUAUUAUAAAUAAUGAUACAAUCCAACUCCAUAUACAAAUCAUCACACAAUCCAUCAACCAUAAAAAGAUUAUGAACCAUUAUUCCAUCAAUUACCAAAUCAACAACUCAUAACAUAAAAUUAUCAUAUAAAACAACUAUGUAAUCAAAUCAUCAUCAUAUCCCAAAAUCAUCAAAAUCAUCACCAUAAUCACAUAUCAAUCAUCAAAACAAUACUCAAAGUGCAUAUUAUUGUCUUUCUUUUGACAACAUCGAAAUGAUGUGUUACUUUGUCUCCCCCUUUGGACAACAAAAAAAUUCAAAAUGCAUAUUAUCCAAAAUCAUAUUGUAUGCUCCCCCUAAAUAUAUGGCCAAUUUAAAAUUUUAACCAAAAUAAUUUUAUCCAAAAACAUAUCAUAUUUAUCUCCCCCUUCAUUGUAAAAAAGAAAAGAUAGAUAGAUGCAAUCAAAACAAUAUCAUAAAAAAUAAUUCGAUGAAGAGAUUACCCAUUUUGUGCGAGCAAAAAUUUCGGCAGAGUCUCCCCUUAAAAAUGAAAAAAUCCUCAAAUACACAAAAUGGUUAAAAACACUUCCAUAUAAGCUUAAACAAUUAUAACAAAUCAACAACUCCAUCAAUUCAUCAAGCAACACACAUAAUCAUCAAUCAUUAAAAUCAUCAAGAAAUCAAAUCAUCCCAAGUUCGUGUCGAAUUUUUUAAAAAUGUUCUUCGCAAAAAGGUUUUGAUUUGUUUACCAAAUUGGCAUGCAAAAGUUAUAAAAACGUAUUAUAAACUAUCCAAGCUCCAUAAUUACUAAUCACAUUUUAGAAAUCAAGACAACUAAACUCAUCAAAGAUCUAAUGUGACAUUUCAAUAUAACUUAAAAAAUCUUAUAUGCUUAAAAUUCUCGAAGUAAAUGUAUUUUUCUCCUUUUCGAUAUCAUUUAAAACAAGUAAUGCACAUUCAACAAUACAUCGAUAAAGUACAAAAAAUGCAUCCAUUCACCAAUCAUAGAUUGCAUAAGAUCAAACUUCAUCAAAUACAAUGUAAUCAUCAAAGCACAUUCUUUAUCAUCAAAACAUAAGUAAAGCAUAAGUACAUAAUGACAAUAUAUAGAUCAUCAAAAUUAACAUAUGGCAAUAUAUAGAUCAUCAAAAUAAACAUAGCUAUUAAGAAAAGCCAUCAUUAUGAGUAAAGAACAAGUGCUCAAAUCCAUUAUUACAAAUGCUCACAUAGGCCAAUUUAAUGAAUGAUGAUAUAAUACAAUAAAUGACAUAUGAAUUCACACAUACAUAAGUGAUGAACAAAUAAGGAAGAUGAAUAAAUAACACGAAACAUGAUGAUAGACAAUUUAAAAGAUGAAAUCAAGGAUCAUACAAUCAUCAAAAUCAAACAAAGGCAUCAUGAUAAGUUGCCAUACUACCAUCAUAUAUAUCUAUCCAUGCAUCAUGAUUACACACAAUAAUAAUUCAAUUAUGUAAACGUACGAGCAUGCUUUCGUAAAUUCAAGCUAUUAUCCAUCCAUCAUGAUCCAUUCAACCAAAUCAAAAUGGUAAGAAUUGUUACCAAAACAAUUAAAUCAUUUUACUUAUCGUUUUCUCUUAGAUCAUGAUCAAGUGAUUAUUCUCACAAGCUUUCAUUGAAGAACUCUCCACCAUUUCUUGAUUAUGGUACCUACAAAAAAAAAUAUUCUAGUUGUGCCUUUUGAUACCCAAAUACUCUUGGGUCUUUGAGUGUUAGUAAUGAUUCCUUUUGGAACUCCAAUACAUUUUGCUCCAUAAUAUGCAUUUCUUUUAACUGGACACCUAUUCUUCAUGUGACCAUUUUGAUUGCAAUGGUGGCAUACAACUUGAUUGUUAAUGGAGGUACUCUUCACAAAAUAAUUCUUAUAAUACUUUUGUUUCAAAUUUGGCUUAUAGCCAAUACCUCCUUUGUCAAACACACAUUUUUGUGAAUUAAGCAAGUUAUCCAACAUUUUUUGCCCAUUUGUAAAUUUUAAGACAACAUCACUAAGUUCAAUAUUCUUUUUCUUAAGCAUCUCAUUUUCUUUUUUCAAAUCAUCUACAUGUGAUUCUAUAUGUUCAUGUAAAGUGCUAGGUUUCCCAUUUGAUAAUGCAACUCUAUCAUGCAAUGUUUUAUUUUCUAAUUCUAGGCAACUAAUCUUUGCACUUAGAGAUUCAUUUUUAUUUGUGAGUUCUACCGUUUUCUUUUUAAGACAUGCAUUCUUUUUACCAACUUUCAUCAAUUCAUCAUACAAUUCUUUAAGAGCAUCAUAUAACUCAUCAUAAGUAGGAAGAUUAUUUACCUCAUCAAGUUCAUCAUCUCCUAUUGCCAUAAGUGUUAGGUUUGACACUUCUUGGAAAUCUUCUUCAUCACUCGAUUCUUCAUCGCUAUCGUCCCAAGUAGCCACCAUGGCUUUCUUCUUGAGUUUGUUGAGAAGUGGAACACUCCAAUCUUAUAUGGCCAUGCUUUUUGCAUUCAAAACAAACAAUUGCCUUUUUAUUCCCUUUCUCCACCUUAAGGUUUUCUCUCAUGAGAUCUUUAAAGUUUCUUCUCUUGAUUUGCUUUUUAAAGAUCCUUCUAAACAUUCUAGCAAUCAUCUCAAUGCCUUCAUCUUUAAAGUUACUUCCAUCAUCAUCACUUUCAACUAUAGAAGAUUUAAAAGCAAAACUCUUCUUCUUUUUAUCUUCAUCAAUUCUUUCAUUAGUUAUAUCUUCUUCAUAUGAAAUAAGUGAACCAAUAAGAUCAUCAAGUGAUAAAGUAUUAAAACUUUUUGCUUCUUCUAUGUCCGUUCUCUUUGGUCUCCACUAUUUUGGCAAUGAUCUAAUAAUUUUUUUUUUACUUUUUUCACUAUUAGUAAAUAUGUUACCUAGUGCUUCAAGAGAAUUCACAAUAUCGAUGAAUCUAGUGUACAUAUCAUGAACACUCUCAUAUGAUUCCAUUUGAAACAUCUCAUAUUGCCUAGUGAAUCUACUAAUUUUACACUCCUUGACUUGAUUUGUUCCCUUAUAUACAACUUCAAGUUUCUUCCAAAUUUCAUAAGCAUUUUCACAACUAGAAACUCUAUGAAAUUCUUUCUUAUCGAAAGCACAAAAUAAUGCAUUCAUUGCCUUGGAGUUUAACGAUAUCUUUUUCUUUUCUAAUUCACUCCAAUGACUUGAAGGUUUUGGAAUAUCAUCUCAUGCUUCAUUUUUAGUCAUAGGCAUGAACGGACCAUCACAAAUAACUUCCCAAAUUUCGUAAUCUAAGGCUUGCAAAUAAAUUCUCAUCCUAGUUUUCCAAUAAGGAUAGUCAUUACUAUUAAAGAAUGGAGGUCUAGUGGUAGAUGGGCCUUCCAUGAAGGUUGAGCUAAUUUGGGUUGCUAUGGAUCUUUAACUCUAGAAGAUUAAGUCUACACAAGAGCACCUCGCUCUGAUACCAAAUGAAAUACUAACUAGGCAACCUAAGAGGGGGGUGAAUUGGGAUUUUAAAAUUUAAGUUAAGCAAACCACACAACAAUUUAAUCUAAUGCCUUAAUGGAAUAAAAAAUAAUAAAUUCAAUACAGCACAAUAAUAAGAGAGUAAGGGAAGAGAAAACAAACACAAUGAUUUUUAUGUGGUUCGGGAAUCCUCGCCUACGUCCAUGCCUCCAAGCUCACCCGACUUGAGGAUUUCACUAUCCAAGCCUCCCAAGGCUUCAAGUUCUUUACAAUUGACUUUCAAUGUGUCAAUGGACCUUUCCAAUCAAGAGAUUAUCUCUCCAAUCUCUUCACCUCAAGUGUUUCUCACAUUUAUACACUCACAAUUUAAUGUGAAAUGAAAAUUACAACAAACAACUCUCUUUUAGAGUGGAUAUACAAAUGAUAGCUUAAUGAAGAUUUAAUCUAUGAUGAUUUGCAAAAUUAAAGGUCAAUAUAUGUUGUGUGCACUUGUUUAUGAUUGCAAAGAUUACCAAAAAUGAAUUGGAUUUGAGUUUAUAUAGUUUGAGCCUAAAAACUAGACGUUAUGGGUUUUCUAAUGAUAACCGGCUUGCCGUUUUUGGAAUCCGGUUAGCCGUUUUUAUGUUACCGUUACAACAAAUAUUUGAAUUUUACAACAUCCGACAUUCCGUUUCGAAAUCCGGUCAGCCGCUUGCUACAGUGACUGCUACAGUGAACUAUUAUCUAAAAUUAUAGUUUUGACCCAAAACUUUAUAGAAUUACGAUAUGGCCCAAAAUGUCAUAAAACUUUACACAAAGGUCCAAUAAAAAAUAAUUUGAGCUUUUAAAACUUAAUCAUUCUUAAUUUUUUUUGUUAUCAUCAAAAUCAAUAUUAUGGAAACAUGUAUGUUAACUGUGAGCACAUUAAAUGGCUAACGGGUCAUCAUUCACAAAAAGCCAAGAAUGAGAGAUGGUUGAGCAAUGAUCACAACUGCCACUUUUCAACUUGCCUUAAUAAAAAGGUUAAUAAUAUAUGUUCCAUUAUAUAUUCUUUUUAGUAAAUCUAUUGUCAUGUUUAUACAAUUAUUCAUUCAUUAUGAUUAUUAUUAUAUAGGUAUAUGAGAUCAUAGAUGAUGAUGAACAUGUCUCAGACACCUUGAGGUGGUUAUCUCAAGGACCCCGUCCUUUUGUAGUUAAGCACCCAGGAUAUGACAUCAAUGGAUAUCGUUUCCAUACUCGGGAACGAGACCAACAAUGAGUUCAUCAAAAUAAUGGAGUUAGUCUUAUUGCAGCAACUUUACAAGUAGCAAGUGUCAAGGACAAAAAUCCUAUCCUUGGUGACAUGUCUUACUAUGGAGUUAUUAACAAAAUAUGGGACCUUGACUAUCAUAUGUUCAGAAUCCCUUUGUUCAAGUGUGAUUGGGUUCAAAAUAAUGGGGAUGUUAAAAUCGAUGAAUUUGGCAUCGCUUUAGUGGACUUAAAUCGCUUGGGACAUAAAUCAUACCCAUUUAUAUUGGCUUCAAAAGCAACACAGGUCUUUUAUGUCACUGAGCAACUUGAUAAAAGAUGGUCAGUUGUAAGUCAUAUGGAGGUGUUCCAAAAAUGACAAGUGCUGAGGAUAUAGAUAUCAUGAUGGAACAUAAUCCUUUGACCAAUGGGUUACCAACUAUUGAAAAUUUAAAUGAUGCGGACAAAUAUGCAAGAGAUGGCAAGCAUAGAAUCUCGAUUGAUGCUUGGAAAAGCUGAUGGCAUUCACUGCUUGUAUGUCUUAUAAUAGUUUUGUGUUACAUUAUCUUUUAUUAUUAUAUGUUCCUUGUAUUGACUUUAGAUUAUUAUUUUUCAUUAUUUAUACUUUACAUAAUGUUCUAAUAUUAAAUGUGGAUUCAUUGCAGAAGCAACCUUAUGGAUAAAGGAAAAGGACUUGCUGAUGAACACUCUAAUGAGGAAAGUAUUGAUUAAUCGGGUAAUAAAGAAGUUCCUGAUGAAGGUAAUUCAAGUGAUAAGGAGGUUCCUGAUGAGUUUCCUAAUUCAGAGGAUCAAAAUGAUGUUCCAAAGAGUAGUUCCACUGUGAGAGAACCAACUAAAAACUCUGGCAAGAUGAGGAUGAGUGGUGGGAAGAUUGUAGUCAGGUACAAUGGGCUCCUUGUACUUGUUGGCACUGAAUCUACUGAAUUAGCAAGCUUUAUUAGGCUUUAUACUUCUAUUCCGGAUAUUAAACAAGAAUGAAAAAAGGUUACUCCACAUUUAAAGAGCCAUUUGUGGGAGUUUAUAAAGGUAAAAUGAUUAUUCAUAUUUAUAUCUUAGAAUUAAAUAAUGUAUAUGUUAAACUAUUUGAUCAUUAUGCUAUGUAUUUUUCUUAGGAACGUUUUAUUGUUCAUCCAAAUAGUAAGAAGCAAUUUUUUCAAGCACUUGGUAGUGCAUUCAGAAGCUUUAAGUACUUGCUCACCAGAAAGUAUAUCUUGCCACACAAGCACAAACGUAAAAGGUUGAAGAGGCCACAUUUUUCAGUACAGUAAUAUUCCUCAAAAUGUUUGGGAUACAUUUGUGAAUUCUAGAUUGCCCACUGAGUUUGAGGUGAAUACUUUUAAAUGUUAAACAUUUAGGUAUUUCAUAGAACCAUCUCUUAAAUCUAAUUAAGGACUGUUUUAUGCAGAGAAUUAGGCGUCAACAGCAAAAUAAGAGGGCUAAGAACAAGUGGAACCAUCGUUUAAGUAGAAAAGGAUAUGCUGGAUUGCUUGAUGAAAUUGUAAGUAAUAUGAUACUAACUUGACCAUUCUUGUAUAGCUAUUGGUAUAGAGAUGGUUGGUUUGAUGAUGAUAAAUUGGUAAACCUUUUGUUUUAAUUUUCUGCUUAUAAUUUGUGGUUAGUUAAGGAUGCAUACCAGCUGUGACAUUAUUAUUUUUUUAAACUAUAAUGCUCGGAAACUAGACUUGUCGAAACUGAAGUUGACAGGAGUGUAGCAUAGAAGCAUGCUAGGAAGAUGAAAAAGGUGAAUAUGACCCUAAUGUUGAAUCAGUUGUGAAGAAGAUUGUAAGUAAUAGCAAGUUUUUUUUUUUUCAAUUAGGCUCUAUUGGAAAGAAUUUGAUAUUCAUCAAUAUGAUUAUUAUACAAUUAGGAUGCACUGAAGGAGAAAACUAAAAAAAGGAGAAUUUAAAGCAAAUGUAAGAAAUGAUAUUCUUGCAAGUUCAAUUGGAAAGCCUGCCACUUCUGGACAUAUGCAGGGUGUUGGGAAAUUUAUAUCGCCUAAGAUGUACUUUGACACCCCAAAAAAUUCAUUUCAAAUGCGACAAGAGAGACUAAACAUACUAGAGAGGUUAGAUAAGCAAGAAGUAGGGUUGAGUGAUCUGAAGAAGAAGAUUAAAAAGUAACCUCGACAUUCAGAUGUUGGAAGCUCAAACUUUCCAUUACAUGAGCAAACAAUUGAAGAUGAAGCUGAAGAAAUGACUACUCAUAAUGAGGACAAGGUAUGAUACAAAUUGUUAUGCACAAUCAAGUUAAAAAAAUGACUUAAACAUUUGAUUUUAGACAAUUUUAGUCGUAAUCAAAAUCGUAAUUACAAUUUGUUUUUUUUUUUUGGCUUGUUAGUGAAUCGGCAUGACAAGGAAUGGAUCACCUGCAAAGAAGGAGCAUGAAACACUGACAAAGAAAAGGCAAUCACCAAAGAAGAUGAAUGAGUUACCAAAGAAGCAAGUAGCUGUUGAUUGUCCUGGAGACAAACCAGAAAGUACAAAGAAAAAGCAAUCAACAAGGAAGAAGAAGAAAUCACCAAAGCAGCAAGUGAUUGUUGAUUGUCCUAGAGACAAGCCAAAAAGUUUUAAGAAAAUGCAAUCACCAAGAAAGAAGAAAGAAUCACUAAAGCAGUAAGUGAUUGUUAAUUGUCCUAAAGACAAACCAGGCAGUCCAAUGAAAAGGCAAUCACCAAGAAAGAAGAAGGAAUCACCAAUGAAGCCUCACAAGAAACCAAGAAUGACUUUUGAAAUUUCAGGAGACAAACCAUCCAAUCCAAAAAAGAAGACAUCACCAAAAAAAGCCUCAAGAAAAGCCACUGUCAAGAAGAAGAACAAGGAAUUAUCAUACUGUGUAUAUGAACUGAGUUCUUGGGAUUGUAAUAUUUGGAAAUAUUUUUGAAACGAGCAUGGCUCAAAUAGGUUAUUACGUACCUUAUCAGUUGGAUAAAGACCAUUUGGGUUCAUACACACAGGACUCGUAUCAUCAGCCCAUGAUAAGGAUGCCUUUACUACAAGGGUAAAAAGGACACAAUUUAUUGCGGAACAGUUGAACAAAGCAAACAAAGGACAAAUGAUUUUCAUGCCAUAUAACCCUGGGUACAGUUCUAUUUACUUUCCAUUGAUGAUCAUUUACUAAAAUUGAUUCAUAAUUUCAAUUUCUUUGUGUAAUAGUUUCCAUUGGGUGUUGAUUGUAAUUGAUAUGACGACAAAGUAAGCAUUUUAUCUGGAUUCUAUGAACAACGAUUUAGGCGACGACAGUGACCUGAAGGACAUAGUUACCAAGUACGGUGAUAUUGUAUUUCUAAUAUAAUUUUAUAUAUCAUGUUUAUUUACUAACUACAUGUAUUGUAAUGUAGUGGGAUUUCAAUGCAUGUUGCGAUGAUUGGUAAAAAAAGGGUGAAACCAUAUAUCAAAAAAGUUUUGGUAAGCAAUUGUGACUUUUUUUUUUUUUUUUUGCAGCCCAUGACUUGUUAAUAUUUUAUCACUUGAAAGAAUUCAUAUGCAUAUGUAUUAAUGAUUAUUCUGUUGAUGAUAUAGUCCCCAAAUCAACCAGGGAGUACUGAGUAUGGAUACUAUGUGCUGAGGUUUAUAAAAGACAUAAUUGCAGACCCGAGUUUACUUCUCCAUAAUGUAAGUACACAUUCUUUCAUAUGCAUUGUAGGAUUACUUCACUUAUUACCUUUUACUAUAUAUAGUUUACUUUAGUCUGACAUGUGAUCAUCAUUUGACAGUUUAAAGGCAAAUGUGAAUACACUCAUAGUGAGCUUAAUGAAGUGCGUCUCGAGUAUGCUUCCUUUGUGUCUGAGCUGAUAGUAUUAGCAGUAGAGUUGAUGAUGUAUAUUUUUCUGAAGUUCUAAUUAUUAGUGGUAUUAUGGUAGUAUUUUGAAUUUCUAAGUGGUAGUGAAUUUAAUAAAGUCUUUAUGGAAUUUCAAAUUCCUUGUUACUAGAAGAUGAUAUUGUUUUGUUCCAAAACUAAGAUGUUUAUCAGCCUGGUAGUGUAAGAUCUUGAUCAGCCUUGUAGUGUUUCAGAUGAUAUAUAGUGUCGUGAUGUUUUUGUAUGCUGGUAAUGAUCUAGAUGGUAGUGUUGGGAUGUAUUAUUGUGAUAAUUGAAUAGAUGAUGUUUUGACAAUGUUAUGGUUAUUUCAAGUGAUGUUUUGAUGAUAUUGUUGAGAUAAUUUUGAUGUAUUGAUUUUAUACAUAUUUUGAUUUUUAAAUUUCAAUAGAAUUUAUAAAAUUAUAAAAUAAUAAUAUUAAAAAUAUUAUUAUUUAAAAUAUUAAAAUUUAUUUUCUAAUUUAAAAAUAUUAAAAAUUAUUUAAAAUAUUAAAAAUUUCUAAUUUAAAAUAUUAAAAAUUAUUUUAAUAAUAUUAUUAUUUUAAAAAAAUUCUCAUUGUGACACCAUAUUAACAUCAUAAAGCUGCGACACAUAAUUACCUGCCAUAAUUUAAAGUUGAAUUCAUAACACCCACCAAAAGUUUUUUCACAAUAAAACAAAUUUACCACCAAAAUAUUAAAACGACAUCACUUUUUUUGUGACACAUUUGUGAUAGUUAUAAGUUGUCACAUACUCUUGUGAUAGAUAAAUUAAUGUCACAGAUUUAUCACAGGGGCUACAAUGACAAAUAGAAACUCUGUCAUAAAGAGGGUCGGAUGACGGAUAUUCUCUGUCAUGGUAGCCCAUUUUUCUAGUAGUGAUUCAUGAUUUUCUUAAGAUUUUACAUCAUCUUGGCUUUAUGCAUUUAAUGAGUAAGACUUUAUAUCAUCUUAGCUUUAUGCAUUUAAUGAGGGAUAAGGUUUACUAUAUCCCCUAAUUAAUUGUGUUAAUUCUAUUAUUUAUAGAAUUUUCAUUUUAUGGCAAGUCUAAUAAAUUAAAAUUUUAUUUACUGAAUAUCAUGUAAUAGGUUUUAAUUUAUUAAAUUCCUAACUAAUUUAUUGAAAUUCCAAUUUAUUAGGAAUAUCGUUUCCUAGUUUAAUUAGAUGUCUAAUUUAGCAAGUUAAUUAGUGAAUGAAUUUUAUAAUUGGUGCGUAUGAUUUAUUUAGAGGAAAAAAUUGGUUUAAACAGAAAGUUUAUUAAAUGCUCUAGAUAUUUCUUAGAAGACAAGUAAAGCAAGCAUAUCAUAUUUAUUCCUAUUUAGAUUUAUAGGAAUUAUAAGAGGAAAUAAACUUUUAUUUAGAAAGAAUCCUAGUCUUUCAACUACAGUCUUAAUAAAGUUUUUCACAUCAGCCUCAUAGUCAUCAUACAAUAUAUCAAUUUUUUAUGGGUACAAUAUAUCAUAUUUAAGCCAAGAUUUAUCCAUUUUUUGUUUAGUACCUGACAUAUAAUUGACAUAAAUUUCAACAUAAUGUACUAAUGGUUUGCAAUGAUAAAUUGUUUCCAUUAUCAAUAAAAUUAAGCAACAAAACAUUAUUAAUAUUUAGUUUAUAAAUUUAAUGAAAUAAAUAAAUUUAAAACCAAAACUCGUCAUCACGUGCAACAAAUAUAACUUCACCAACGUGCUGUCAUCGUUUACCAAAACCUCUAACUAACAAUACCCACUAAUAACAUCCUAAAUAAUUUAGGCCACAUAUUUUAACAUUUAUUUAAAAAAAAUUUCUAACGAUCCAGCAUUUCAUGGACCACAAGACUAUCCAGCAUUUCAUGGACCACAAGACUAUGUAUACAUAUAUAAGCAACUAAACGUUCCUUGGUCCACAUGACCAAACUUGCCCCCACAUGGUACCAUUUCUUUCAAACAUAAAAAAGACAAUUGAAAAAGGGGUCCUCACUUUUCAACUCAAUAAAAUACACUAGAAAUUAUUAUCAAGUUUCCAAAUCUAACUCACAAUCAUUAAAAAAAAAUAUAUCAACGCCAUUGGACCCUAGUUUUGGAUCCAUCCCAAUAAAACACACUAGUCAAUGAAAAGUGCUAUAUCAUCAAGAAAAAUCAGUUCACAUAUAUGCAAAUUUUGACUGAAAAAUUACACAAUAUAACAACAUUCAGACAAACCAUUGCCAGCAAGCAUUUUUUAAACAUUGAAUGGAAAGGCAAGUAAAGAAUUGAACAAACCUGAUGUUAGAAAUCGAAUUCGAAAGGGAACAAAGCAGUGAAGUCCUGCAACUCAGGAAAAAAAUUAAAAAAAAAAGGACAUACUAAAUUAAAUGAUUGAGCAAUUUCUAGAUUUAAUAAAAGGACAAAGUAUAAGCUUCUUGAAUUAAAAAAAUAACCAAAGAUAACAGAAAAACAAACAAGAAUUAAAAAAAUAAAUAAUAAAGAUAAACCAUUCAUGAUAGAAAUCCCCCCAAAAAAAGGGCAUAAAUUAUGAACAAAUAAGGGAGAUAACAACAAAACUGACAAUUAAUCUUAUAAUGCCCAACUAAUUUAUUCAAAAUAAAAAAUAAAAAAGCUAAUUGACAAUAAAUCUAAGGAUUCGGUAAUUACAAGGAUGGCUUCUUGAUAACUCUAUGAAAUAAGAAUUAUCAUGGCACUUUUAAACUUAAAUCAAUAAUACUUAGAGAGUAAAUAAUGUGUUUUCAUUGCAUUUUUAUUAUAUUUUGCAUAAACAUUCAUCUUAGUUUAUUCGUAAUAAAUAUUUUUUGAUUUAGAAUAAUUUAUAUGCUAAAUCAUAUGCAUAAUUGUAGGUGUCCAGAAGCUCAAAUUUCAAGAAAAGAAUGCUGAUGCAAUAGGCUUGCAAAAGAUGGAAAAUAACUUAGCUACAAAAGAAUUGAAACAAAUCUGGACAAUGCAGUUGCUGUAGCCGUUGCUGUAGCAAUCCUGGAACAACGACAAAGAAAAUUUUGUUCGGGAUACUUGCAGAAUUGCGAUCUGCAGUUUCCUAACCUGACUUAUGUGCGCCCUAGACUUCCGUUUACCCUAAUUUUCAACUAUAAAAAAAGCACACAUCAUAAGGAAUAGGGGGAGCCGUCACCCAAGGAGAAAAACACAUAGAAACAAAAGAAAAACAAGAUUCAAGAGAGAGAUUAAGGGCUGCACAAGAGGAAAAAUUGCAGAGAUCAAUUGGGAGCUCAAUCUUUCUUAUCCUUUUCUUGUUUUCAUGUUCUCUAUUUAUUCAUGGGGAUGUGUUUCAUGGCCGAAACUUUGUUCUUUAUUUUUCUUUUGCAAAUCAUGAACUAAAUUUAUUUGAAUUGUUGGUUUAUUGACUGAAAAUAUGAGUUGUUGCAUGUUUGUUGUAGCAUUUUGUUUUGAUAGCAUUUAUUUUUAUUCAUUAUUUCGGUUGAUCACCCAUUUAAUGAUACAAGUUAGGAGAGAGCCACAAAAGGGCCUAUCUUAGUGGAACAUAUCAGAGAAAUACUUGGUUUUAGAUUGGGUUUACUGGAUUGAGUUUAAUUUAUCCCAAAAGGGCCAUGCUUAAUCUAAAAUUAGUGAUGAACUAGACAUAGGGAUUCACUUUGUAGGGUAAAUAGAACCUAAGCGUGUAAUGUUAUAUCUUAUGUGGGCAUAACAACUGAUCACUGUUAUGUUGCAUAUAGAUAUAAGAUAUCCUACAUGCGAUGGCUGAGGAUACAUAAGGAUUCUACCCAAUGCUGUAGCAACUGAGCCAACCAUUAGAAAAUAGUCAAGACCAUUAGGAGAGUUUAUUCACUCAACUACUCUAUAUUUCCAUUGGUUUUAUCCUUGAGUUUGACGUGAUAAUUUACUUUGUUGCAUUUAUUUAUUGUGUUUUUAUUUUAAUUAGUAUAUUAAUUUCAUUAAUUAUUUUAUCUUAAUUUAAAACAAAAUCUGCACUGUUAAGAUUGUUGUAGCAAGUAUGAUAACAUCAAUCCCUGUAGAGACGAUCUUGAAUACUCAUCACUUUAUUACUUGUUGUGUACACUUGCACAUUGACACUAAUAGCAUUUGAAUUCAUACCAACACUUCUCCACCGCCAAUUAAACAAUGCAAAGAAAUAGUGACAACGAUGACUUCAACAGUGAACGUGUUGAUGGAAGGCGCAACAAUGAGUAUAUAUGGUGAUUUUGUGCUUAAAAAUUUAUAAUGAAGUGGUUGCUUCAAUAGCAUAUACAAUGAUUUUGGUUUCCAUGCAAUGGAUUUCAAAACCAAUUUUUAUAUUAAAGUAGGGCUUGUUAAUUAUGGAUUUUGAGGGGUUUCAAUGGUGAGGUUUCUCAGCCCUCGCCGAUGGAGUGAUGAAGUCAGAGGAGCUGAAGUGUUUAUUAACACUUAGAAUUUUCUUGUAGUUUAAAGUCUAUAGUAAACAACAACGUUUAGAAGUUAAAUAAAUAUUUUUAUUUUUAAAAUUUUUUAAAUUAUGAAAAAUCAACACGGUGCCGUUUCAUGCCCAAAUUGAUAUAUCCUAAACUCACAGUUUCAUUAAAUAUUAAUAUGCUAUCAUAUUUAUAUGAUAAAUAAAAACUCUAUCACAAAUUUGUCAUGCCUUUAUGAUGUAUGAAAAUUCUGUCAUGUGUCUAUCAUAUUCUUGUGAUAAAUGACCAAUUUUCUAAUAUCUAUCACAAAAAUUCUGUCAUGUUAGCCCAUUAUUCUAGUAGUGAGAUAUUUAUCCAACUGGAUUACAAAGUAAUUGAAAUUAAUUGUAACACCUAUGGCCAAAACUUGGACCCAGUGUUAUUUUAUAAUCAAAAUUGAAACCUAUAGUUACAGUCAGCUUGAAUCUGAAUCAAAUGAGCAAAGGGGGGCAAUUGCCUUCUCUAAGCUCUAACCAUGAAACAAUAAUCAAAUCGUCAGACCUCUAAAAUAAGCCAAUGAAACAUUACUCACAAACCCAUCGAUUAACAUCUUUAAAGCUUUGGCACUGAAACUUAAACGAGCGUUUUGUGUUAAAUAGUAUUGAAAGUAAACACAGCAGCAAACUUAAACGAAAAAGUAUUGUCAUUCAUUGUGUGAAAAAUUAUGCGAAAUUCUGAUAUUUUACGUCGAUCUAUCCAAAUCCAAGCAGGAAAAUGAAUGCUCGAGCAAUAUUCAAAUAUCAAAAGAGCAUAUUUUCAAAAUUAAGUUAGGAAAAAAAAUUUCAGUAUCAAUUAUCAUCAACGGGUUCUUGAUGUUAAGAAUAAGCAUUAACAUGAGCUGCUCAGGUCGGCUGAUGAAUCAGCAAGCUGUUAAGCAAUAUGCUGAGUCAUCAGCCACGUCAGCAGUCAGUUACGGAGGCUGUUGCUUUGCUUAAGAAGCCUCUGGAUAUGUAUAUAUAAACCCCUGUAAUCUCAGUUCAUUUUGUAGCUUAAUGAAAUGAAUUUGGCUCACUAUUCUUCUAUCAAAACUUUUAGUAUUUUCCCUUCACUUUCUAGGCAAACAAACACAGCAACAUCUUUUAACUGUUGAAAUCUUCCAGCUCCGGUGCAAGCCUCAGUCACAAUGUAUUCACUCGAUGGCACAUCUUCACCCAGACUUUUCGGUAAAGUGAAUUAAAGCUUUCAGAAUGAUAGAAAGCAAAUGCAUGAGCCACGAAGAUCUGGAAGAAUGCCAAAGCCAAACCCUAAGUAUACUACUGAGAGCAUGAGUUGACUCCCAUGCAAGCCAUGCAUGAGACAUGCAUAUGCAGAUAUUGUGAAGAUAAGUGCUGGAGCCGUGAGAACAUGAGUUGACUCCCAUGCAAGCCAUGCAUGAGACAUGCAUGUGCAGAUAUUGUGAAGAUAAGUGCUGGAGCCGUGAUCUGGGGAUAACCUUAUCAACGAUUGUGCAACGAUUAAAGGGGAAGCUAAGACACGGAAGUUGUUUUCGAUUAUCUUUCUGUUUCGAAAUAUUAGCUAAGUUGUUAUUUUAAUAUUUGUUUUAUUGAUUUCAGCCGUGAUUGUGGGUUGAAAAUCAAAGUCUUGUUAUUAUAAAUAAGCUCCAGAAUAUGAAUAAAGGCAUUGAGAAUUCAAACUACAAUUAUUUGGUUAUUUCUCACCAUAAGCAGAAAAAUAUCACUAGCAUUAUUCGUAAUCAUUGUCUGCAUCUGACUGGGACCUAACACAGAACGAUACAUAAAACUUUAAAUUGUUCCUGUAACACACAGAAAGUCUUUAGUUCGGUAUCGUAAAUUCAAUUUCUUAUAAUCUCAUUAAUAUACUUUUUGAAUUUUAUUGUGAUCUUCAUUAGGCGUCAAUUUUUAUUUUUCAUUUAAAAGAAAAAGCACUUCCGGAGUCAUUGUAAGAUCUUUUUCUGUGUAAAUAUCUUUUUCUUUUAAUUUAAAAUUAGAUAUAUCAAACUUAUUCAUCGGGGUUUUGUUACAUUUCCUUUUAUUUUCAAUAAUUAAUUUGUUAUCUAAUUGGUCAAUAAAUUUGCUUCUUGUUUGUCCAGUACACUAAUAUAGAUGCUGUUCAUUAGAAGCAGACACAUAGCUGUAAAUUAUUUCUUAGGUUUUGAGAUAGGAAUGACGAAGGACAGAUGCAGGGGCACUGUUUUAAGUCAACCAAAGUUAAAGAUGAUUCGAACUCAUAGUUCUUGCAUAAAAACCUUUGUUAGCUUUACUUUUGUUGUCAAAAUUAUUAUUAUUAUAAUUUUUUUAAUGGUAGAAGUAGAACCUAAUCCCUCACAAUUAUCAAUUAAUACUAUGUUAAUUACCAAACACUAUUAUUUUUUUAUUCAUACCUAGUAGUGAUUUAAAUUUGAAAAGCGACAAAACCAUAAACCAGUUUUUAAUAUAUAAUAAACCAGUUUACAUUUAUUUUUUUAAGGAGAAAUGUAAGGAUCCUUUUAAUAAAAAAAAACCAUCAACAUUAAAAUGAUAGAAUUAGAAACGAAAAUCACAACAACAUUACAAUUGCAUUCAGUUUCUACGUAUCCUCCUCCUCCUUGUUGCCUUUUGCUGCGUUCCCAACUUCUCCAGAAUCCAUCCGAUAAUUCCUGUGCUGAAGUUGAACCCGAGAACCAAUCCUGCCACAAGUCCGCCCGCAUAGCCAAUCAGAAUGAUUUUCCAAUCAGAUGCGCCCGAAAACAGAGACUUCUCCGACCUUUAAGUAUGAUCUUCAAUUGUUGGAGGUUCACCACUCUCACAUUCUUUGGACAAAGGCCUUCCACAAAAUCCUGAGUUGCGGUCCAAAGAAGUGUUGUCAAAUGUAGCAAAUUGCUUUCCUUGUGGUAUAAGCCCUGCAAGGCAAUUGUCCGAGACAUUGAAGAAUGCGAGAAAUGUGAGCUGAACCAGUUGUUGAGGAAUCUGUCCUGAAAACUUGUUAUUUGAGAGAUCCAAUGAUUCCAAAUUUGUUAGAUUGCCCAAACAUGAUGGAAUAUGGCCUUGGAGAUUAUUGUUCUGGAGGUUUAGAACUUGAAGUCCCUUUAAAUUCUCAAUCGAUGCUGAAAUCGCCCCAUCAAAACUAUUGUUUGAGAGAAUAAUGCCCGCGAGGAUAUCUGGAAUCUUGUUAUAUGUCAUCAUUCGCCCUUUGCUGUUCAUUGUCAAUGAUCAGUAGUCAUAAGUGCUAAGUAUAUCAUUGGACAAUUGUCCAUACAGACAAAGCACAUCUUGCAGAUAUCUUAGCUCACUUGCAUUGACAAUUUUCAUGGCAUUCCAACACAGGAAACUCUUUGAUGGAAGCUUUCCAGUAAAUCUGUUGUCAGAUAGGUCAAUAAUGCGGAAUUUAGAAAAUCCACAACCAGUUCUGGGUUCUUCUAUAAUGCCAUAAAAUAUGUUGGAUCGUAGGAUGACGACAUUCAAUUUUGGCAGACUUCCUAACCAAGAGGGAAAAGUGUCACUAAUCUGGUUGUUCCCAAGACCAAGAAAUUCCAACUUUGAACAGUUGAUCAAUGAUCUUGGAAUUCUUCCUUGAAACAGAUUAUGGCUUAAAUCCAUCACGCCUAAUCUACUUUCUUUAGUGAAUGUAUUUGGGAUGGUCCCAGAGAAGUUGUUCCCCUGCAAGUCGAGCACUGAAAGUUCAUUGCUGAAAUUGCCUAAACACUGAGGAAGCAAGCCACUUAAGUUAUUGUGAGACAAAACAAGGCUUUCAAGUAUAUUCAAAUUGCAUAUCCACGAUGGAAUUUCCCCUGUUAAGCUACUGCUAAAAGCUAGAUAGUUAACGGUUCCGGGGGGUGGAACUGGGAGUGGUCCUUGUAAAUUAUUAGAGCUAAGAUCAAAAGUCACCAAAUCACCGUUAUUCCCUGGAAGAAGAAUAGGAUGCUGAUCAAACCCGGUUAACAAGUUAUGCGAAAGGUUCAAGGCAUUUAGAUUAUGCAUAUUGGGGUCUAACAACCAUUUGGGUACUUUUCCCUCAAUUCUAUUGUCAGAAAGGUCCAGGACCACCAUAUCACGUUGGUUUUCCAAGAAAUGUGGAAAUUUAGUAAGAUUGCAUGAACGCAGUCCUAUAUAUUGAAUUUUCUGUGAAGUGGUAUUAGAAGUGGCUUUGGUGAGCAUUGACAACCUAUUUAAUGAGAGACCUAAAACUAACUCUAUCGUUCCUCCAUAAGAAUUUUGAGCCAUGUCAAGGACGACAAGUUCGGUAAGAUUCCGAAGUGAAGAUGUAAUUUGACCUGAAAAAUUACACUCAGACAUAUAUAUUGCUUCCAAUGACCUAAGAUUUCCAAUGGAACCAAGUAAGUUACCUGAAAAAUUAUUAAAUCCAAGAUACAAAAAUUGUAGCCGGGUGAAAUUACCAAUUGAAUGUGGAACUUUGCCCCAAAAACCACAUGACCUCAGAUCUAAUAGCUUCAAAGAACUAAAAUUUCCAGUCGACCAAGGAAACUCACCCAAAAAUUUAUUAAAUGAAAGGUCAAGUUUUUCCAAAGAAAAAAGAUUUCGAAUGGAAGUAGGCAACUCGCCAAAAAAUCCAUUUUGUGAAAGGUCAAGUUCUUUCAAAGAACCAAGAUUUCCUAUGGAAAUAGGCAACUCACCAAAAAAUCUAUUUUGUGAAAGGUCAAGUUCUUACAAAGAACUAAGAUUUCCAAUGGAAAUAGGCCACUCACUCGACAAAAAAUUUGCAGAGAGAUCUAGUUCUUUCAAUGAAUGAAGAUUACCAACAGAAAUAGGCAGCUCACCUUGUAAUUCAUUUAGUGAAAUGUCUAAAUGAAGGAGCUUUGAUAGAUUACCGAUCGAAGAUGGAAUUCUUCCUGAAAUUAGUAAAAAAAAAAAAAGAACACAUUGCUUAAGUGGAAAAUAAAAAAUAAUAAUAAUUUUUACUAAUGAAUUUAACAUUGCAAUUGACAAUUUUCGAGUAAAAUAUAUAUAUUUAACAAUAACAUGCAUGUAUAUUAAUUAAGGAGAAAAUAUAUAAAAUUUAAUUACCUUGCAAUUCACAGUUUUGAAGAGAAACAAACGUCAAAGAAGAUAGAUUUCCGAUGUUAUGAGGUAUCAUUGAAUCAAUAGAAACAUCACCAAGGUCAAGUGUUUUUAGAUUACUUAACUUCUCGACUAAAUUUUCGAAACUGGGCUUCUGGAGUUCAACUCUACUACCAGGAACAUCAUUUAGUGAUAAAUCAAGGGACACCAAGUUGGAGAGCUUUAGAAUUUCUGAAGGUAUUUGACCAGAUAAAGAAGUUCCAGAGAGGUUCAAGUAUGAUAACCUGGAAAGGUUGAUGAUUUCUGGUGGGAUUUCGGAGGAAUUGAAGUCAUUCAAAGCAAGAUUAAGCCACUCGAGAUGGACAAGCUUGGAAAGGCUGCUGCUAGAGUCGAUAGAACCAAAAAGGCAGCUAUGGGAGAGGUCAAGCUUGAUGACAUGACCGGUGUUCUUAUUGCAAUGAACGUCGUCCCAAGAGCAGCAAUCAACGCUACCUUCUUCUGGCUUCCAUGAUGCCAUUGUAGGACGACAGUCAAAUUUCCAAGCAUAAAAAUCACCACUGAUGCGGCUUUCUUUGAAUUGCAACAAAGCAGAAAGCUCAUCAUCAUGGCAGAGUGGCAGCAUAGAAGAAGCAGUGACGUUAGCAAUUGUAAAAUUAAAGAAAAAGAAGGGAAAAACUAACCGUAUGAAUAUUGUGAAUAAACAUAUGGACGAUAAGCCCAUAGUUUUCUCAAAAAUAAAAUUUGUUUAACUUUGUAGAUGUGAAGAAAUUUAAGGAUCUUUAGUUUGGACUCUUUUUUGUUUUUUUAAGUCGACAAAAGUUAGUCUUAAUAAUAUUUAUUUUUUAUUAUUUGAUGUGAUGUCGUAAACUUUUACCAUUCCGUCACCACCGAAAAUACGUUUAUAGCAAACGUGAGGAUUAAUUAAUUAGCACAGGGAAAAAAUGAAAAUGAGUAAAUGAGUAAUACAUUCAUUUUUAUUUUUUGUUUGAAAAAAUGAAAAACAUAAUUCCGAAGUGGUCCUGACCACUUGAAAUUUUUUAAAAAAUGAUAAAUAUUAUUUGGAUAUGAUAUCAACUCAAAAUUCAAACAAAUCUUACAAACAACUGGGGAAAAAUGGUGAAUUCCAUUCCUUAACCGUGGUUUAUUAAAUUUAAAAAAAAAACUAGUGAAAAAAGAUGAUAAUUAAAUUAAUUUUAAUGGAAACAAAGUCACAAUAGUAGAAGUGACAAUUUCGGCACGAUUAGCUAAUUAAUCAGACACAAACACAAGACAAAUUAAUGAAUUUGGAUUUACUAAAAUUGACAUGAUUUUCAACUUUGAUCAAUUAAAAACCUUUCAUUUCGUAUCAUCGGACCCACUAUUAAUCAUCAUAAAUUAUAGUCAACAGACGAUCGAUUUCAGAGACUCAAGACUACUAAUGAUAAGCCUUUGCAUGCUCUGUACAUAUGCCGUGUCAGAAAAUUAUUUCUUACUUUUUAACAUAAGAAUGACGAAAGAGUGAUGUAUUUUUGGACACUGUUCUAAGUCAACUAAAAUUAAAAAUUGGCCAUAUAUCAUUAUAAUGGAUAUCAAGAUAAUUUGAACUCUUAGUUGUUGGAUAAAAAAAUAUUGUUAUCUUUAUUUUUGUUCGCAGAAUGGUUAUUAGUAUAGUUCUUUUAAAGUUCUCAAAAUUUUCAUUUAAAAAAAAAUGUUCCUACAAUAUACCCAAAAAAAAUAAAAAUUGAACCCCAAAAAGAGAAAACUAUUUUUUAAAAUAUAACACAGAUAAUAUCGGUGAGAGUAAUUUAGGUCAAUUCAAAAUCGCUAAUUCGGAGUCAGAUUCAUGUAUUAAUUGUAUCAUAAGUUACCAUCUCUGAGUACGACUAUGGCGUGACAGAGGCUAAUGGAAACUCCAGACUAGUGAGAGUCUAUCGUUACUGAAAAAUGCAUGAAUGGCAUGGAUGCAAAAGUAAUAAAAUUUGGAACUGAUGAUUAAGCCAUUGGCUAACAAAAAUUAACUUCUGAAGAGGCAAGGUCCCUCAAAAAAAAAAAAAAAUUCUUUAAUUUGUUCCAUUGUUUGGUUUGACAAAAUAUAUCAUCUAAAAUUUGGAACUGAUGAUCUAUCGAAGUUGACCUGUGUUUAUAUUUCCUUUCAUUUUCUAUAAUUUGUCAUCUAAUGGGUCAAUGAAUUAAUUUUCUUCUUCUUCUUUUUUAUCCUUUCCGCACUUGAAUUUCCCUUCACGGCAAGUUGAGUAUUCUGCAUACUUUAGGGAAUGUCAUUGUCUUGAUGACUUUUCACUACAACUCUAAAAUUUUCCUCCCCACGGCAUUUGAAUUUUCUUUGUAAACCGCGCACUCGUUGGCUGAGUGAUGACACCUCCUCAACUUAAUUAUUCUCAAGGUCAAGAAUUCGAGUUUUACUCCUUUAGGUUUCUUAGCCGAGCUGCCAAUGCGCCAAUUUGUAAUGAGCUUUACCUGAUGGUCUCUGAGAUGGGCUCUAAUUAGUGCACCUAAAUUCCUCUUAUGUUAGAAACUAAAGUUUCUAAAACUUUUUAACUUGUUUAAAUUAUCCUCCAGCAGUGCCUUGAAUGAGAUCUUCUACUCCAUCAAUGCUUGUAUGUUGUGUUUCAUUUGGGGAUUAGAUUUCCCAGUACGUAGACAGAGAACUCUGACUCUGUUGUCCGAUGUCUCUGCAUUUUCUUGAACUCUCUACUCUGACUCUCAUCGUGUAAUUAAGGAGGAUUAAAGUAAAAGAAAAGGGUAGAACCAGUUCUCCCUAUUUGUUGCACUAGCUAUCAGAUUUCCAUAUUAUACUAAUUAUUGGCCAAAAACAUUUUUUUUAUUUAAAUUGUCAAAAAGACUUGAAUGUUCUCAUCCUAAAAUAAGUUCCAUUAAAACAAUCAUAAUAUUUAUGGAAUGUUUAUAACUAGAAUGAGUGCUCCUACUUAAACUAGUAAAAUCUCUUGAACUAAUUUAAAUGUUCAAUCCUGCUCACAUGAGUGAGGAGAGGGUAUUUGUUUUAAAUUUUAUUGUAUUGAAUUUCGCACUUUCAAUACUUCAACGCAGUUAUUACGAUUUCAUCAAGUUUACGAUGUUAAUGAUCAAACAGUACACUUUCUAAACUAACUAAAAUAGUACCUAGCUAGCUAAUUAGAUAACGGAUUAAUGGAAUGGAUGUGGGUGUCUAGUUUUAGAGUUUGAAAUUUUUUUUUAAAUUAAUCAAAGAAAGCAUAUUUUUAAUUUUGAGUUAUUGUACUAUUAAUUAAUAAUUUAAUUAAAAAAUUUAUUUAUUUGCUAUCAUAAUAGUUGUUGAAAAUGCCUUUAAUAGGGGUUGGUUCAAUAUUUGGUUAGAGUCUGAUUUCAUGCUGGCGAUCCAACUUCUUCUUUUCAUCCCUCUUUGACCAUUUGAAAUGUACUUGCAUUGCAAAUGUCUGUAGUCAAACUUGGGUCUUCAAUGUACUCACAUCCCUUGGUAGGAUUUCUCUCCUUCAAAGAUUAGCGCUCUUUCUUCUCGAGAUGCAAAUGGCUUUUCAAAUUGUCAUUUUUGUUAAUGUAGGUCCUACAUUCAUGGUUUUCUGAAGAUUUUAUAUCAUCUUAGCUUUAUGCAUUUAAAGAGUAAGAUUUUAUAUCACCUUAGCUUUAUGCAUUUAAUGAGGGAUAGGGUUUACUAUAUCCCCUAAUUAAUUGUGUUAAGUCUACUAUUUAUCGAGUUGACAUCUUAUAGCAAGUUUAGUAUUGAAAUUUUAUUUACUAAAUAUCAUGUAAUAGUGAAACGACCCGCCCCAAACCCCAGGGUGAGUCUAUCUAAUCUCAUCAAAACUGGAUUGAUAAUAAUGUAAUUGUUAAAGAUUCUGCCGAAAAUUCAGCAAAGUUUCCUUUAUAAAUAUAGCACUCCCAAUCUGAAAAUAUGUAAAACAAGCACUUCCAAAAUAAUUCAAUUUACAACAAACUCCAAUAAUCAACAUCCUCAACUAAAAUGCUGAGUUUUUCUCAAGACAUCUCCAAAGUCUCAAAGAAUAAUAUUAUAACUAAUAUUAAUAUACCUCAGUUUAUUUUUAAUCCUAAAAAAAUAAUAUAACAAAAUUAUACAAUCCCAAAAGAACGAGAUAACCAUCAUGUCCUAACAAAAAGCAUCUAUAUCUUCUAACACCAUCACGUGGCCAAGACUCAAAAUAUAUUUACAGUCGUUAGGUCGGUCUAGUGUACUUGCAACCUCCUGGUGGGGGGGGGGAAUAUAAUAAAAACGGGAUGAAUAUAAAACUCAGUGAGUGGAUAGUAAUUUUUGAAAAUUAAUUCUUAUUUUAAAAGAAAUAAUCAUGUCAUUUCCAAACACAAUUUUAUUAAACCAUAUGUGAGAAACCAGUAAUAAAUCAUUUAACAUUUAAAUCGGAUUACUAACCAUGAAAAGCAUAUACAAUAUCGUACCUAAUAACCAUGGAAAUCAUAUCACGAUAUUAUAUAGAAUACACAGAUCUGAAAAAUCAUCACCAAACAAGUACCCAGGGGAAUAAUCUCGUCGUAUUUAGACCUCAAUGGACAGGCAAUGACGUACUAUCUAGGUACCGUCACCCCCCAGAGCUACACGGAUAGACAAGGAAAUACCAUCUCAUAUCUCAUCAUAUCAUCUCAUCAUAUUUGUGCAUGCAUAAUCUAGUCCCCAAAGGACAAAAGCACCCAAGCACACGGCCCAAAGUCUCUAUGUGUACUCAGACGAGCCCCAAAGGCCUGUAUCUCAUCUGUGUCAUAUGUAUCUCAAUAUCUGUCUGUAUCUCAUAUCUAUAUCUCUGUAACCAUCAUACCGCAUGCAUAUCCCCCCAAAAGGCAAAAGCGCCCAAAUACACGGCCCAAAGCCUCUAUGUGUGUUCAGACGGGCCCCAAAGGCCUCUCAUCUCAUCUGUAUCACUGUAUCUGGAGGGAAGGGUAUUGUCCAAUGAUUUUAAAAGCAAUCUCUAUACUCAUAUUCAUAUACAUUAUAAUCAUAUCUUUCUUUUCAUUAUCACAUCUAAAUCCACUUUUCUCAUCUUUAAGAUACUCUCAUAUUUUAUUCAAGUCUGUACGGAAAACCAUUAACCAAACAUUUUAAUAUAAUGUUAAUGCGUGAAUAAAAUCUAUUUCGAGAAAAUCAUUAAAUCAGAAUAUUUAAAAUACUUAUUUCGCAAACAUGCUUUACUAUCAUAAUUAACUAUGAAAAUAGGUUUUGUAUAUUCCAUUCAUAGUGACGGUGUUCACGUCCGGUUAUCGUCCACGUUCGCAGACUGCUUAUUGCUUGCGGAUCCUCCUAAAUCAAGGAAACGACAUAAUUAUUUUUCAUAAAUUGGAAUUACGACUAAAUUUAUACAAUAAACUUGAAACGAACAUCUAUCCAUAAUUUACAACUCCCGUGUCGAUAGAGUUACCAAAAUACCCUUGAAUCCGUAAAUCAUUAAAUACUCUGAAAUCGUAAAUCACCGAAUUACCCUUAGAAUCAUAAUUACACUCAAUCCUCAAUUUUAGGAAUUACUAAAAUAUCCACAGGCUCAUGAAUUACAAAAUCAAUGAAAUGACAUAAUUAUUUUCCAUAAAUCGGAAUUAUGACUAAAUUUAUACAGUAAACUCGAAACAAACAUCUAUCCAUAAUUUACAACUCCCGUGUCGAUAGAAUUACCAAAAUACCCUCGAAUAUGUAAAUCAUGAAAAUACUCUGAAAUCGUAAAUCACUGAAUUACCCUCAAAAUUGUAAUUACACUCAAUCCUCAAUUUUAGGAAUUACUAAAACAUCCACAGGCUCAGGAAUUACAAAAUCACCCUCAAAAUGUGAAAUUACUGAAUUGCCCUUGCCGGUCAAUGGUGGCCGAAAUUCAAGCAACAGUGACCGGAAAGCUCAGGUUAGACACUUCUCGCUGAGCUAAGUUCAAUGAUACUGGCGGUGUGCUCCCACGCUUGGCGACGACACCGGAAUCUAGCUCGACAGCCCUGUAACUACAACGGCUGAACCACAGCAAAUCGACAGCUCUCGGUGGCUGUGGAUGGUCGGAAAAUCAAAAGGGAGUUGUGGGGAACAAAAUCCAGCCAGUGGUGUCACCCAAAACCGCCGAAAAUCUCGACAGAGCAAAGUGGAAAAGUCGCGGGUUUUUCAAGCUUUGGUCGCCGAUGUUCUGGUUGUUUUUCGAUAACGUGGACGGCUGGGGUAUGAUGGCCAGACUUCAAGCCUCAGAUUGGUACCAAGCUUGACCGGUGGAGUGGCCGAAAUCGUAAGAUAUGGCCGAGUCAAUUUCGGGUCAAACAGGUCGGGUUUUUGGGUCGGUUUUGACAGCUUCUCUCUCACUCUCUCACACGUGUAUUUGUUACCCCAUUUCCAGCUUCUUCAUUUACUUUUUAACCGCCUCACCUCUUUUUUUUCACAUAUGUUACAAUCCUCCCCACUUAUAAAAAUUUUGUCCUCGAAAUUUACGUACCUAAUAAGAAAAGAUAAGGAUACUGAGCUCGCAUUAAGUCUUCGCAUUCCUAUGUAGCCUUUUCCUUUGUAUGAUUCCUCCAUCGUACUUUUCCUAGAGGAAUGGUCUUAGAACGCAGAACUUGGUGUUUCUCUUCUAGUAUCUCCACUAGUUCCUUUUCGUAAGUCUAAUCUUCCUUCAACUGAAUUGGUUGCUUCGAUAACACAUGGUUCGGAUCAUAUAUGUACUUUCGGAACAUUGAGACAUGAAACACAUCGUGGACUCUGGAUAACUCUGGUGGUAGAGCUAAUCGAUAAGCUAACAGACCGAUGAGCUCAAUGAUCUCAUAAGGCUGAAUGUAACGUGGUCUUAGCAUCCCACGUUUCCUAAAUCAAAGCACCCCUUUCCAAGGAGAUAUUCGUAUGAAAACUCUAUGACCAACUUCAAAUUCAAGUUCCUGCCUACGCUUGUCUGCAUAACUCUUCUAUCUAUCUUGGGCCACUUUUAAUCUAUCCUGGAUCAAUUGUAUCUUGUCGUCAACUUGGUGCCUACAGCAUUUUGCAAGCUGGUCCAGAACUUAGAAGUAAACCGGGAAUCUCUAUCUGAGACUAUGGACACGGGUACUCCAUGAAGUCGAACUAUCUCAGCCAUAUAAAUACUCCCUAACUUGUCCAUCGAAUAGGUGGUUUUGAAUGGUAAAAAGUGAGCAGAUUUUGUAAGUUGAUCAACAACCACCAAAAUACUAUCAUGUCCUUUCUGAGUACGUGGAAGUCCCGCUAUAAAAUCCAUAGUGAUGUGCUCCCAACUUCCACUCAGGAAUAGAAAGCGACUGAGAACACCUUGUAGGCCUUUGGUGUUCAGCUUUAAUCUGCUGACAGACUAAACAUCGAGAAAUAAAUUCUGCUAUCUCUCUCUUCGUGCCCUUCCACCAACAAUGAUCCCUCAGGGUGUUGUACAUCUUCGCCCUACCAUGAUGCAUCGCAUAAGCCGAACAGUGAGCUUAUUCCAUAAUCUCUUCUUUUAGAUCCUUAAUAUCAGGUACACAGAGUCUAUUACCCAUGACUAAGACUCUGUCGUCUCUUACCGUAAAAUCGGUUCGUAAACAUUUUUGCACAUCCUCUUUCAACUUCAUUAAUUGUGGGUCCUGAGCUUGCAUUUGGUGAACUUUGUCAAUCAAAGUCGGCCUAACUCGAAAGUUAGCUAUUAAAGCUCCACAAUUGUCAGCGUUCAACUUGACUUCCAAAGAUCUCAACUCGAUCAACAGAGGCAUAUAUGUCAUUCGUAAGUGAGCUAUAAAGCUGGAAGACUUUUUACUUAGUGCAUCAUGUACCACAUUCGCUUUGCCCGGAUGAUAAUCAAUAGUGCAAUCGUAGUCCUUAAUUAGCUCGAUCCAUCUCCUCUAUCUCAAAUUUAGCUUUUUCUAAGUAAAUAAAUACUUGAGACUCUCAUGAUGGGUGAAAAUCUAACACGUUGCCCCAUAUAGGUUAUGCCUCCAUGUCUUGAGUGCCAAUACCACUGCUGCUAGCUCUAGGUCAUGUGUUGGGUAGUUUUGCUCAUGCUUCUUAAGUUGUCUAGAACCAUAAGCCACCACUUUAUCAUGUUGUAUUAACACACAACUCAAUCCUUGCCUAGAGGCAUCGUUGUAUACCACAAAUCCUUCAUUACCAAAUGGAAGUGUAAGAACUUGUGCUGAGGUCAAACGUAUCUUAAGUUCUUGAAAACUCUUUUCACAAUCAUCAUCCCAUUAAAACUUAGCAUUCUUUUUGGUUAACCGUGUUAGAGGAGUAGCAAUCUUAGAGAAUCCCUCCACAAAUCUACGAUAGUAGCCAGCCAACCCCAGGAAACUUCUAACCUCUGUGACAUUUGUAGGCCAUUCCUAUUUCACAACAGCUUCAAUCUUUUGAGGAUCAACAUAAUGCCUUCAGCUGAUAUCACAUGGCCUAAAAAUACUACUCUGUCCAACCAGAACUCGUACUUGCUGAACUUGGCAUACAACUGCUUUUGUCUCAAAGUCUGUAAAACAGUCUGCAAAUGCUCUGCGUGCACCUCCUCACUUCGAGAAUACACCAAGAUAUCAUCAAUGAAUACAAUCACAAACCGAUCCAGGUACGGGCGAAAUACCUUAUUCAUAAGGUCCAUAAAAGCUGCUAGAGCAUUUGUCAACCCAAAUAGCAUCACCAAGAAUUCAUUUGUCCAUAAUAGGUUCUAAAUGUUGUUUUAGGAACAUUGGCCUCUUUAAUUCUAAGCUAAUGGUACCUCGGGCACAAAUCGAUCUUAGAAAAUACUUUCGCCCCCUGAAGUUGAUCAAACAAGUCAUCAAUACACGGAAGUGGAUACUUAUUGUGUACCGUAACUUUUUUCAACUGUCUGUAGUCGAUGCAAAGUCUAAAAGUCCCAUUUUUUUUCUUAACAAACAAGACUGGAGCUCCCCGCGGGGACACACUAGGUCUAUUAAACCCUUUAUCUACCAACUCUUGCAAUUGAAACUUCAGUUCCUUCAACUCUGCUAGAGCCAUCCUGUAUAGUGCCAUAGAUAUAGGAGAUGUUCCAGGGACUAAGUCAAUAGAAAACUCAUCUUCCCUGUUAGAUGGCAUCUUAGGAAAUUCAUCUGGAUGGCCUACUACUAGAGCCACCCUCUGCCCAGCUCUGGCUAUGCUUCUGCUUCAGUGCACAAACUUUGCAUCCCUCUGAAAUAUUGUGCUCUACUCUCCUGGCUGCCUCAACUACCUCUCCAAACUCAGUGUAUCGUAAUGCAGUCACGGUGGUACGAAUCUCAAAUCGGAGGCUUUCCUCAAACCAUUUGCAUCUCUCUUUCUCAUCACCGACUACAGAUGUAGCAAAUCUAAAGAGGUCUAAAAAUUUCUUCUCAUACUCCUCAACUGUCAGGGAUCCCUGAACUACCAGAAGGGAUUCACUCCGUUUAAUAUCCUAAUACACAGCUGGAAAAUAAUGAUUGUAGAAUUCCUUAUGGAAAAUGCUCCAAGUAAUCGCAGCAUGCCCCUGAUAUCAUCUUUCCACUGUCUGCCACCAAUGGUAAGCUCUAUCCUCGAGCAAGAAAGUGGCAAAGGAUAAUCUGUCAUCCUCUGAACACUUCAUCAUGUCAAAAGUACGCUCUGACUUAACAAACUAUGACUCAGCCUCAAGUGGUUCUUCGGAAACAUUUAAGUUUCUCACUCGCUCAAUAAUGAUUGCAUUGCCAGCAUGCUCUUGAGUCUGAUUCUGCACAACUGUAGUCAUGAUCUGAGCUAGCCUAUCAAAUGACUGCUCAAUAUUUGGGGCAAUCCCUGGCGCCUAUUGUGCAAUUUCAUAUGUGGAGGAUUCAACUACCCCUCUUUCACAAGUUCACUUUCCCCCAUAGGUACCCCACUAGAAGACAACCCAACUACUGGCCUAGUACGGCCACGACUACGUCUACUGCUACGACAAAGCAUGAUGGUGCCUACAAGAUAUAAAUUCUAACUUUAAUAAAAAAAAUAAAACUUAUUCUUACUAAGGUAGUAAAGUCUGCAAAAUCUAAAACCAUGCUCUAAUACCAACUUAAACAACCAGCCCCAAACCCCAGGGUGAGUCUAUCUAAUAAUAAUCUAAUUGGUAAAGAUUCUGCCGAAAAUUCGAUAGAGUUUCCUUUAUAAAUAUAACACUCCCAAUCUGAAAAAAUGUAAAACAAGCACUUCCAAAAUAAUUCAAUUUACAACAAACUCCAAUAAUCAACAUCCUCAACCAAAAUACUAAGUUUUUCCCAAGAUAACUCUAGAAUCUCAAAGGAUAAUAUUAUAACUAAUAUUAAUAUACCUCAAUUUAUUCUUAAUCCCAAAAGAAUAAUAUAACAAAAUUAUACAAGCCCAAAAGAACGAGAUAACCACGAUGUCCUAACAAAAAGCAUCUAUUUCUUCUAAUACCAACACGUAGCAAAGACUCAAAAUGCAUUUACAGUCGCUGGGUUGGUCUGGUGUAUCUGCAACCUCCUGGUGGGGGGAAAAUAUAAUAAAAACGGAAUGAGUAUAAGCCUUAGUGAGCUCAAUGAGUGGAUAGUAAUUUUUGAAAAUUAAUUCCUACUUUAAAAGAAAUAAUCAUAUCAUUUCCAAAUACGAUUUUAUCAAACCAUAUGCGAGAAACCAGUAAUAAGUCAUUUAACAUUUAAAUCAGAUUGCUAACCGUGAAAAGCAUAAAUAAUAUCGUACUUAAUAACCAUGGAAAUCAUAUCACGAUAUUAUAUAGAAUAUACAGAUCUGAAAAUCAUUACCAAACAAUUAUCCAGGGGAAUAAACUCGUCGUAUCCAAACCUCAACGGACGGGCAAUGACUUACUAUCUAGGUACCGUCACGCCCCAUAGCUACACGGAUAGACAAGGAAAUACAAUCUCAUAUCUCAUCAUAUUUGUGCAUGCAUAAUCUAGUCCCUAAAGGACAAAAGCGCCCAAGCACAAGGCCCAAAGCUUCUAUGUGUACUCAGACGAGCCCCAAAGGCCUGUAUCUCAUCUGUAUCAUCUGUAUCUCAAUAUCUGUCUGUAUCUCAUAUUUGUAUGUCUGCAACCAUCAUACCCCAUGUAUAUGCCCCCAAAAUGCUAAAGCGCCCAAACACACGGUCCAAAGCCUCUAUGUGUGUUCAGACGGGCCCCAAAGGCCUCUCAUCUCAUUUGUAUCAUUGUAUGUGGAGAGAAGGGUACUGUCCAAUGAUUUUAAAAACAAUCUCUAUACUCAUAUUCAUAUACAUUCUAAUCAUAUCUUUCUUUUCAUUAUCACGUCUAAAUCCACUUUUCUCAUCUUUAAGAUACUAUCAUAUUUUAUUCAAGUCCAUACGGAAAACCAUUAACCAAACAUUUUAAUAUAAUAUCAAUGCAUGAAUAAAAUCCAUUUCGAGAAAAUCAUUAAAUCAGAAUAUUUAAAAUAUUUAUUUCGCAAACAUACUUUACUAUCAUAAUUAACCAUGAAAAUAGGUUUUGUAUAUUCCACUCACAGUGACGGUGUUCACGCUCGGUUAUCGUCCACGUCCGCGGACUGAUUAUCGCUUGCAGAUCCUCCUAAAUCAAGGAAACGACAUAAUUAUUUUCCAUAAAUUGGAAUUACGACUAAAUUUAUACAAUAAACUCAAAAACGAACAUCUAUCCAUAAUUUCGGGUCAAACGGGUCGGGUUUUUGGCUCGGUUUUUACAGCUUCUCUCUCACUCUCUCACACGUGUAUAUGUUACCCCAUUUCCAGCUUCUUCAUUUACUUUUAUUUACUUUUUAACUGCCUCACCCCUUUUUUUCACAUAUGUUACAAAUAGGGUUUAAUUUAUUCAAUUCCUAGCUAAUUUAGUUAAAUUCCAAUUUAUUAGGAAUAUCGUUUCCUGGUUUUAACUAGAUGUCUAAUUUAGCAAGUCAAUUAGUGACAUGAUUUUUAUAAAUGGUGCGUGGGAUUUAUUUAGAGGAAGAAGUUAGUUCAAACAAAAAGUUUAUUAAAUGCUCUAGAUAUUUCUUAGGAGAUAAGUAAGGUAAGCAUAUCAUUUUUAUUCCUAUUCAGAUUUAUAGGAAUUAUAAGAGGAAAAAAAUUCUUAUUUGGAAAGAAUCCUAGGCUUUUAACGACAGUCUUAAUAAAUUUUUUCACAUCAGCCUCAUACUCAUCAAACAAUAUAUCAUAUUUAAUCCAAGAUUUAUCCAUUUUUGUUUAGUACCUGACAUAUAAUUGAGACAAAUUUCAACAUAAUGUACUAAUGGGCAGCAAUGAUAAAUAGUUUCCAUUAUCAAUAAAUUAAGCAACAAAACAUUAUUAAUAUUCAGUUUAUAAAUUUAAUGAAAUAAAUAAAUUUAAAAAUAAAAACUUGUCAUCAUGUGCAACAAACAUAACUUCACCAACGUGCUGUCAUCAUUUACCAAAACCCACUAAUAAUAUCCUAAAUAAUUUAGCCCACAUACAUUUAACAUUUAUUUAAAAGAAAUUUUAACAAUCCGGUAUUUCAUGGACCGCAACACUAUAUAUAUAUAUAUAUAUAUAUAAAUACAAACGCAACUAUACAUUCCUUGGUCCACAUGACCAAACUUACCAUUUCUUUCAAACAUAAAAAAAAAUUGAAAACGGGGGCCUCACUUUUCAACUCAAUAAAAUACACUAGAAAGUAUUGAAAAAGGGGGCCUCACUAUUCAAGCGUCACCAUUAGCUUGGAUGUAUGUAAAGAUGAUUUGAACCCAUAGUUGUUGCAUAAAAACCUUUGUUAUCUUUACUUUUGUUGUCAAAAUUAUUAUUGUAAUUUUUUUAAUGGUAGAAGUAGAACCUAAUCCCUCACAAUUAUCAUUUAAUAAUAUGUUAAUUACCAAACACUAUUAUUUUUUUAUUCAUACCUAGUAGUGAUUUAAAUUUGAAAAGCGACAAAACCAGAAACCAAUUUUUAAUAUAUAAUAAACCAAUUAUUAUUAUUUUUUUUUACGGUGAAAUGUAAGGAUCCAUUUAAAAAAAAAAAACACCAACAUUACAAUGACUGAAUUAGAAACGAAAAUCACAGCAACAUUAUAAUUGCAUUCAGUCUCUACGUCUCCUCCUCCUCCUUGUUGCCUUUUGCUGCGUUCCCAACUUCUCCAGAAUCCAUCCGAUAAUUCCUGUGCUGAAGUUGAACCCGAGAACCAAUCCUGCCACAAGUCCGCCCGCAUAGCCAGUCAGAAUGAUUUUCCAAUCAGAUGCGCCUGAAAACAGGGACUCCUCCGAGCCUUCAGUAUGAUCUUCAUUUGUUGCAGCUUCACCACUCUCACAUCCUUUGGACAAUGGCUUUCCACACAAUCCUGAGUUGCCGUCGAAAGAAGUAUUGUCAAAUGUAGCAAAUUGCUUUCCUUGUGGUAUAGGCCCUGUAAGGUAAUUGUCUGAGACAUUGAAGAAUUCGAGAAAUGUGAGCUCAACCAAUUGUUGAGGAAUCCGUCCUGAAAACUUGUUAUUUGAGAGAUCCAGUGAUUCCAAAUUUGUUAGAUUGCCCAAACAUGACAGAAUAAGGCCUUGGAGAUUAUUGUGCUGGAGGUUUAGAACUUGAAGUCCCUUUAAAUUUGCAAUCGAUGCUGGAAUCGCCCCAACAAAUCUAUUAUUUGAGAGAAUAAUGCCCGCAAGGAUAUCCGGAAUCUUUUUAUAUGUCAUCAUUCGCCCUUUGCUGCUCAUUGUCAUUGAGUAGUCAUAAGUGCUAAGUACAUUAUUGGUCACUUGUCCAUACGAAGAAAGCACAUCUUGCAGAUAUCUUAGCUCACUUGUAUUGACAAUUUUCAUGGCAUUCCAACACAGGAAACUCUUUGAUGGAAGCUUUCCAGUAAAUCUGUUGUUAGAUAGGUCAAUAAUGCGGAGUUUAGAAAAUCCACAACCAGUUCUGGGUUCUUCUAUAACACCAUAAAAUAUGUUGGAUCGUAGGAUGAGAACAUUCAAUUUUGGAAGAGUUCCUAACCAAGAGGGAAAAGUGUCACUAAUCUGGUUGUUCCCAAGACUAAGAAAUUCCAACUUUGAACAGUUGAUCAAUGAUCUUGGAAUUCUUCCUUGAAACAGAUUAUGGCUUAAAUCAAUCACGCCUAAUCUACUUUCUUUAAUGAAAGUAUUUGGGAUGGUCCCAAAGAAGUUGUUCCUCUGCAAGUCGAGCACUGAAAGUUCAUCGCUGAAAUUGCCUAAACACUGAGGAAGCAAGCCACUUAAGUUAUUGUGAGACAAAACAAGGCUUUCAAGAAUAUUCAAAUUGCAUAUCCACGAUGGAAUUUCCCCUGUUAAGCUAUUGUUUGAAGCUAGAUAGUUAACGGUUCCGAGGGGUGGAACUGGGAGUGGUCCUUGUAAAUUAUUAGAGCUAAGAUCAAAAGUCACCAAAUCACCGAUAUUCCCUGGAAGAAGAACAGGAUGCUGAUCAAACCCGGUUAACAAGUUAUGCGAAAGGUUCAAGGCAUUGAGAUUAUGCAUAUUGGGGUCUAACAACCAUUUAGGUACUUUUCCCUGAAUUUUAUUGUCAGAAAGGUCCAGGACCACCAAAUGACUUUGGUUUUCCAAGAAAUUUGGAAAUUUGGUAAGAUUACAUGAACGUAGUCCUAUGUACUGAAUUUUCUGUGAAGUGGUAUUAGAAGUGGCUUUGGUGAGCACUGACAACCUAUUUAAUGAGAGACCUAAAACUUCCAAAUUUUUCCAGCAAGUAAGUAAAACAUCUAACUCUAUCGUUCCGCUAAAAGAAUUUCGAGCCAAGUCAAGGACGAAAAGUUGGGUAAGAUUCCUAAGUGAAGGUGGAAUUUGACCUGCAAAAUUACACUUGGCGAUAUGUAUUACUUCCAAUGACCUAAGAUUUCCAAUGGAACCAAGUAUGUCACCGGAAAAAUUAUUCAAUCCAAGAUACAAAAAUUGUAGCCGGGUGAAAUUACCAAUCGAAUGUGGAACUUUGCCCCAAAAACUACAUGACCUUAGAUCUAAUAGCCUCAAAGAACUGAAAUUUCCAGUCGACCAUGGAAACUCACCCGAAAAUUUAUUGAAUGAAAGGUCAAGUUUUUCCAAAGAAAAAAGAUUUCGAAUGGAAGUAGGCAACUCACCAAAAAAUCCAUUUUGUGAAAGGUCGAGUUCUUUCAAAGAACCAAGAUUUCCCAUGGAAAUAGGCAACUCACCAAAAAAUCUAUUUUGUGAAAGGUCAAGUUCUUUCAAAGAACUAAGAUUUCCAAUGGAAAUAGGCCACUCACUCGACAAAAAAUUUGCAGAGAGAUCUAGUUCUUUCAAAGAAUGAAGAUUACCAACGGAAAUAGGCAGUUCACCCUGUAAUUCAUUUAGUGAAAGGUCUAAAUGAAGGAGUUUCGAUAGAUUACCGAGUGAAGAUGGAAUUCUUCCUGAAAUUUGUAAAAAAAAAAAAACACAUUGCUUAAGUAGAAAAUUAAAAAUAAUAAAAAAUUUUACUAAUGAAUUUAACAUCAGAAUUGGCAAUUUUCGAGUAAUAUAUAUAUAUUUAACAAUAACAUGCAUGUAUAUUAAUUAAGGAGAAAAUAUAUAGAAUUUAAUUACCUUGCAAUUCACAGUUUCGAAGAGAAACAAACGUCAAAGAAGAUAGAUUUGCGAAGUUAUGAGGUAUCGUUGACUGAAUAGAAACAUCACCAAGGUCAAGUGUUGUUAGAUUGCUUAACUUCUCGACUAAAUUUACGAAACUGGGCUUCUGAAGUUCCAGUCUACCAUCAGGAACAUCAUUUAGUGAUAAAUCAAGGGACACCAAGUUGGAGAGCCUUAGAAUUUCUGAUGGUAUUUGGCCAGAUAAAGAAGUUCCAGAGAGGUUCAAGUAUGAUAACCUGGAAAGGUUGAUGAUUUCUGGUGGGAUUUCGGAGGAAUUGAAGUCAUUCAAAGCAAGAUUAAGCCACUCAAGAUGGACAAGCUUGAAAAGGCUGCUGCUAGAGUUGAUAGAACCAAAAAGGCAGCUGUGGGAGAGGUCAAGCUUGAUGACAUGACCAGUGUUCUUAUUGCAAUGAACGCCGUCCCAAGAGCAGCAAUCAACGUUACCUUCUUCUGGCUUCCAUGAUGCCAUUGUAGGACGACAGUCAAAUUUCCAAGCAUAAAAAUCACCACUGAUGAUGCUUUCUUUGAAUUGCAACAAAGCAGAGCGCUCAUCAUAAUGGCAGAGUGGCAGCAUAGAAGAAGCAGUGACGUUAGCAAUUGUUAAAUUAAAGAAAAUGAAGGGAAAAACUAACCGUAUGAAUAUUGUGAAUAAACAUAUGGAGGAUAAACCCAUAGUUUUCUCAAAAAUAAAAUUUGUUUAGCUUUGUAGAUGUGAAGAAAUUUAAGGAUCUUUGGUUUGCUUUUAUAGGCAAAUUGCAGCAAUUCAAACAUUAUAGUCAUUGGACUCUUUUUUUAUAUUUUUAAAGUCAACAAAACUUCGUCUUAAUAAUAUUUAUUUUAUAUUAUUUGAUGUGAUGUCGUAAACUUUUACCAUUCCGUCACCACCGAAAAUACGUUUAUAGCAAACGUGAGGAUUAAUUAAUUAGUAAAUGCGAACAAUCGCAUCAAUACGGUGUCGGGCUGUUGGAUUUUUAAUUCUAACUUUAUUCUUUUUUUUCUUUUUCUUUCUUUUUUACUUUUCACUUCACUUUAACAAUCCUGGAUUGUGGGAAAAAAGUUCAUUCCUUUACAUCCCUUUUUCCACAUAAAUCUACUCAUAAAAGAAUUACAGAAAUGAUUUCUGAAUCUACAAAAUGGAAUCAAGUGAAUGCAAUCUUCCAAUCAUUCAUAUUCCCCUUUCCACAUAAAUCAACUCAUAAAAGUGAUGCUUACAAUUAUGUCCAGAUUCACACCAGUAUAGCAAAAUAAACUUCUUUUAGAUUUCCCAAAUAGACGCUGUUGGUUAUUUUGCAAAAAAAAUUCAGGAUCGAAGUAAAAAACAUAAAAUCUAAAAUAGGGUAAAAGCUUAUAACGAACAUAAAACAAAAUAAAGAAAGAGUAUACAUUAUGCUAUAAGUGUUUAAAGAAAAUUACGUACAGUGUCUUCUAUGUCUCCUGUUUCUCCUCAUUGUUUUUGGCCAUCCCAAAUUUCUCAAUCACCCUCCUGAGUAUUGAACAAGCAAAUAUUAUUAGUUAUAAUAAAUAACUUAAUGAUGAUAAUUUUUUUGUCACCAAGUCCUUAUCAAAAACCAUUAGACUACUCUUGCACUGGUGUUUACCGUAUGUGUAAUAAAUCAAUCUUUUUUUUUUUUUGGUUUGAAAAAAUGAAAAACAUAAUUCCGAAGUGGUCCAGACCACUUGAAAUUUAAAAAACAAAAUGAUAAAUAUUAUUUGGAUAUGAUAUCAACUCAAAAUACAAACAACUGGCGAAAAAUGGUGAAUUCCAUUCCUUAACCGAAGUUUAUUAAAUAAAAAAAAAAACUAGUGAAAAAAAAUGAUAAUUAAAUAAAUUUUAAUGGAAACAAAGUCACAAUAGUAGAAGUGACAAUUUUGGGCACCAUUAACUAAUUAAUCAGACACAAACACAAGACAAAUUAAUGAAUUUGGAUUUACUAAAAUUGACAUGAUUUUCAAUUUAGAUCAAUUACAAACCUUUCAUUUAAAUUAUAGUCAACAGACGAUCAAUUUCAGAGACUCAAGACUAGUAAUUAGAAGUCUUUGCACACUCUGUACAUAUGCCGUGUCAGAAAAUUAUUUCUUAGUUUUUAAGAUAAGAAUGACGAAAGAGAGAUGUAUUUUUGGACACUGUUGUUCUAAGUCAACUAAAAUUAAAAUUGGCCAUAUAUCAUUAUAAUGGAUGUUAAGAUAAUUUGAACUCAUAGUUGUUGGAUAAAAAAACAUUGCUAUUUUUAUUUUUGUUCACAGAAUUGUUAUUAGUAUAGUUCUUUUAAAGUUCUCAAAAUUUUCAUUUAAAAAAAAUAUGUUCCUACAAUAUACCCAAAAAAAAAAAAAUUGAACGCAAAAAAGAAAACAAUUUUUUAAAAUAUAACACAGAUAAUAAUGGUGAGAGUAAUUUAGGUCAAUUCAAAAUCGCUAAUUUGGAGUCAGAUUCAUGUAUUAAUUGUAUCAUAAGUUACCAUCUCUGUGUCUAUGGCGUGGCAGAGGCUCACGGAAACUCCAUACUAGUGAGUCUAUCGUUACUGAAAAAUGCAUGAAUGGCAUGGAUGCAAAAGUAAUAAAAUUUGGAACUGAUGAUUAAGCCAUUAGCUAACAAUAAUUAACUUCUGAAGAGGCAACGUCCCACCCCAAAAAAAAAAGUAAAAAAAAUGAUUUAAUGUGUUAUUAACAAUCUAUCCAGAAAAAAAAAAAAUUAUUCAAUAGGAUCUAUCGAACUUGACCUGCGUUUAUAUUUCCUUUCUUUUUCUAUAAUUUUUCAUCUAAUGGGUCAAUGAAUUAAUUUGCUUCUUUUUUCUUUUUUUUCCUCCUUUCCCCACUUGUAUUUCCCUUCACGGCCCGUUGAGUAUUCUGCAUACUCGAGGGUAUGUCAUUGUCUUGAUGACUUUUCACUACAACUCUAAAAUUUUCCUCCCCAUGGCAUGUUGAUAUUAACUCCAAAUUAGCAAUAUUAUCACUGUCACUCUUCUUUGUAAACUACGCACUCGUUGGUUGAGUGAUGACACCUCCUCAACUUAAUUAUUCUCAGGGUCAAGAAUUUGAGUUUUACUCCUAGAUUUCUUAGCCGAUCUGCCAAUGCGCCAAUUUGUAAUGAGCUUUAGCUGAUGGUUUCUGAGAUGGGCUCUAAUUAGUGCACCUAAAAUGUAACAAAUAUCUCACGUUAACAACCCAAAAUUCCAUAAUAUCAUGCAAAAUCAUUCUAGAAGUUAAAAUUAGGUGUUAAUCCGAUACAAACACCAGAAAAAUUAAUGAAAUUUGGAUUUACUAAAAUUGGCAUGAUUUUUUAAUUUAGAUCAAUUAAAAAUAUUUCAUUUUAUAGUGUCGGAUUCCCUAUAAGUCGUCAUAAAUCAUUAUCCAGACGAUCAAGGCCGGCGGAUAAAGACUCAAGACUAGAAUUAGAAGUCUUCGAGUACCAAUCAUAUGUCGUGUCAGAAAAUUCUUUCUUAGUUCAAGCCAACUAAAGUUGAAUUCGCCAUAUCAUUAUAAUGGAUGUUAAUAUUGCUAACUUGGAGUCAAAAGUCAUGCGUUGAUUGCAUUUGUAUUGUCUGAAUGACUAGGACGUGGCAAAGGCUCAUGGAAUAGAUCUGCUUCUUUUUUCUCCUUUCCCCACUACCACCAGUUCACUUAACUUUUCCUUCACGGCAUGCUGAAUGAGAUCUUCUACUCCAUCAGUGCAUUUAGGAUUAGAUUUCUAAUUUGUCCGAUGUCUCUGCAUUUUCUUGAACUUUCUACUCUUCCUCGUGUAAUUAAGGAGGAUUAAAGUAAAAGAAAUGGGUAGAACCAGUUAUCCCUAUUUGUUGCACUAGCUAUCAGAUUUCCAUAUUAUAGUAAUUAUUGGCCAAAAACAUAAUUUUUUAUUUAAAUUGUCAAAAAGACUUGAAUGUUCUUAUCCUAAAAUAAGUUCCAUUAAAACAAUCAUAAUAUUUAUGGCAUGGUCCUACUUAAACCAGUAAAAUCUCUUGAACUAAUUUAAAGGUUCAAUCCUGCUCACAUGAGUAAGGAGAGGAUAGGGUAUUUUUUUAAAAUUUUAUUGUAUUGAAUUUUGCACUUUCAAUACUUCUACGUAGUUAUUAGGGAAAAAGACAUUCAACCCCCCAACGUUUAGGAAAAGGGACAAAAAACCCCUCAACAUUUCAAAAAGGACUUAUAACACCCUUUCCGUUAAUAAACACCGUUUGUUUUAACAGUAAAUUUAUUUUUAAUUUUUAAUUACUAUUAUACCCUUAUAAUAAAUAUAAAUUAAUAUAUUGAUUUGAGACAUGUCACAAUUAAUAAUUUUUUUAAAACUAAAAAUUGAGAUACAAUUACAUUUUUGCCCAAAUUAUUUGCUAUAAAUUAUACAUUUCUAAUGAUCAAACCUUUCAUAUAUGAUUAUUACUAAUAAAACGAAAUUUGAUUAAACCCUUUUUCUUUGAGGAAUCAAAACGAUAUUAUUAUUGUUAGAAAGGUAUAAUUUAUAGUAAAUAAUUUUGGCAAAAAAAUAAUUGUAUCUCAAUUUUAAGCUUUUAAAAAAUUAUUAAUUGUGAUAUAUCUCAAAUUAAUAUAUUAAUUUUUUUAUAAGGGUAUAAUAGUAAUUAAAAAUUAAAAAUAAAUUUACUGUUAAAACAAACGGUAUUUGUUAACGGAAAAGGGGUUAUAAGUCCUUUUUAAAACGUUGAGGAGUUUUUUGUCCAUUUUCCUAAACUUUUGGGGGUUGAAUGUCCUUUUCCCUAGUUAUUACGAUUUCAUCAAGUUUACGAUGUUAAUGAUCAAACAGUACACUUUCUAAACCAACUAAAAUAGUACCCAGCUAGCUAAUUAGAUAACGGAUUAAUGGAAUAGAUGUGGAUGUCUAGUUUUAGAGUUUGAUUUUUUUUUUUAAUUAAUCAAAGAAAACAUAUUUUUAAUUUUGGGUUAUUGUACUAUUAAUUAAUAAUUUAAUUAAAAAAAAUUAUUUAUUUGCUUUCAUUCUAGUUGUUGAAAAUGCCUUUAAUAGGGGUUGGUUCAAUAUUUGGUUAGACUCUGAUUUCAUGCCGGCGAUCCAACUCCUUCUCUUCAUCCCUCUUUGACCAUUUGCAAUGUACUUGCAUUGCAAAUGUCUGUAGUCAAACUUGGGUCUUCAAUGUACUCACAUCCCUUGGUAGGAUUUCUCUCCUUCAAAGAUUAACGCUCUUUCUUCUCGAGAUGCAAAUGGCUUUUCAAAUUGUCAUUUUUGUUAAUGUAGGUCCUACAUUCAUGGUUUUCUUAAGAUUUUAUAUCAUCUUAGCUUUAUGCAUUUAAAGAGUGAGAUUUUAUAUCACCUUAGCUUUAUGCAUUUAAUGAGGGAUAGGGUUUACUAUAUCCCCUAAUUAAUUGUGUUAAGUUUAUUUUUUAUAGAGUUGACAUCUUAUGGCAAGUUUGGUAAAUUGAAAUUUUAUUUACUGAAUUUCAUGUAAUAGUGAAAUGGCCCGCCCCGAACCCCAGGGUGAGUCUAUUUAAUCUCAUCAAAACUGGAUUGAUAAUAAUCUAAUUAGUGAAAAUUCUGUCGAAAAUUCGGCAAAGUCUCCUUUAUAAAUAUAACACUCCCAAUAUGAAAAUAUGUAAAACAAGCACUUCUAAAAUAAUUCAAUUUAUAACAAACUCCAAUGAUCAACAUCCUCAACCAAAAUGCUGAGUGUUUCUCAAGAUAUCUCUAGAGUCUCAAAGGAUAAUAUUAUAAUUAAUAUUAAUAUACCUCAGUUUAUUCUUAAUCCCAAAAGAACGAGAUAACCAGGAUGCCCUAACAAAAAGCAUCUAUAUCUUCUAACACCANNNNNNNNNNNNNNNNNNNNNNNNNNNNNNNNNNNNNNNNNNNNNNNNNNNNNNNNNNNNNNNNNNNNNNNNNNNNNNNNNNNNNNNNNNNNNNNNNNNNGUGGGGGGGGGGGAAUAUAAUAAAAACGGGAUGAAUAUAAAAAUCAAUGAGUGGAUAGUAAUUUUUGAAAAUUAAUUCUUACUUUAAAAGAAAUAAUCAUAUCAUUUCCAAACACGAUUAUAUCAAACCAUAUGCGAGAAACCAGUAAUAAAUCAUUUAACAUUUAAAUCAGAUUACUAACCAUGAAAAGUAUAUAUAAUAUCAUACCUAAUAACCAUGGAAAUCAUAUCACGAUAUCAUAUAGAAUACACAUAUAUGAAAAUCAUCACCAAACAAGUACUUAGGGGAAUAAUCUCGUCGUAUUCGGACCUCAACGGACGGGCAAUGACGUACUAUCUAGGUACUGUCACGCUCCGGAGCUACAUGGAUAGACAGGGAAAUACCAUCUCAUAUCUCAAAUGACAACAACGCCCAAGCACACAGCCCAAAGCCUCUAUGUGUACUCAGACGAGCCCCAAAGGCCUGUAUCUCAUAUGUAUCAUCUGUAUCUCAAUAUCUGUCUGUAUCUCAUAUCUUUAUCUCUGUAACCAUCAUACCGCAUGCAUAUGCCCCCAAAAUGUAAAAGCGCCCAAACACACGGCCCAAUGCCUCUAUGUGUGUUCAGAUGGGCCCCAAAGGCCUCUCAUCUCAUAUGUAUCACUGUAUCUGGAGGGAAGGGUAAUGUCCAAUGAUUUUAAAAACAAUCUCUAUACCCAUACUCAUAUACAUUCUAAUCAUACUUUCAAUCAUACCUUUCUUUUCAUUAUCACAUCUAAAUCCACUUUUCUCAUCUUUAAGAUACUAUCAUAUUUUAUUCAAGUCAAUACAGAAAACCAUUAACCAAACAUUUUAAUAUAAUAUCAAUGCGUGAAUAAAAUUCAUUUCGAGAAAAUCAUUAAAUAAGAAUAUUUUAAAUACUUAUUUCGCAAACAUGCUUUACUAUCAUAAUUAACUAUAAAAAUAGGUUUUGUAUAUUCCACUCACAGUGACAGUGUUCACGCUCGGUUAUCGUCCACGUCCGUAGACUAGUUCUCACUCGCGGAUCCUCCUAAAUCAAGGAAACGAAAUAAUUAUUUUCCAUAAAUCGAAUUACAACUAAAUUUAUACAAUAAACUCGAAAACGAACAUCUAUCCAUAAUUUUGGGUCAAACGGGUCGGGUUUUUGGGUCGGUUUUGACAGCUUCUCUCUCACUCUCUCACACGUGUAUAUGUUACCCCAUUUCCAGCUUCUUCAUUUCUUUUAUUUACUUUUAUUUACUUUUUAACUGCCUCACCCCUUUUUUUCACAUAUGUUACAAAUAGGGUUUAAUUUAUUAAAUUCCUAGCUAAUUUAGUUAAAUUCCAAUUUAUUAGGAAUAUCGUUUCCUGGUUUUAACUAGAUGUCUAAUUUAGCAAGUCAAUUAGUGACAGGAUUUUUAUAAAUGGUGCGUGGGAUUUAUUUAGAGGAAGAAGUUAGUUCAAACAGAAAGUUCAUUAAAUGCUCUAGAUAUUUCUUAGGAGAUAAGUAAGGCAAGCAUAUCAUUUUUAUUCCUAUUCAGAUUUAUAGGAAUUAUAAGAGGAAAAAAAUUCUUAUUUGGAAAGAAUCCUAGUCUUUUAACUAUAGUCUUAAUAAAUUUUUUCACAUCAACCUCAUACUCAUCAAACAAUAUAUCAUAUUUAAUCCAAGAUUUAUCCAUUUUUUGUUUAGUACCUGACAUAUAAUUGAGACAAAUUUCAACAUAAUAUACUAAUGGGCAGCAAUGAUAAACGGUUUCCAUUAUCAAUAAAUUAAGCAACAAAACAUUAUUAAUAUUCAGUUUAUAAAUUUAAUGAAAUAAAUAAAUUUAAAACAAAAAAUUCUAACAAUCCGGCAUUUCAUGGACCGCAAGACUAUAUAUGUAUAUAUAUAUAUAUAUAUAUAUAUAUAUACACGCAACUAAGCAUUCCUUGGUACACAUGAACAAACUUACCAUUUCUUUCAAACAUAAAAAAACAAUUGAAAAAGGGGGCCUCACUUUUCAGCUCAAUUAAAUACACUAAAAAGUAUUAUCAGUUACCAAAUCUAACUCACAAUCAUUAAAAAAAGAAAAAUGAUAAACGAACAAAAAGAAGUGAAAGGACGAUAGAAACGGCAGCAUGAGCUGCUGUUUCACGCGUCCUUCUUACUCUACCAUUUGGCGUUUAAAAUAUUAAAAUAACACUUUAAAAAGGAAAAUGGUAUUCAAAUGCUGUUUCACGCGUCCUAAAAGCCACAUGUUCGUACGAGCAAACACCACACGCACGCACGCACGCAAAAAUCCAGUAAAAAACUCACGCGUCUCCCUCACCAAGCAGCAAGAUUCUCGAUCUCUCUCUCCCAACAUUCUCCAUCUCUCUCUCCCGUCUCAAUACUGGGUCAGUCUCAGCUUUGUUCUCCCUCACGACGCAGCAACAGUGAGAGAUCUCAGAGGUGUCUCUUGCUCCCUCACUCUCGCAGCCUCGCUAGCUCUCUUUGACCCAACCAUUAUCUGCUCCUCUGACCGUAUCCUCUCCUUUGACUGCCACUACAAAACUAGUCAUUUUCAACAAUUUCUUAUCGAAAAAAAUGGAACAAAAACCACAACCUUGCAGUCAACAGUGCUGCCGUUGAUGUGGUUCUGAUAGUUAAAUAGGUUCUGAUAUAUAGUUAAAGAAGAUUUUCUGGACAUGUCUAGUAGAUGCCCUGCUGUUGAUAUAGAUAGUUACAAGGCGAUAUUGUAUCAGCAAAUUUUUAUUCAUUCAUCAAGUCAUAGUGUAAGUUGUAGCAAUUAGGGAGAGAACCGAUGAGGAUGGAAAAAGAUCCGAGUGUCUUAUUGUCAGUGUUGUAGACAAAUUAAUUCUGUUAACCCAAAGUUGCAAUCUGAUUUUUGUUCUUUCAAAUGGAGUUCAAAUGCUGAAUUCUGCAGCUGCAAAGAAACCCGAACAAUUUCCAUUCCAUGCCUUCUCAAUGGUCAAUGGCCAAUUUGUGCCACUUAUAUGUAUCAACUGCAAAGCUGCCUCUGUUGACGUCGUGGUUGUCGGCACCAAACUCAAAUCUCGACGGCACCGAAUGCAGAUUUCUCAGCGUUUAAAUAGCAAGCCACUGAUUUUAUUUUAUUUUAUUUGGCUAUCGAAGUCGGAGUUCUGCCGCUUGGAGAAAGGAAAUGGCCGCAUUUUUUUUAAAGCUGUGGAACAACUGCAGGAGUAGAUCAGAGGCCUCCAUUUCUAAACUUUAUUGCGGGCCAUUGCUUAUUUCAUUGAGAUCAAACAUUUUUUUUGCACCAUUUUUUAACCAUUUUUUUAAUGUAUUUUGAUAAGAAGCAGCCACAGUCACUAGAGCCACGCAAGUCCAGCAGAGGGCAUAAGCCAAAUCCCAAGUACGUGACGUGAAGAUUUUCGGUUUAGCCUUGCAUGGUUCAUGCAUGCAUGGGUUCACGUGGGAAUAAUGCAUCAAAGUUGUUAGAGCAAGAAUCAAGGGAUUUUAUAGCUUCAACAAUCGUGUAGGAAUAGCAGAUAAGAUUGAAUCCUUAGUAGUUGUUGUUUAGCUUUGUGUUUCGUAAAAGUAGCAAGGGUGUUAUUUCAGUUUGAUUACAGCCGUGAUUGUAGGCUGAGUUUGUUAUGUUAGUAUUAUAAAUAAAGGCUCCAGCAAAAUAAAAAGCAUUCAGUCAACUAAAUCAAUUUAUCUUGGUCUUUGUUUUCUCGCCAGAAGCAGAAAACUCUUGUGGUUGAUUAGCUAACUUUGAUUGGGACCUAUCAUAUUUGUUGACCAUGGGGAAGAGUGAGAAGGACGCGUGAAACGGCACCAUUUGCUGUCGUUUCUGUCAUCCCUCUUUCUUAUGGCUAAAUAGCAUAACUCAAAAAGAAAUGUCAACACCAUUUGCAAUGAACUCCGUCCCAAGAGCAGCAGUCAACGUUACCUUCUUCUGGCUUCCAUGAUGCCAUUGUAGGACGACAGUCAAAUUUCGAAGCAUAAAAAUCAUUACUGAUGCGGCUUUCUUUGAAUUGCAACAAAGCAGAGCGCUCAUCAUCAUGGCAGAGUGGCGGCAUAGAAGAAGCAGUGACGUUAGCAAUUGUUAAAUUAAAGAAAAAGAAGGGAAAAACUAACCGUAUGAAUAUUGUGAAUAAACAUAUGGAGGAUAAACCCAUAGUUAGCAAUUGUUAAAUUUAAGGAUCUUGGUUUGCUUUUAUAGGCAAAUUGCAGCAAUUCAAACAUUAUAGUCAUUGGACUCUUUUUUUUUUUAAUUUUUUUAAGUCAACAAAAGUUAGUUUUAAUAAUAUAAUUUUUUUAUUAUUUGAUGUGAUGAUGUAAACUUUUACCAUUCCGUCACCACCGAAAAUACGUUUACAGCAAACGUGAGGAUUAAUUAAUUAGCACAGGGAAAAAAUGAAAAUGAGUAAAUGCGUGAUAUAUUCAUUUUUAUUUUAUUUUUUGAAAAAAUGAAAAACAUAAUUCCAAAGUGGUCCAGACCACUUGAAAAAAAAAUGAUAAAUAUUAUUUGGAUAUGAUAUCAACUCAAAAUUCAAACAAAUCUUACAAACAACUGGCAAAAAAUGGUGAAUUCCAUUCCUUAACCGAGGGUUAUUAAAUUAAAAAAAAUUAGUGAAAAAAAGAUGAUAAUUAAAUAAAUUUUAAUGGAAACAAAGUCACAAUAGUAGAAGUGACAAUUUGGGCACGAUUAACUAAUUAAUCAGACACAAACACAAGACAAAUUAAUGAAUUUGGAUUUUCUAAAAUUGACAUGAUUUUCAAUUUAGAUCAAUUAAAAACCUUUCAUUUAAAUUAUAGUCAGCAGACGAUCAAUUUCAGAGACUCAAGACUAGUAAUGAGAAGUCUUUGCAUGCUCUGCACAGAUGCCGUGUCAGAAAAUUUAAUUUAUGCACAGACUCAAGACUAGUAACGAAAGAGUGAUGUAUUUUUGGACACUGUUCUAAGUCAGCUAAAAUUAAAAUUGGCCAUAUAUCAUUAUAAUGGAUGUUAAGAUAAUUUGAACUCAUAGUUGCUGAUAAAAAAACAUUCUUAUAUUUAUUUUUGGUCACAGAAUUGUUAUUAGUAUAGUUCUUUUAAAGUUCUCAAAAUUUUUCAUUUCAAAAAACAUUGAACCGAAAAAAAAGAAAACAAUUUUUUAAAAUAGAGCACAGAUAAUAAUGGUGAGAGUAAUUUAGGUCAAUUCAAAAUCGCUAAUUUGGAGUCAGAUUCAUGUAUUAAUUGUAUCAUAAGUUACCAUCUCUGUGUACGACUAUGGCGUGACAGAGGCUCAUGGAAACUCCAGACUAGUGAGAGUCUAUCGUAACUGAAAAUUGCAUGAAUGGCAUGGAUGCAAAAGUAGCAAAAUUUGGAACUGAUGAUUAAGCCGUUAGCUAACAAAAAUUAACUUCUGAAGAGGCAACGUCCCACCAAAAAAAAAAAAAUUUUGAUUUAAUGUGUUACUAACAAUCUAUCCAGGGAAAAAAAAAUUCUUUAAUAGGAUCUAUCGAACUUGACCUGUGUUUAUAUUUCCUUUCAUUUUCCAUAAUUUGUCAUCUAAUGGGUCAAUGAAUUAAUUUGCUUCUUUUUUUGUUCUCCUUUCCCCACUUGUAUUUCCCUUCACGGCCAGUUGACUAUUCUGCAUACUCGAGUGUGUGUCAUUCUAAUACCAUGGAAUCAUAUCACGAUAUCAUAUAGAAUACACAGAUAUGAAAAUCAUCACCAAACAAGUACCUAGGGGAAUAAUCUCGUCGUAUUCGGACCUCAACGGAUGGGCAAUGAAUAAUAUUGCGCCAAUUUGUAAUGAGCUUUAGCUGAUGGUUUCUGAGAUGCGCGCUAAUUAGUGCACCUAAAAUGUAACAAAUAUCUCAUGUUAACAACCCAAAAUUCUAUAAUUUCAUGCAAAAUCAUUCUAGAAGUUAAAAUUAGGUGUUAAUCCGACACAAACACUAGAAAUAUUAAUGAAAUUUGGAUUUACUAAAAUUGGCAUGAUUUUUUAAUUUAGAUCAAUUAAACAUAUUUUUAAUUUUCAUAGUGUCGGAUUCACUAUAAGUCGUCAUAAAUCAUUAUCAACAGACGAUCAAGGCCCGCGGAUAAAACUCAAGACUAGAAUUAGAAGUCUUCGAGUAUCAAUCAAUCUAGAUGGCAAGCUCGAUUUCAGUCAAGUGGUUUAGGUCAUUGCAUGUUCUAUGCGUAUGUCGUGUCAGAAAAUUAUUUCUUAGAUAGGAAUGACGAAGGAGAGAUGUAAAUAAGAGCGCCAUUCUGUGUCAGUCAAUGUUAAAUUCGCCAUGUCAUUAUAAUGGAUGUUAAUAUCUCUAAUUUGGAGUCAAAGUCAUGCUUCAAUUUAGGUAUUUGUCUUUAAUAAAUCUGAUUCUUUUUUCUCCUUUCCCCACUACUACCAGUUCACUUAACUUUUCCUUCACUGCAUGUUGAGUAUUCCGUAUCCUCUAACAGUGCCUUGAUUUCUACUCCAUCAAUGCUUCUAUGCCGUGUUUCAUUUGGGGAUUAGAUUUCCCAGUACGUAGACAGAGAACUCUGACUCUGUUGUCCGAUGUCUCUGCAUUUUCUUGAACUCUCUACUCUCCUCGUGUAAUUAAGGAGGAUUGAAGUAAAAGAAAAGGGUAGAACCAGUUCUCCAUAUUUGUUGCACUAGCUAACAGAUUUCCAUGUUAUAGUAAUUAUUGGCCAAAACAUAAUUUUUUAUUUAAAUUGUCAAAAAGACUUGGAUGUUCUCAUCCUAAAAUAAGUUCCAUUAAAACAAUCAUAAUAUUUAUGGAAUGUUUAUAACUAGAAUGAGUGCUCCUACUUAAACUAGUAAAAUCUCUUGAACUAAUUUAAAGGUUCAAUCCUUCUCACAUGAGUAAGGAGAGGGCAUUUGUUUUAAAUUUUAUUGUAUUGAAUUUCAAACUUUCAAUACUUCUACAUAGUUAUUACGAUUUCAUCAAGUUUACGAUGUUAAUGAUCAAACAAUACACUUUCUAAACUAUCUAAAAUAGUACCUAGCUAGCUAAUUAGAUAACGGAUUAAUGGAAUAGAUGUGGAUGUCUAGUUUGAAAUUUUGAGUUUGAAAAUUUUAAAUUAAUCAAAGAAAAUAUAUUUUUAAUUUUGAGUUAUUGUACUAUUAAUUAAUAAUUUAAUUAAAAAAAUUUAUUUAUUUGCUAUCAUUCUAGUUGUUGAAAAUGCCUUUAAUAAGGGUUGGUUCAAUAUUUGGUUAGAGUCUGAUUUCAUGCUGGCGGUCCAACUCCUUCUCUUCAUCCCUCUUGGACCAUUUGCAAUGUAAGUGCAUUGAAAUGUCUGUAGUCAAACUUGGGUCUUCAAUGUAGUCACAUCCCUUGGUAGGAUUUCUCUCCUUCAAAGAUUAACGCUCUUUCUUCUCGAGAUGCAAAUGGCUUCUCAAAUUGUCAUUUUUGUUAAUGUAGGUCCUACAUUCACUAUUAGAAAAAUGGGCUACCAUGACAGAAUUUUUGUGAUAGAUAUUAGAAAAUUAGUCAUUUAUCACAAGAAUAUGAUAGACACAUGACAGAAUUUUCAUACAUCAUAAAGGCAUGACAAAUUUGUGAUAGAGCUUUUAUAUAUCAGAUAAACAUGAUAGCAUAUUAAUAUUUAAUCAAACCGUGAGUUUCAGAUGGAAUUAAUUUGGGCAUGAAAUGACACCAUGUAACAGAUUUAAAAAAUUUUAAAAAUAAAAUUUUUUAUUUAACAUUUAAACGCUAUCAUUUAACUAUAUUGACUAAACCACAAAACAAUUCUAAGUGUUGGCACCUUUGACUUCUCACCUCAUUGGCAAGGGCUGAGAAACCGAAGCAGUGAAACCCCUCAAAAUAUAGAAUUAACCUAUUUUAAUCUACAAAUUGUUUUUGAAACCCAUUGCAUGGAAACCAAAAUCAUAGUAUAUGCUAUUGAAGGAGCCUUCGCGUCCUUAUUUUGAACCCAUUGUUUUUAAGAAAUUAGCAUUGUUAGGUGUCCAUGUGAUAAAUGUCGGAAUUUAGCAUUUCAUAGGCCUAAAAAAGUGAAAGAUCAUUUAAUUAUAUGGGGUUUUGAUAUGUCAUACAAAACAUGGGUUUGGCAUGGGGAAGAUAUCCGCAACAAAUCUCCUGACAAUAUAGGUUUCCAAAAUGACAGUGGAUAUAUGGAUUAUGAUGGUGGUAAUACUGUUGAAAUGGUUGAAGAUGCUUUUAAGGAUUGUGAUAGUCAUCCUAAAGCAUUCAAAAAACUAUUAGAAGAUUCUGAAAAGCCUUUGUACCCUGGAUCAAACAAAUUUACCAAGUUAUCAGCUUUAGUUAAAUUGUACAAUAUAAAGGGCAUAUAUGGAUGGUCUGAUAGUAGUAGCUUUUCAGAUUUGUUGAGUGCUCUUUCUGACAUGUUACCGAAAGGAAAUGAAUUGCCUGUAUCAAUGUAUGAGGCCAAAAAGACAAUGAGUGCUUUAGGCUUAGAGUUAAAAAAAUUCGUGCUUGUCCAAAUGAUUGUAUACUCUAUAGAAAAGAGUAUAAAAGCCUUUCUAAUUGUCCUACAUGCAGUGAAUCUAGGUGGAAGAAAAGGGAUGGUAGUGUUGUUGCUUAUAGGAAGGGGGUUCCUGCAAAAGUGUUAUGGUAUUUCCCUUUUAUACCUAGAUUUAAGCGUAUGUUUCAGUCCUCACAAACUGCCAAAGACUUGACUUGGCAUGUAAAUGAGAGGGAAAUAGAUGUUAAGCUUCGACAUCCAGCUGACUCACCGGCAUGGAAGUUGGUUGAUGAAAAAUUGCCUACCUUUGCAUUAGAGCCUAGAAAUUUGUGUCUUGCCCUAUCAGCUGAUGGCAUUAAUCCUCAUAGCUCUCUUAGUAGUACGUAUAGUUGCUGGCCGAUUCUUCUUGUAACAUACAAUCUUCCACCCUGGUUGUGUAUGAAACGAAAAUUUAUGAUGUUAUCCUUAUUAAUUUCUAGUCCACAAUAGCCUAAUAAUGAUAUUGAUGUGUACUUGGCACCACUAAUAGAUGACUUGCAAACUCUAUGGGAUGUUGGUGUGGAAGCUUAUAAUGCUUAUAAAAAAUAGUUCUUUAAUUUACGGGCUAUGCUAUUGUGGACUAUAAAUGACUUUCCCGCUUAUGGGAAUUUGGCGGGUUGUACGGUCAAGGGUUAUUAUGCUUGUCCUUAUUGCGGUGAAGAUAUGCCAAAAUGUAGACUUAAACACAGUAAAAAAAAAUGCUUAUAACGGCCAUCGUCGUUGGCUUCCUCAUGAUCAUCCCUUUUGAACUCAAAAGCAACAUUUUAAUAAUAAACAUGAAAGAGAGCCUCCUCCGAAACCAUUGAACAGCGAGGCCAUUUUUCGAAAGGUGGAGAGUAUUGAAAACAAAUGGGGUAAAGUGAAAGAUAAAAAGCGCAAAAAAAGAGGCAAGAAAAAGGAUGAUGAUGAUGAUGAUCGUGUUUGGUGGAAGAAAAAAUCAAUAUUCUUUAAGUGAUAAUACUAGAAGUACUUGUUUAUUCAUCACCAGUUAGAUGUUAUGCACAUUGAAAAAAAUGUUUGUUAAAACAUCUACGGAACAUUACUAAAUAUACCGGGAAAGACCAAAGAUGGCAUUAAGUCGAGGUGGGAUCUAAAAGUUUUAAAGAUUAUUGGCACUUGAUGUUAAAGAAAAUAAUCGUACUUUCUUUCCUCCAGCUUGUUACACCUUGACCAAAGAAGAAAAGAAAAGGUUUUAUAAAGCAUUAAAAAGCAUAAAGGUUCCUGUAGGUUAUUCUUCAAAUAUUAAGAACCUAGUGUCAAUGAAAGACUUAAAACUUUAAGGUUUAAAGUCUCAUGACUGUCAUGUUCUCAUGCAACAACUUUUACCUAUUGCUUUAAGGUCUAUCAUAUCAGAUCCUGUUAAAUAUGCCAUUAUUAGAUUGUGCUUCUUCUUUAAUUCCUUACGCACAACGGUUGUUGAUGUGACCAAACUUGACCAAAUGGAAGAAGACAUUGCGCUGACCUUAUGCUUGCUUGAAAAAUGCUUUCCAUCAUCCUUUUUUGACAUAAUGAUCCAUUUAACCACCCAUUUAGUUAAUGAAGUUAGACUAUGUGGGCCGAUAUACUUAAGAUGGAUGUACCCAUUUGAAAGGAACACAAAAGGCCUAAAGGCUUAUGUUUGAAAUCGUAAUAACCCUGAGGGAUGCAUAACAAGGAGUUACAUUGUCGAAGAGGCUCUGGAAUUUUGUGCAUAAUAUGUUUCAAACAUGCUUACAAUUGGGCUUCCUCUUGGACAUGUUGAAACCCCUUCAACUGAUAAGCCUUUGCCUGGUGAAAAAUUUGAGCAAGUUGAUCAUUCCUUAAUUCAUCAAGCACACCUGUAUGUGUUGCAAAAAACAGAAGAAGUUCAGCCAUUUAUUAGAUUUGUUAAUGUUUUACCUUAAUUUGUUCCUUUAAUGAAUUAUUUUUAAAGAAUUUGAACAAUAGCUUAAUAUGUAUAUGUCAAAUAUGUAGUGAGCACAUUGAAUGGCUAAAGGGUCAUCAUUCACAAAAAGCCAAGAAUGAGAGAUGGUUGAGCAAAGAGCACAACUGCAACUUUUCAACUUGACUUAAUAAGAAGGUUAAUAAUAUAUGUUCCAUUAUAUAUUCUUUUUAGUAAAUCUAUUGUCAUGUUUAUACAAUUAUUCAUUCAUUACGAUUAUUAUUAUGUAGGUAUAUGAGAUAAUAGAUGAUGAUGAACAUGUCUCAGACACCUUGAGGUGGUUAUCUCAAGGACCCCAUUCUUUUGUAGUUAAACGCCCAGGAUAUGACAUCAAUGGAUAUCGUUUCCAUACUCGAGAACGAGACGAACAACGAGUUCAUCAAAAUAGUGGAGUUAGUCUUAUUGCAGCAACUUUACAAGUAGCAAGUUCCAAGGACAAAAAUUCUAUCGUUUGUGACAUGUCUUACUAUGGAGUUCUUAACGAAAUAUGGGACAUUGACUACCAUAUGUUUAGAAUCCCUUUGUUCAAGUGUGAUUGGGUUCAAAAUAAUGGGGGUGUUAAAAUUGAUGAAUUUGGCUUCACUUUAGUGGACUUAAAUCACUUGGGUCAUAAAUCAAACCCAUUUAUAUUGGCUUCACAAGCAACACAUGUCUUUUAUGUACUAAUCAACUUGAUAAAAGAUGGUCAGUUGUAAGUCAUAUGCAUCGUAGAGGUGUUCCAAAUAAGACAAGUGAUGAGGAUAUAGAUAUCAUGAUGGAACACAAUCCUUUGACCAAUGGGUUACCAAAUAUUGAAAAUUUAAAUGAUGUGAAUAGAUAUGCAAGAGAUGGCAAAUAUGGCAUCUAGAUUGAUGCUUGAAAACACUGAUGGCCUUUAUUGCUUAUAUGUCUUAUAAUAGUUUUGUGUUGCAUUAUCUUUUAUUAUUAUAUGUUCCUUGUAUUGACUUUAGAUUAUUGUUUUUCAUUAUUUAUACUUUAUAUAAUGUUCUAAUACUAAAUGUGGAUUUAUUGCAGAAGCAACCUUAUGGAUAAAGGAAAAGGACUUGCUGAUGAACACUCUAACGAGGAAAGUAUUGAUUAUUUGGGUAAUAAAGAGGUUCCUGAUGAUGGUAAUUCAAGUGAUAAAGAGGUUCCUAAUGAGUUUCCUAAUUCAGAGGAUGAAAAUGAUAUUCCAAAGAGUAGUUCCACUGCGAGAAGACCAACUAAAAACUCUGGUAGGAUGAGGAUGAGUGGUGGGAAGCUUAUAGUCACGUACAAUAGGCUCGGUGUACCUGUUGGCACUGAAGCUACUGAAUUAGCAAGCUUUAUUGGGCUUUUGGGACGUACUUCUAUUCCAGAUAUUAACCAAGAAUAGAGAAAGGUUACUCCAUAUUUAAAGAGCCGUUUGUGGGAGUUUAUUAAGGUAAAAUGAUUAUUUAUAUUUAUAUCUCAGAAUUGAAUAAUGUAUAUGUUAAACUAUUUGAUCAUUAUGCUAUGUAUUUUUCUCAGGAACGUUUUAUUGUUCAUCCAAAUAGUAAGAAGCAAGUUUUUCAAGCACUUGGUAGUGCAUUUAGAAACUUUAAGUACUUCCUCACCAGAAAGUAUAUCUUGCCACACAAGCACAAUCGUAAAAGGUUGAAGAGGCCACAUUUUCAGUACAGUCAUAUUCCUCAAAAUGUUUGGGAUAAAUUUGUGAAUUUUAGAUUGUCCACUGAGUUUGAGGUGAAUAUUUUUAAAUGUUAAACAUUUAGGCAUUUUAUAAAACCAUCUUUAAAUCUAAUUAAGGACUGUUUUAUGUAGAGAAUUAGGCGUCAACAACAAAAUAAGAGGGCUAAGAACAAGUGGAACCAUCGUUUAAGUAAAAAAGGAUAUGCUGGAUUGCUUGAUGAAAUUGUAAGUAAUAUGAUACUAACUUGACCAUUCUUGUAUAGAUAUUGGUAUAGAGAUGGUUGGUUUGAUGAUGAUAAAUUGGUAAACCUUUUGUUUUAAUUUACUACUUAGAAUUCGUGGUUAGUUAAGGAUGCAUACCAGCUAUGAUAUUAUUAUUAUUUUAAACUACAGUGCUCGGAAACUAGACUUGUCGAAACUGAAGUUGACAGGAGUGUAGCAUGGAAGCAUGCUAGGAAGAUGAAAAAAUGUGAAUAUGACCUUGAUGCUGAAUCAGUUGUGAAGAAGAUUGUGAGUAAUAGCAAGUUUUUUUUUUUCAAUUAGGCUCUAUUGGAAAGAAUUUGAUAUUCAUCAAUAUGAUUAUUAUACAAUUAAGAUGCAGUAGAGGAGAAAGCUAAAAGAGAAUUUAAAGCUGAUGCAAGAAAUGAUAUUCUUGCAAGUUCAAUUGGAAAGCUUGCCACUUCUGGACAUAUGCAGGGUGUUGGGAAAUUUAUAUCGCCUAAGAUGUACUUUGACACCCCAAACAAUUUAUUUCAGAUGCGACAAGAGAGACUAAACAUACUAGAGAGGUUAGAUAAGCAAGAAGCAGAGUUGAGUGAUCUGAAGAAGAAGAUUAAAAAGCAACCUCGACAUUCAAAUGUUGGAAGCUCAAACUUUCCAUUAGAUGAGCAAAUAAUUGAAGAUGAAGCUGAAGAAAUGACUGCUCGUAAUGAGGACAAGGUAUGAUAUAGAUUGUUGUGCACAAUUAAGUUAAAAAAUGACUUAAACAUUUUAUUUCAGACAAUUUUAGCCGUAGUCAAAACCGUAAUUACAAUCUUAUUUUAUUUGUUUUUUAGGCUUGUCAGGCAAUCGACAUGACAAGGAAUUGAUCACCUGUAAAGAAGAAGCAUGAAACACUGACCAAGGAAGAAGAAAGAAUCACCAAAGCAGCAAGUGAUUGUUGAUUGUCCUAGAGACAAGCCAAAAAGUUUUAAGAAAAGGCAAUCAUCAAGAAAGAAGAAAGAAGAAAUAAUCACCAAAGCAACAAGUAAUUGUUGAUUGUCCUAAAGACAAACCAGGCAGUCCAAUGAAAAGGAAAUCACCAAGAAAGAAGAAGGAAUCACCAAUGACGCCUCACAAGAAACCAAGAAUGAAUUUUGAUUGUCCAGGAGACAAACCAUACAGUCUAAAGAAAAAGACAUCACUAAAAAAGCCUCAAGAGAAGCCAUUGUCAAGAAGAAGAACAAGGAAUUAUCAUAUUGUGCAUAUGAACCGAGUUAUUGGGAUUUUAAUAUUUGGAAAUCUUUGUGAAAAGAACUUGGCUCAAACGGGUUAUUACGUACCUUAUCAGGGGGAUGAAGACCAUUUGGGUUCGUACACACAGGACUUUUAUCAUCAGUCCAUGAUAAGGAUGCCUUUGCUACAAGGGUAGAAAGGGCACAAUUUAUUGUCCAGCGGUUGAACAAAGCAAACAAAGGGCAAAUGAUUUUCAUGCCAUAUAACCCUUGGUACAGUUCUAUUUACUUUCUAUUAAUGAUCAUUUACUAAAAUUGAUUCAUAAUUUCAAUUUCUUUGUGUAAUAGUUUCCAUUGGGUGUUGAUUGUAAUUGAUAUGACGACAAAGCAAGCAUUUUAUCUAGAUUCUACGAACAACGAUUUGGGUGACGACAGUGACCUAAAGGACAUAGUUACCAAGUAUGGUGAUAUUGUAUUUCUAAUAUAAUUUUAUAUAUCAUGUUUAUUUACUAACUGCAUGUAUUGUAAUGUAGUGGGAUUUCAAUGCAUGUUGUGAUGAUUGGUAAAAAAAGGGUGAAACCACAUAUCACAAAAGUUUUGGUAAGCAAUCAUGACUUUUUUUCUUUUUUUGCAGCACAUGACUUGUUAAUAUUUAAUCACUUGAAAGAAUUCAUAUGCAUUUGUAUUAAUGAUUAUUCUGUUGAUGAUAUAGUCCCCAAAUCAACCAGGGAGUACUAAGUGUGGAUACUAUGUGCUGAGGUUUACUAAAGACGUAAUUGCAAAUCCGAGUUUACUUCUCCAUGAUGUAAGUACACAUUCUUUCAGAUGCAUUGUAGGAUUACUUCACUUAUUACCUUUAACUAUAUAUAGUUUACUUUAGUCUGACAUGUGAUCAUCAUUUAACAGUUUAAAGGGAAAUGUGAAUACACUCAAAGUGAGCUUGAUGAAGUGCGUCUCAAGUAUGCUUCCUUUGUGUCUGAGCUGAUAGUAUGAGCAGCGGAGUUGAUGAUGUGUAGUUUUUUGAAGUUCUAAUUAUUGGUGGUAUUAUGGUAGUAUUUUGAAUUUCUAAGUGGUAGUGAAUUUGAUAAAGUCUUUAUGGAAUUUCAAAUUCCUUGUUACUAGAAGAUGAUAUUGUUUUGUUCCAACACUAUGUUUAUCAGCCUAGAAGUGUAAGAUCUGGAUCAACUUGGUAGUGUUUCAGAUGAUAUAUAGUGUUGUGAUGUUUUUGUAUGUUGGUAAUGAUCGAGAAGGUAGUGUUGGGAUGUAUUAUUGUGAUAAUUGAAUAGAUGAUUUUUUACAAUGUUAUGGUUAUUUCAAGUGAUGUUUUGAUGAUAUUGUUGAGAUAAUGUUGAUGUAUUGAUUUUAUACAUAUUUUGGUUUUUAAAUUUCAAUGGAAUUUAUAAAAUUAUGAAAUAAUAAUAUUAAUAAUAUUAUUUAAUAAUAUUAUUAUUUAAAAUAUUAAAAAUUAUUUUCUAAUUUAAAAACAUUAAAAAUUAUUUUAAUAUUAUUAUUAUGUAAAAAAAGAUUCUCAUCAUGACACCAUAUUAACAUCAUAAAGUUGCGACACAUAAUUACCCGCCAUAAUUUAAAGUUGAAUUCAUAACACCCGCCAAAAGUUUUUUCACAAUAAAACAAAUUUACCACCAAAAUAUUAAAACGUCGCCUUUUUUGUGUCAUAUUUGUGAUUGCUAUAAGCUGUCACAUACUCCUGUGAUAGAUAAAUUACUGUCACGGAUUUAUCACAGGGGAUACAAUGACAGAUCGAAACUCUUUCAUAAAGAGGGUCGGAUGACAGAUAUUCUCUGUCAUGAUAGCCUAUUUUUCUAGUAGUGAUUCAUGGUUUUCUAAAGAUUUUACAUCAUCUUAGCUUUAUGCAUUUAAUGAGUAAGAUUUUAUAUCAUCUUAGCUUUAUGCAUUUAAUGAGGGGUAAGGUUUACUAUAUCCCCUAAUUAAUUGUGUUAAUUCUAUUAUUUAUAGAGUUGUUAUUUUAUGGCAAGUCUAAUAAAUUAAAAUUUUAUUUACUGAAUAUCAUGUAAUAUGUUUUAAUUUAUUAAAAUCCUAACUAAUUUAAUGAAAUUCCAAGAUUUCCCAUGGAAAUAGGCAACACACCAAAAGAUAUAUUUUGUGAAAGGUCAAGUUCUUUCAAAGAACUAAGAUUUCCAAUGGAAAUAGGCCACUCACUCGACAAAAAAUUUGCAGAGAGAUCAAGUUCUUCCAAUGAAUGAAGAUUACCAAUGGAAAUAGGCAACUCACCCUGUAAUUCAUUUAAUGAAAUGUCUAAAUAAAGGAGCUUCGAUAGAUUACCGAGUGAAGAUAGAAUUCUUCCUGAAAUUUGUUAACAAAAAAAUUUAACAAAAUUCAGACAAACCAUUGCCAGCAAGCAUUGUUUAAACAUUGAAUGGAAAGGCAAGUAAAGAAUUGAACAAACCUGAUGCUAGAAAUCGAAUUUGAAAGGGAACAAAGCAUUGAAAUCCUGCAAUUCAGGAAAAAAAAAUUUAAAAAAACAACAUACUAAAUUAAAUGAUUGAGCAAUUUAAAAUUUUAAUAAAAAGACAAAGUAUAAGCUUCUUGAAUUAAAAAAAUAAAAAAUAACCAAUGAAACAAACAAGAAUUACAAAAAUAAAUAAUAAAGAUAAACCAUUCAUGAUAGAAAUCCCAAAAACAGGGCAUAAAGUAUGAACAAAUAAGGGAGAUAACAACAAAACUGACAAUUAAUUUUAUAAUGCCCAACUAAUUUAUUCAAAAUAAAAAAUAAAAAGCUAAUUGACAAUAGACCUAAGGAUUCAGCAAUUACAAGGAUGGCUUCUCCACCGCCAAUUAAACAAUGAAAAGAAAUAGUAACAACGACGGCUUCAAUAGCGAACGUGUUGUUCGAAGGCGCAACAAUGAGCAUAUACGGUGAUUUUGUGCCUAAAAAUUUAUAAUGAAGUGGUUGCUUCAAUAGCAUAUACGAUGAUUUUGGUUUCCAUGCAAUGGAUUUCAAAACCAAUUUGUAGAUUAAAGUAGGGCUUGUUAAUUAUGGAUUUUGAGGGGUUUCAAUGCUUAGGUUUCUCAGCCCUUGCCGAUGAUUUUGGUUUCCAUGCAAUGGAUUUCAAAACCAAUUUGUAGAUUAAAGUAGGGCUUGUUAAUUAUGGAUUUUGAGGGGUUUCAAUGCUUAGGUUUCUCAGCCCUUGCCGAUGGAGUGAUGAAGUCAAAGGAGCUGAUGUGUUUAUUAAAAAUUAGAAUUUUCUUGUAGUUUAAAGUCUAUAGUAAACGACAGUGUUUAGAAGUUAAAAAAUAUUUUUAUUUUAAAAAUUUUUUAAAUUAUGAAAAAUCAACACACAGUGUCGUUUCAUGCCCAAAUUGAUCAAUCCUAAACUCACCGUUUCAUUAAAUAUUAAUAUGCUAUCAUAUAUAUAUGAUGUAUAAAAACUCUAUCACAAAUUUAUCAUGUCUUUAUGAUGUAUGAAAAUUAUGUCACGUGUCUAUCAUAUUCUUGUGAUAAAUGACUAAUUUUCUAAUAUCUAUCACAAAAAUUCUGUCAUGUUAGCCCAUUAUUCUAGAGUGAGAUAUUUAUCCAACUAGACUACAAAGUAAUUGAAAUUAAUUGUAACACCUAUGGCCAAAACUUGGACCCAGUGUUAUUCUAUAAUCAAAAUUGAAACCGAUAAUUACAGUCAACUUGAAUCCUUAUCAAAUGGGCAAAUGGGAGCAAACGCCUUCUCUAGGCUCUAACCAUGAAACAAUAAUCAAAUCGUCAGACUUCUAAAAUAAGCCAAUGAAACAUUACUCACAAACCCAUCUAUUAACAUCUUUAAAGCUUUGGCACUGAAACUUAAAAGAGAGUUUUGUGUUAAAUAGUAUUGAAAGUAAACACAACAGCAAUUAUAUAUAGCAAAGAUUAGUGGGAAAACAGAUGUAUUAAAAUUGUUCUUGACUCCCAAUUCUGCCAGAAUAAAAUAAAUGAGCGUAACAAGCAACCGGACCACAGAGAAAGAUAUCUCCAACACCAUAAGCGGUCGCUUCUGAAAAUGCAUUCUGGUUGCAGCUCUAGUUCUUCUCACGGUACAAGUGCAACAAAUAUAACUUCACCAACCUGCUGUCAUCGUUUAGCAAAACCCCUAACUAACAACACCCACUAAUAAUAUUCUAAAUAAUUUAGCCCGCAUACAUUUAACAUUUAGUUUUAAAAAAAUCUAACAAUCCAGCAUUUCAUGGGCCACAAGAGUAUAUAUAUAUAUAAGUGUUGGGGAAAAAUUAGGUUUUUAAAUUUUUUAUAAAACCUUUUGAAGAUUGCUCUCAUAUAAUAUAUAAGAAUUUGUAUUCUAGAAAUCGUACCUUGAAAAUCCGAUUUGGCAUUUUCCGUUGAAGUGAUUUAGGCUCCUCGAUCACGAUCCGCCACCACCACUCCUGUUAGAUCACGAUCCGUCACCACCACGCUUGUUAGAUCACGAACUGUCACCAAUGACCUUCUAGGUUAUGACUCAGAUUCGAUCUGCACUUGACGUGUGGGCGCCUUUAUCACUACCAAAGCAACUAGCACGAGAAAAUUUUUCUCUCAACAAUAGAGAGAAAAAUCUUUUUCUCUCAUCUGUAUAAAGUGGCUUCCCUCUUUUUUUUUUAAAAAAAAUAAGCCUUAUAUAUCUCCCUUUAGUGAAAACCCUAGGCUCCAAAUAAUGCCCUAAAUAAAACUCACGUUACUUUUCAUUUAAUAGGGGACCCACCAUGUAAAAUAACAUAAGGCUCCUUAGACAUAAGCUAAUUAAAUGGAGCCUCCCACUAAAUGAUAUAUUUAGGCUUUUGACCCAAAUAGCUAGUUAUCUUACUUAUUAGUCCAGUAGUGGUGCAGUCAAUUAAAUGAGCUAACCCGGGGAUCAUUUGGGAACAUACAAUAGUGGCUAUAACAAUUAGGCCUGUAAUUAAACUAGCCUAAUUAUUUAAUUCCAAAUCUACUCCACUAAAAGAUUGGAACUGACUUCCAUAAUUGUAUGCUCGAAUAAUAAUUCGUCCCAAGCCACAUUGAUUUCUUUACUGCACAAUCUUUUGUACCACAUCGUUAAUUAAAUUGAUAUCUCCACUGUCCAAUCAAUUUAAUAACAUCGUAUUCCUUGAUCCUUACAGGUUUUCUCUAAUGAUCAUUUUCAACAUACUAAAUAUGUUGACACACUCUGGCCAGAGAAUUCUAUGAUCAAGUGCCAAAAACCCAUCAAGAGAUGUGUUGUACAAAUUCUAUAUUGUUAAUCCAUAACUCCAAUACUCAUAAUUGCUCCCACCAAGAUACCGGGUAAUCUUGACCACAAGUAUGUGUCGUGCCCAUUGGUAACUCAAAUGGAAUAACAAUUACAGUCAUGAAAUCAUAAUUAACUCAAGAUUAAGAUUACAGUAAAAUCAAUGCCUACGAGAUUUAAUAAGUUUGACAGUUAUUACAAAGUUAAUUAAAUCUCAUAUGUGUUCCUGUUCAAUGUAGUCGUACUACAUCAAUAAAUUCAUACAUGAUUAAGAUAAAUCAUUUAAUGAAUUUAUUACAGUCUAUACCUAAAUAAAGUGCCCAACUUUAUUUAUCAACUGCGAACUAAAUUUAUUUAAACAUAAGAUAACUUGUAUUUAUGUCUUCUGUGAAUCCACAUGGUGAUCACAUAAAUACAUAUAAUAUGAUUAAAUGGACUUUAAUACAAAUAUUAAUGCAAUUAAGAUAUUUGAAUAAAAUACCUCUUUUAUUUUAUUAAUCAGAAAAAUUGUUUAUUACAAUUAAAUAAACACAUAUGCUUUUAAAGAGCAUAUUUUCCCAACAAUCUCCCACUAGCUCUCAAAGCAUAUUUGGCAUCUCACGCAUGCUCAUGGAUUCCAAGUGCAAGUUAAAAUGUUUCCCAGGUAUUGCCAUAGUAAAAGGAUCUGCCAAGUUUUGCUAUGACGCAAUCUGAGUAACCUCCACAUCACCUCUCUGCACUAUAUCCCUUAUAAGAUGAUACUUCCUCUCGAUAUGUUUUUGUUUCUUGUGGUUCCUUGGUUCCUUAGAUUGAGCUACCGCACCACUAUUAUCGCAAAAUAGUUUAAGGGGUGCAGUUACAGCAAGUACCACCUUAAGAUCUUGUAGGAACUUGCAGAGCCAUACAGCUUCUUUUGCAGCUUCGGAUGCAGCCACAUAUUCAGCUUCAGUUAUGGAGUCUGCGAUACAAGAUUGUUUCACACUCCUCCAACUAAUAGCUCCACUUCCCAAUGUAAACACAUAGCCGGAAGUUGAUUUUCUGGAAUCUUUAUCUGACAUAAAGUCAGAAUCAGUAUAACCCACUGAAAUGAGUUCAUCACCAGAAUACACAAGCAUAUAAUUUUUAGUUCUUUUCAGAUACUUUAUUAUAUGCUUGACUGCAGUCCAGUGUUCAGGUCCAGGAUUAGAUUGAUAGCUACUAAUCAUCCAUACCGCAAAACAGAUGUCUGGCCUAGUGCAAAGCAUGGCAUACAUGAGACUUCCCACAGCUUCUGCAUAGGGAACUCGUCUCAUUCUCUCUAUCUCUUCAGAUGUUUUAGGUGAUUGAUCCUUAGAGAAUGUAAUUCCAUGUCUGAAUGGUAAUAAACCAGUCUUGAAAUUUUCCAUGCUAAAUCUAGCCAAUAUCUUAUCGAUAUAGACCGCUUGAGACAAGGCUAAAGUUUUAUUCUUCCGGUCUCGUAGUAACUUGAUACCAAGAAUAUAACUUGCCUCUCCUAGGUCUUUCAUAUCAAAUUGUUUUGCUAACCAACUCUUUAUUGUAGUCAAUACUCCUAUAUCGUUUCCAAUUAAGAGAAUAUCGUCUACAUAAUGAAUUAGGAAAGAUACAGAUUUUUCUUGAAUUUUCUUGUACACACAUGGUUCAUCAAUGUUCUAAAUGAAUCCAAACGAUUUAAUCGCUUGAUCAAAUCUGAUGUUCCAUGACCGGGAUGCUUGCUUCAAUCCAUAAAUGGAUCUCUGCAACUUACAUACCAUGUGUUCUUGGCCUUUUUGUAUAAAUCCAUCUGGUUGCUGCAUAUAGAUGUUUUCUUCAAGAUGCCCGUUAAGAAAGGCAGUCUUGACAUCCAUUUGCCAAAUUUCAUAAUCUAGCACUGCAGCAAUGGAGAGCAGAAUCCUGAUGGAUUUAAGCAUAGCAACCGGAGAAAAGGUUUGCUCAUAAUCGAUUCCCUAUUUCUGAGUAAACCCUUUGGCUACUAAUCUUGCUUUAAAUAUUUCCACCAUUCUGUCUACUCCUCUUUUUCUCUUGUAGAUCCACUUGCAUCCUAUAGGUUUUACCCCAUUUGGUGCCUCUACAAGUUCCCAGACUUUAUUGGAAUACAUAGAUUCCAUUUCUUGAUUCAUGGCCUUUUUCCAAAAUUCAACAUCUCUAUCUAUUAGAGCUUCGUUGUAACUAGUGGGAUCUUGUACAUGUUCAUCUGAAAUAGCCGUAUAGGUUUCUCCCAAAAGCAUGUAUCUCGCAGGUAACCUAGUUACCCUCCCACUACGACGAGGUUCUAAAAGUGAUGGUUGUUCAGGGUUAAUCCUUUGUUGAUCAUCUGGUGGUUAAUGUUCUUCCUGUUCUGUAACAGGCGUUGAAAGCUGAGUAUCAACCUGAUCACCUGACAGUUCUUCAAGUAUUACCUUACUCUUAGGUUUGAAGUUAUUCAUAUAGUCUUCCUCGAGGGAAGUGAAAUCUGUGCUCACGAUCACUUUCCUAUCUUGAGGACUAUAAAAUAAACCUCCCCUUGUUCCUUUGGGAUACCCCACAAACAUACAAACCUCAGAACGUGAAUCCAUUUUGUCUGCCUUUGGUUUCAGCACAUGUGUUGGUGAUCCCCAAAUACGGACAUGUCGUAAACUUGGUUUGUGACCUGACCAUAAUUCUAUUGGGGUUUUAAGCACUGACUUGGAUGGAACUAAGUUCAAGAGGUAAACUGCAGUUUCCAGUGCUAGUCCCCAAAAAGAGAUUGGUAAUGACGAAUAACUAAGCAUAGAUCUCACCAUAUCCAAAAGAGUUCUAUUUCUUCUUUCAGCUACCCCAUUUUGUUGUGGUGUUCCCGGGGUAGUCAACUGAGAUAUAAUCCCAUUUUCAACCAGAUACUCUAUGAAAUCUCCUGAGAGAAAUUUACCACCUCGAUCAGAUCGAAGUUUCUUUAUGUUCUUAUCUAAUUGCUUUUCUGUCUCAGCCCUAUACUCUUUGAAUUUCUCAAGAGCUUCAGACUUAUGACGCAUCGGAUAAACAUAACCGUAUCUGGAGUAAUCAUCAGUGAAAGUGAUGAAAUACUCAUAACCUCCUCGAGCUUGUACAUUGAUUGGUCCACAUACAUCUGUAUGUACCAAUUCAAGUGGUACUGUUGCACGUACUCCUUUGGCCGAGAAUGACCUUUUGGUCAUUUUCCUUUCUAAAUAGGAUUCACAGAGUGGCAAUGAUUCAUUUUCUAAUGGACCCAAGAGCCCAUCUUUGAUAAUUCUCUGUAUCCUAUUUUGGUUUAUAUGACCCAAGCGUAAAUGCCAGAGGUAACAUUGGUUGGAAGAAAUAUUUCUUUUCUUAGAUAAAUGUGUAUGCUCAUCAUUAUUGAUCACUGUGUCAUGCAUAGAAUGGAUCAUUGGACUUAAAUGAUAUAAAUUAUCUUCCAAUGUACCAGAACAAAUAAGUCUCUUAUUAUGAAAAAUAGAAACAGAGGAUCCAAAAUUUACAGUGUACCCUUGCUUUGACAAACAAGCUACUGAAAUUAAAUUCCUCUUAAUGUCUGGAACAUAAAGACAAUUAUUCAAAACUAAAGUCUCAUUAUUAAAAGAUAAUAAAACAGAUCCAGUCUUCACUGCUGACACAAACUGUCCUGUCCCUAACUGCAGCUUGACGCUUCCUUCACUUAUUUUCCUGAAACCAAUAAAGUGAAUUACAAAUAUGAUUAGUUGCUCCUGAAUCCAACACCCAAGUGUCAAUAGGAUUCUGAACUAAACUGGCCUUAAUUACAAAAAGAUUUCCCAUACCUGAUUUCACAAUCUUAGGGCAAUCCUUUUUCCAGUGACCUUUCUGUCCACACUUAAAGCAUUUGCCUUUCGGCUUGCCAUCUUGCUUGGUAGACGGUUUCUUUUUCCCAGCUUUCUUCUUACCUUUGCCUUUCGGCUUAGGCCCAGAAGAUGAACUUUUUUCAGUAAUAUUUAUGCUUCCCAGAGAUUUCUCAGCACGAUAGAUCUCUUCAGCAGAAUGGAGUUCGUUCAUCAAUUCAGUUAAGGUCAUGUUUCUUUUGUUCAUGUUAUAAUUGACCUUAAACUCCUUGAAUGUUUCUGGCAGAGAUUCUAGCACCAUGUCAAUCUUUGAGUUAUCAUCGAUUUGUGCUCCCUAAAUCUCAGCCUCAUUCAAGUAGUCCAUCAUUUUGAGGACAUGAUCACGAACUCUUGUGCCCUUCCCCAUUUUACUGUUCAUAAUUCCUUUCAGCGCUGCUUGUCUCGCAGAGUGAGUACUCUGCCCGAACAUCUGUUGGAGACUAUCCAUUAUUUCAGUGGCAGUCUCCAAGUUCUGAUGUUUGGUCUGCAGAAUAUUAGAAAUCGAGGCUAAAAUGUAGCACUUUGCCAUUUCAUUGGCCUUUUUCCAUUUCUCAUAAAGCCUCCUCUGAUUUCUAUGAGCAUCAUCCGCUGGAACUGGAGGGCAUGGCUGGGUUAAGACAUAUUUAUAAUUUUCAGCAGUCAGGACAAUGAAUAGAUUUCUUUUCCAAUCUAUAUAGUUCUCUCCAGUAAGUUUGUUUUGACUUAGAAUACUAGUAAGUGGGCUCAGGGAAGACAUUUUCUGAAAAAUAAAACAUCCAUGCAUAAAUAAUUUGAAAUAAUAUUCACAAUAAAUGACAAAAAUGCAUAAAACCAUAAAUACAUUUUAAUUUAUUGUAACAAUAAUCUAGUUCCGCUUUGACAAGCUAUCCGGUAGGGAAGUCAUGUCUAUACUUACUAGACCCAAUUACCCAUUGGAUUUUUUACUUUCAUGUAGAGACAUGAUAAAUAAUUAUCGUUAUCCUUUUUGGGCCUAAAUUUGUUAACAGAGCUUCAUUGGGAAGGUUAAUAACAAAUUUUAGUUGAGUGUAUAACCAUUGUUUCAAUCUACGUAUUGUUCAUAUCAAUAGUCACCGUUGGGGUGAACAAUCGAUUGAAAAAUAUUUCAAUUUUAUCUUUGAAGAAGUUCAUCAAAUAAAAUAUCUAAUAUAUAUACCCUCCGAAGGGAGCAUCACCGUAUCAUGAAGUCGAUGUAUAUAUAUAAUUUUAUUAUUGAACUAACAAUGGAGCCCAUGGGAAAAUUAUCUUGAAUUUUCCCUCUCCCACUCAAUAUUUUAAAUUUGGUUUUUCCUUUUUAAAACAUACAUAUUGUUAUUUUCAUGCUUCCUAUAAUAUUAUCUAGAUGAUAUCCAAUAUUAUUAAGCAUACGCAAAUUACAAACAAUAUAAUGAAAUUCAUUAUUAAUGAAUGACAUGUAUCAUUAUGCAUAGAGUGGCACUACCUAUUCUAUAUGACAUGUUAUCAUGGCAUGUUAUCAUCCAAAACAUAACAUAUAGAAAAACAAUUAAAUAAUCUUAAUUCAUGGCUUUCCUAAUAAUGAAAAAAUACAUUAACCCUAAGCCUAAUCUUCAUUGGGCUUCUUGUCAAUGUCUAUUUUCCAUAAGCUUGUUUUUGUUAAUGGACUAGGGGAAAUUGGGCUUUUAAAUUUAUAAUUGGUCCAAUUUUAAUUUUGAAAGGAAAUAAAUAAAUAAUUAAAUUUUUUUAUUAAAAUAAAACUUUUGGACCAAAAAUAAAUUUAAUGUAUUUAAUUUUAUCUAUGCAUUUUAAUCCAAGCCCAAUUGAAAUUGGGCCUAAAACUAGGAUUCACUAAACCCAAAACUGUUUUUGGAUUUAAACGCAAAAAUUAAAAACAUUAUGCCCAAAUGAAAACUUAUGGAACCAUAGGGACCCCCAUGAUAAAAACCAUGAAACCCUAAAUCCAUAUUUUUCUUUCUCUCUUCCCCAGCCGCCGUCUCCAAAAACCUAGCCGCUGUUCACUGUUUCCACACCAGACAACCCUCAUCAACGCCGAAAAGACGCCAACCAAAACGCUCCGUCAACUGCCUUCACGCGCGCGCCUCCAGCCCACGUUCGCGCUGCUGCUUGGGCGCUGCAGCAGCUGCUCGCGCGCUACAGCUUCUGUGUGUGCAGCGCAUGGGAGCGUGUGCUACUGGGCUGCACGCGCUGCUGGCAGCGAGUGCUGCUGGGCCGCGCGCUGCUACUCUGGUUCGUUGCCGCAGUUUCCAGCAAGUUUCCGCAAUUUUCCAGUAAUUAAUUUACAAAUUUCUUAUGCCAAUCUUGGCUUACAAAAAUUCUAUAACAGUAAAAUAAAUCAAGAGAGAAACAUGGUGAUGAAAAGCCACCCCUCUUGUUACAGAUCUAAACGAAAAAUACAAUAGAAAAUCUAACCAUGAAUUAAGACAAACCAAAACAUGCUUUAUUCAUAUAUUAAACAAAUAAUAUAUAUCUGAAUAAAUUGUGCCACUCUAAUACAUAAAUUUCAAGAAUGAUUUCAUACGAAAUUCUUAUAUAUUAAUAUGAGAUGGCUAUAAUACCAAUUGUUGGGGAAAAAUUAGGUUUUUAAAUUUUUUAUAAAACCUUUUGAAGAUCGCUCUCAUAUAAUAUAUAAGAAUUUGUAUUCUAGAAAUCGUACCUUGAAAAUCUGAUUUGGCUUUUUCCGUUGAAGUGAUUUAGGCUCCUCGAUCACGAUUCGCCACCACCACUCCUGUUAGAUCACGAUCCGUCACCACCACGCUUGUUAGAUCACGAACUGUCACCAAUGACCUUCCAGGUUAUGACUCAGAUUCGAUCUGCACUUGACGUGUGGGCGCCUUUAUCACUACCAAAGCAACUAGCAUGAGAAAAUUUUUCUCUCAACGAUAGAGAGAAAAAUAUUUUUCUCUGAUCUGUAUAAAGUGGCUUCCCUCUUUUUUUUUUUUUAAGAAAAUAAGCCUUAUAUAUCUCCCUUUAGUGAAAACCCUAGGCUCCAAAUAAUGCCCUAAAUAAAACUCACGUUACUUUUCAUUUAAUAGGGGACCCACCAUGUAAAAUAACAUAAGGCCCCUUAGACAUAAGCUAAUUAAAUGGAGCCUCCCACUAAAUGAUAUAUUUAGGCUUUUGACCCAAAUAGCUAGUUAUCUUGCUUAUUAGUCCAGUAGUGGUGCAGUCAAUUAAAUGAGAUAACCCGGGGAUCAUUUGGGAACAUACAAUAGUGGCUAUGACAAUUAGGCCUGUAAUUAAACUAGCCUAAUUAUUUAAUUCCAAAUCUACUCCACUAAAAGAUUGGAACUGACUUCCAUAAUUGUAUGCUCGAAUAAUAAUUCGUCCCAAGCCACAUUGAUUUCUUUCCUGCACAAUCCUUUGUACCACAUCGUUAAUUAAAUUGAUAUCUCAACUGUCCAAUCAAUUUAAUAACAUCUUAUUCCUUGAUCCUUAUUGGUUUUCUCUAAUGAUCAUUUUCAACAUACUAAAUAUGUUGACACACUUUGGCCAGAGAAUUCUAUGAUCAAGUGCCGAAAACCCAUCAAGAGAUGUGUUGUACAAAUUCUAUAUUGUUAAUUCAUAACUCCAAUACUCAUAAUUGCUCCCACCAAGAUACCGGGUAAUCUUGACCACAAGUAUGUGUCGUGCCCAUUGGUAACUCAAAUGGAAUAACAAUUACAAUCAUGAAAUCAUAAUUAACUCAAGAUUAAGAUUACAGUAAAAUCAAUGCCUACGAGAUUUAAUAAGUUUGACAGUUAUUACAAAGUUAAUUAAAUCUCAUAUGUGAUCCUAUUCAAUGUAGUUGUACUACAUCAAUAAAUUCAUACAUGAUUAAGACAAAUCAUUUAAUGAAUUUAUUACAGUCUAUACCUAAAUAAAGUGCCCAACUUUAUUUAUCAACUGCGAACUAAAUUUAUUUAAACAUAAGAUAACUUGUAUUUAUGUCUUCUGUGAAUCCACAUGGUGAUCACAUAAAUACAUAUAAUAUGAUUAAAUGGACUUUAAUACAAAUAUUAAUGCAAUUAAGAUAUUUGAAUAAAAUACCUCAUUUAUUUUAUUAAUCAGAAAAAUUGUUUAUUACAAUUAAAUAAACACAUAUGCUUUUAAAGAGCAUAUUUUCCCAACAAUAAGCAACUAAACAUUCCUUGGUCUACAUGACCAAACUUCCCGCUUCUGAAAAUGCAUUCUGGUUGCAGCUCUAGUUCUUGUCACGGUACAAGUAUGCGUACUCAUGGUAACAGCAAAUCCAAAUGCAGCAGAAGGAUGCUCCUCUUCCCAAUCAACAAAAAAGUAUUGUCAUUCAUUAUGUGAAAAAAUUUUAAAUCAGAAAUUGGAGGCCAAUUGUGUUCGAAACUCUGAUAUUUUACUUCGAUCUAUCCAAAACCAAAAAUGAAAAUGAAUACUCGAGCAAUAUUCAAAUAUCGAAAGAGCAUAUUUUCAAAAUUAAGUGAGGAAAAAAAUUUUCAGUAUCAAUUAUCAUCAACGGGUUCUUGAUGUUAAGAAUAAGCAUUAAAAUGAGCUGCUCAGGUCGUCUGAUGAAUCAGCAAGCUGUUAAGCAAUAUGCUGAGUCAUCAGCCACGUCAGCAGUCAGUUAUGGAGGCUGUUGCUUUGCUUAAGAAGCAUCUGGACAAGUAUAUAUAAAUCCCUGUAAUCCCAAAUGUUGUUACAAGCGGCCGAGGUCACGCUCAUGAUUUUGUUGCUUAUAGAAGCUCCUGGACAUAAACCCCCGUAAUCUCAGUUCAUUUUGUAGCUUAAUGAAAUGAAUUUGGCUCACUAUUCUUCUAUCAAAACUUUUAGUAUUUUCCCUUCACCGCAAACAAACACAGCAACAUCUUUUAACUCUUGAAAUCUUCCAGCUCCGGUGCAAGCCUCAGUCGCAAUGUAUUCACUGGAUGGCACAUCUUCACCCCGACUUUUCGGUAAAGUGAAUUAAAGCUUUCAGAACGACGCAUAAAACUUUAAAUUGUUCCUGUAACACACAGAAAAUCUUUAGUUCGGUAUCGUAAAUUCAAUUUCUUAUAAUCUCAUUAAUAUACUUUUUGAAUUUUAUUGUGAUCUUCAUUAGGCGUCAAUUUUUAUUUUUCAUUUAAAAAAAAAAAGCACUUCCGGAGUCAUUGUAAGAUCUUUUUCUUUUAAUUUAAAAUUAGAUAGAUCAAACUUAUUCAUCGGGGUUUUGUUACAUUUCCUUUAUUUUCAAUAAUUAAUUUGUUAUCUAAUUGGUCAAUAAAUUUGCUUCUUGUUUGUCCCGUACACUAAUAUAGAUGCUGUUUAUUUCUUAAGUUUUGAUAUAGGAAUGACGAAGGACAGAUGCAGGGGCACCGUUUUAAGUCAACCAAAGUUAAAGAUGAUUCGAACCCAUAGUUGUUGCAUAAAAACCUUUGUUAUCUUUACUUUUGUUGUCAAAUUAUUAUUAUUAUAAUUUUUUUAAUGGUAGAAGUAGAACCUAAUCCCCCACAAUUAUCAUUUAAUAAUAUGUUAAUUACCAAACACUAUUAUUUUUUUAUUCAUACCUAGUAGUGAUUUAAAUUUGAAAAGCGACAAAACCAGAAACCAGUUUUUAAUAUAUAAUAAACUAGUUUAUAUUUUUAUUUUUUGAGGAGAAAUGUAAGGAUCCUUUAAGAAAAAAAAACCACCAACAUUACAAUGACAGAAUUAGAAACGAAAAUCACAACAACAUUCUAAUUGCAUUCAAUUUCUACGUCUCCUCCUCCUCCUCGUUGCCUUUUGCUGCGUUCCCAACUUCUCCAGAAUCCAUCCGAUAAUUCCUGUGCUGAAGUUGAACCUGAGAACCAAUCCUGCCACAAGUCCGCCCGCGUAGCCAAUCAGAAUGAUUUUCCAAUCAGAUGCGCCUGAAAACAGAGACUCCUCUGAGCCCUUAGUAUGAUCUUCAUUUGCUGGAGCUUCAUUACUCUCACAUCCUUUGGACAAAGGCCUUCCACACAAUCCUGAGUUGCCGUCGAAAGAAGUAUUGUCAAAUGUAGCAAAUUGCUUUCCUUGUGGUAUUAGUCCUGUAAGGUGAUUGUCCGAGACAUUGAAGAAUUCGAGAAAUGUGAGCUCAACUAGUUGUUGAGGAAUCUGUCCUGAAAACUUGUUGUUUGAGAGAUCCAAUGAUUCCAAAUUGGUUAGAUUGCCCAAACAUGACGGAAUAUGGCCUUGGAGAUUAUUGUUCUGGAGGUUUAGAACUUGAAGUCCCUUUAAAUUUGCAAUCGAUGCGGGAAUCGCCCCAUCAAAACUAUUGUUUGAGAGAAUAAU